rnacentral:lncRNA from 1 species
CCCAUUAUAUCUUCAAAUUCACACUUUUUGCCUUUAAAUUUCCUCUCGCCUCCAAUUUAGUCCCUAAAAGAUAAAAGACCACAAAAUAAUCUAAAUUAGUAGGAUCAUACUCAAAAUAAUCAUGCAAUUAGCACAUAAAAUAUGUCGUUCUAGAGUAUUAUCAAAUCCCCCCUACUUAGCCCAUGCUUGCCCUCAAGUAUGGUUCGUGUCCACAGUGAAAAUUAAAUCCUAUUAUGAAAGAAAUACUACUCCAAAGUUUUAUAAAAAUUAGUCAAAAAUGCAUAUGAAAAAUAAAGAGAACCCUUAGCUUGCUUUAAGUAAAAUUGAAAAAAAAAGUAUUUCAAUUAACACACACAAAAAUUAAGAUCGACUUGGAUUAUUUCAUGAAAAUUAGGUAAUUUACCAAACCUAUCAAGACACCCUAUUCGUUUCUACCUUUAGUCCUCACACUUUAUUAAUAUGUCUUUUUUUUUCUCUUUUUUAACAGAAUUUUAAUUUUAUUUUAUUUAUUUUUAUUUAGGAAUAUAUUGAACCUUUUGACGCCAAGAGAGAUGACAGCCAAGGACCCCACCCCGGUUACUCAACCCAACAUACUCCUAAUUUUUAUUUUUUUUAAGAACAUAUCGAACCUUUUGACGCGAAGAGAGAUGACAGCAAAGCACCUCAACCCUGUUACUCAGCCCAACACAUUCUUAAAAAUUAAUUCCGGUUAGCGGAGUUUUACCUAACACGUCACACAACCUUUUGACGCGAAAUAGGAUGACAACCCAAGCACCCUACCUCGGUUACUCAGCUAGUCACGUCUUAAGCUGCACUCAUAACCACAGAAACAUUAUUAUUAUUAAACGAAAUUUUAAUUUUGGAGAACUUAGGAAAAACAAUCAAGUGUCAAAAAUAAGUUUCAGUAACCACCUUAAUAGUCAUGAACAUAUUUUAAGCAUGCAAUUGUAUUAAGUGUCCUCUUAAAUUUAGACUUAAUCAAAUUUACCGAAAUCAAGAUAAUGUUAACUCCAUUAAUUAUAAUCUUUUAAACUAAAAGAAAUAAAACAGUGGAGAUGAAAUCAAUCAAGCAAAAUCAUAAUUAACUCAGUAGAUAAGAAUCAUGCAUCUGGGUCAAACAGUGGGCAAGCCGUGGUCAAAUUCUUAGGCAUGAAAAGAAGCAGAAUAUUCUUUAAAAAAAAUUAUAUGCCAGCAACAACCAAAUCAGCAUCUAAAACGACAGAAAUAAUGAGGAAUGACUCCCCCUACUUAAAACACAUAGUCCUCGAUGUGAAAUAAAUAAAUAAAUAAUGAGUUCUUCCUAUUGUUGCUUCAGUUUACCUAGACAAAAGAAGAGAAUUUUAUUAAUAUCUGAAAAUAAUAAAUAAUAAAAUAAUAAGAAAAAAUAAAUAAAAAUAAAAUAAACUAAAAUAAAAUAAAAAUAAAAAUUGGGUCGCCUCCAAAUAAGCGCUUGUUUAACAUCGCUAGCUUGACACCCCAACUAGUAUUGGAGCUGUUCCAGCUGAAUUCUUUUGUUCGUAUGAGCUUGGAAAUUCUCAUUUUUUAACACGUCCACUGUAUUUGGGUUUAAUCGUCCUGGUGCCUCUUUCUUUGGUUUCGUAUUUUCCUCCAAGGGGUUGAUCCCUUUUAAGUCGACAAUAGUCUCAUCAUUCUCUAAAAAUGUGCAUUUGAGAUGUUCGGGAAGUGGUUUUAAUUUCAGAUCUGGUGCCUGCAUAACAGAAGGUAGAAGUUUAGUAUUCAUGGGAGCCAAUAAUUUAUUAACAGAAUCAAAAUCAUCAAACAUCAUUUUAGAUUUAUCUCCAUAAGAUGACUCAAAAGUUUUUUCUACUGAUGAGUCAAUUAUGUCGACACGGUUUACGUCCAAGACUUCACUUGGGUGACUAAUAGUGCCAUAAACGUUAAACUUCACGAUCUCCCCGUCAAACUCCAUCGUGAGGGUUUCGCUUCGUACAUCAAUCUUAGUAUUUGCAGUACUAAGGAAAGGUCACCCCAACAAGAUGUCUGAAGACUCAACAGCGUUAUCCUCCUCCAUUUUUAUCAAAUAGAAAUCUGCAGGGAAGAUAAGCCCAUUGACUUUGACUAAUACUUCCUCGAGGACUCCUUCGGGGUGCACAAUAGACCUGUCUGCCAACUGAAUUAUAACACCUGUUUUCGUUAAAAAACCCGCAUUAAGUGAUUCAUAAAUAGAAUAAGGCAUAACAUUUAUGGAGGCCUCUAAAUUACACAUGGCCUUCUUGAUCCCCAAAUGGCCUAUUUUGCAUGGUAUAGCGAACAUACCUCUAUCUUUGCAUUUUACCGGCAUUUUCCGCUGUAGCACUGCGGAUACAUUCUCACCAACACUUACCUUUUCAUUACCUGUUAGUUUUCGUUUAUUGGUGCAAAGCUCUUUGAGGAACUUGGCGUACCGUGAAAUCUGUCUGAUGGCAUCCAACAGUGAUAGAUUGAUCUCGACUUUCCUGAAUGUUUCGAGGAUCUCUUUGUCUUUCUUACUUUUUCGACACUGGUUUAAUCGUCCUGGGAAUAGAGGUUGGAUUUUCAGAAAUGGGGGUUUUGCUCGGACCUGUUCGUCAUUUUCGGGUUUUUCUUUGGCGGUUUCUUAACCAAGAUUUUUGCCAGGAAUUGGUUCCAGUACCUUUCCACUUUGCAGCGUCAUUGUAUUUGCGUUUUGCCUCGGGUUUGGUUCUGUUUGUGAUCACAGCUUCCCUUGAGAGUUCAAUAUCUCAAUUGAUAUGGUCAACUCCCUUAUGGAUGCCUCAGUUUUCUGUUGGAAAUCCUUCAUCUCUAUUUGGAAAUUGAGAGUUUACUAUUAAAAAUUAAGGACAGUAGCUGCUAAUUUAUUGACCAUGGUUUCUAGAGAAUUACUUGAAUCUUGUGGCUGUUGUGGAACCCAAUUUCGGUAUGGCUAGUUAUAUUGUAGAUUGGCCCCAUAACUCAAGUUAGGGUGGUCUCUCCAUCUUGGGUUGUAGGUAUUAGCGUGAGGGUCGUAUCGCCUUUGUGGUGGGCUAGGGAAAUUUCCUACAGCAUCUAAAUGAGCUAUAGUAUCAUCAUACAAACUGGGACAUGCAUCAGUUGUAUCUUCAGGUGUGGCACAUAUUCCGCGUACUCAGGCUGGUUUGGCUUUUUCUGCAACAAGAAAGCUCACAAUAUUAGUAAGUCUAUCAACUUUAUCUUCUAAGGUUGAAUUACUUAGUUGAUGAACCCUGCUAAGGGGUUCAGGAUUGGCUCAGAAUUGCUGAGUAUUUGUAGCCAUUGUGGAGAUCAAGUCUCUUGCUUGUUGGGGAGUCAUGUUAACUAACGUUCCUCCACUAGUGGCGUCUACCAUAUUCAUCUCCAUGGGUUUCAGGCCUUCAUAAAAAUAUUGGAGAAGAGACUGUUCUGUUAUACCGUGUUGUGGGCAACUUGCACACAAUUUCUUAAACCGCUCCCAAUAGUCAUAAAGAGACUCUGCUUCUUUUUGCCUUAUUCCAACGAUCUCCCUUCUUAACUCAGCUGGUCGUGAUGCUGGAAGAAAUCUGUUGAGAAAUAAACGAGAAAGAUCAGCCCAAGUUGUAAUAGAUCUAGGAGGUAAGUAAAAUAACCAUUCCCUAGCUGAAUCUGCUAGGGAAAAAAAGGAAAGCACGCAGUUUAAAUUGAUCCUCAGUUACCCCCUGAGGUUUCAUACUAAGGCAAACCAUAUGGAACUCUUUCAAAUACUUGUGGGGAUUUUCAUUUUGCAACCCACGAAAAGUUGGCAGUAGCUGGAUUAAGCCUGACUUUAAUUCAAAAUCAGUAUCCAUAGUAGGACGCGAUGCACAGUGGGAGUUGUUCUGCCUGCGCUUCGACCAGUUGCCAAAUUGUCUGAGCCAUAGGUUGAGGUGCUAGAUUAGGGUUUUCGUUAACCCUAACGUUAAGCACUUCUUCUAAGGAAUCGACUUUUACUUUUUCACUUUCAAAAGUUUGAGUAGGUUUUUCGUUAACCCUAUACUCUGCUUCGUAGUCGAUUCUGAUUUCUGGCGGUGGAUUACUUUGAGUCCCAACCAUCGCUGACUGCUUUUUCUUUAGUUUUGUUUCCUUGCGAUUAGCUUUCGCAGUCUUUUCAAUCUCCGAAUCAAACACAGGAGUUCCUGGAGCAGAUCUGGUCAUAAGAAACAAAAAACAAGAUUAGUAUGUUACUGGUCCCCGGCAACGGCGCCAAAAUUUGAUGCGGUCGUUGUAAGCACCAAAAAUAUCCUAUUCCCUGUAAAAUAGUAAAAAUAACAGUAAAAGGGAAGUGGGGUCGAAUCCUCAGGGACCAGAUUGUACGAAUUCUCGUUUAUUGAAAUCCUAGACAAUUUCUUGGCCAAGAAAACCUACGUUCCUAAAAAAUAAAAAAAAAUUAAGAAUCUGGAAAAAUCAAAACAGAAUUUAAAGUUAAUUGAAAUUGCAAAAUUAAAUAAAUUGUAGAAAUUAAAAUGAGGAAAAAUAAAUAGAGUUGGGAAAAGAGAAAGUUUCUUAUGUGGUGAGAUUCCAGCCUCCGGUUGUCUCGUUCCGCCUUGGGUUCAAUCCUUGGCUUUUAAGUAACCCUUCUCGAGCAGGAUAAGCCAGUUAUAGUGGAAAAGGAAGCCUACGACCACCAGCUCCAAAGAUUUAGACUUAAGAUUUGGCGGAACCUGACUCUAGCCAAUAAUCGCUUUUAUGGGACUAUUUGCUAGAUCACCACUUCCCAACGGUGAAUACCACACUGUUUUGUCUAUUGGAUUCGCCAACCUCUGACACAGAAAGCCAACGAAUCGACUGUGUAAUUUUCCUAAAAUGUACAAAGCGGCCAUUCCUUGCACAAGUUGAAAAGAUUACCUAUUAAGGGACAUGGACGAAAACGUCAGCCCUGUAGUGUGGAGGAGCGAUGAAUACCCUAUUGAGAAGGCUAAGCGUGGAUUAUAAGCCUUAUGAACCUUUUUGGGGAAUUUUGACAACCUUCGGCUAGAUUGGUUUAGUGGCUUAUGAUUUUUGGGGAAGAAAUAAAUAAAAUAGAUAUGGGAUUUUUAUUGAAGAAAAUAUGGAGAGAACAAAAAGACAGAGUUUUUGGAAGAAGGAGUGUUUACAGGAAAAAGAGAUGUCAAAUAUGUGUCACUCCAUCCCCUAUUUAUAGUACUAGAAAACCUAGUCUAUUUCUAAUGAAAUUCUAAAAGAUAAAAAAAAUAAAGAUAAAUAAAGAUAAAUGAAAAUAAAUCCUAAAAUUAAAUCUAAAUAAAAAUCCUUAAUAAAUAUCCUAAUAUAAUUGAAAUUAAAAUAGAGUCUUGCGCUAUAAAAUCACUUCUUUUGCAUUUUAGUCCUUGGGUCUUCCAUGUUUGCAUUUUUGGCACUACUUCUCUCUUUCUUUGCAUGUUGUCCCAUUAUAUCUUCAAAUUCGCACUUUUUGCCUUUAAAUUUCCUCUCGCCUCCAAUUUAGUCCCUAAAAGAUAAAAGACCACAAAAUAAUCUAAAUUAGUAGGAUCAUACUCAAAAUAAUCAUGCAAUUAGCACAUAAAAUAUGUUGUUCUAGAGUAUUAUCAAUUAGGCUAUAACCCAUGAUAGAUGAAUUCCAUAAGGAUUCCUAUCAGCCCAUAUCUUUCAUUAUUGCAUACUUUUAACCAUAUAAUUUUACAUUUUCUUAAUCAAAUCCCUAUUUGAAUUUUUUGUCAAAAAUCACUUUACAAAACAUGUAAAAUUAUCAUCAAACUUCCAUAAUCUAUCAUUAAACAUCAAAGAAAUCAAUUAUUCAACAAUGGCACUUUACAAAAUCAUGAACAGAUUCAAAAAUUAAGGUACGGGCUAGCUAGAAUAAGCUGCAACGAGCUCAAAAACAUAGAAAUCAUUAAAAACCGAUUAAAAAUCGUACCUUAAUUGACAAUUGAAGCUUGGCCAAACGAAAACCUAAGUUUUCUAUUCUUUCUUCUCAAUUUUCGGCAAGAUAAUGAAUGAAAUAACAUGAUUUUGGUUUUGUUUUAUUAUUAUUAUUAACUUAAUACAUAAAUUACUAUAUUAACCUUAUAAUUAUAGCUUAUAAAUCACGUAAAUCAUGGAAAUAAAUGUCCACUAACCUUAAUCUUGGUAUAAUAACAUUAUAAGGACCUUCAAUUUACUAAACCAUAGCUACUAGGCACAUUAAAUUAAUAGCACACAAGUUUUACGCUGUAAUAUCCCGAAUUAGGGCCUAAUCGGAAUAGUGGUUUCGUGACCACAAAUCCGAGGUAAAAAAAUUUAUUUUAUUAUCAUUUUAAGGUCUAUAGCAUGAUUGCAUGAUUGUGUGAAAAUUUCGUUUAGAAAUUUUAUCGAUAGAGGGUCCAAUUUGAUAUUUAGGACUAAAUUGCAAAAGUUGUAAAAUGUGUGUUCUAGUUCACAAAGGUAUUAAGUACUUGUGAGUAAUGAGUUUUUAAAGUGGAGGUCCUUGGAUAGAAUUAGACCAUUAUACUAGUUUGGACAAAAAUACCUAAAGGAAGAUAAAACACCAUAGUUUUUAAUUAAGGGCAUUUUGGUUAUUUAGUUAUUAAAAUGAAUUAAAAACAAAAUUAAAAGCCAAUUUUUGUCCAUCUUCUUCAUUAGGCCGAAAUUUUAAGGGUUCUCCAUAGCUAGGGUUUGUUUCAAGCUUCCAAGCUCCAUAGUAAGUGAUUCCAAGCCCUGUUUUUAAUGUUCUUUACGUUUUUGGAAUCCCUGUAGCUUGAAUUAAUUUAUGCUAGCAAUAAUUCAACCUAGGGCUCAUAUUUGGAAAAAUACCCAUAGGUGAAAUUUGUGUAUUUUGGUCUUUUAUGAUAGAAUAUGAAGUUUUAAAUUAUGUUAGACAACUUGUGCUACUCGGUUUUAAGUGAAAACGAGUAAAAUGGCUUAAUCGGUAAAAAUACCUAAUAGUCAUAAGUACAUGUUAGAGUGUGAAUUUGAUGUUGCCAUAGAAGGGAAAAAUGAUCAUCAUGUCAUAAAACAUAAGAAAAUAGGAUGAGGUUUAAUUUACGAGCCUUGGGGUAAAAGUGCAAAUAUGUGAAAGUUUAGGGGCAAAAUGGUAAUUUUGCCAAAGUUCGUAUUAGGGGCUGUUUUGAUGAAUGUAUGUAUUAAAUAAAAUUAAUUUGGCAUUAUAGAUCAAGAGAAACGAGAUUCAAGUCGUGAUCGAGGGAAAAACAAAGUUUAUGAGGAAUAGGCUCGAUUGCUAAUAUUUUGUAUAGAGGUAAGUUCAUGUGUAAAUAAGGUAACAUAAUUUUUAUUUUAAGUGAUUUAAUGUUAUUUAUAUGACAUGAUACUUAUUAUCAUGAAAUAUGAUGUUUUGUAAAUUAUUAUUUGGUGAUAUGCAAAUUAUGUGAACAACUUGAUAAGUAUGAGAUGUUAGCAAGUAUCGAUUUCUAUAUUCCGAAGAAGGCGAUAGAAAUGUGUAAUUGAAAAGAAUCCUGUUUGAACCUUGGGAAUAGAUUAGGGUACAAGUGACAUGUCACUAGGAUGGUUGAGUUCCGAACUUGUUGAGUUGAGUCCGAGUUCGUGAGAUGUAACUAGGCAUCCGAGCUCGUUGAGUUGAGUCCGAGUUCACUUAUGGAUGCGAACGCCCAAGCUCAUUGAGUUGAGUCCGAGUUCAUUUAUGGGCGGGUUACAUAGUAGCUUGGCUACAUAGAUUCAAAAGCUAUUGAGCUUGUUCAGUUAUGAGUAUAGCACUUACGUGCACACUAUCCGCGUAUUCGAAAUUAUAUUCCUACGUGUUCAACGGGAGAAUCCUAAGAGAAUAUUGAGGAUGCUUAAAACGAAAGUGAUUUAAUGAUGAAUGUGUUGAAGAAGUGAAAAUGGACAGGUAUGAGUUUAAUUCUUGGUUGAGAACUUGGUGAGACAAAAUUGUGGUAAGAUAGUAAGUUUUUUUUAUGUUAUGAGUGUUUUAAUGAUGUUUAUGUUGGAUUGCAUAAUCAUGUUACUUAUUAUUUACAUGUGAACUUACUAAGCAUUUAUGCUUACUCCCUCCUUUUUCUUCAUUGUAUUUUUGACAAGCCGGCUUGAGAAUCGGGAUAGGUCGAAGGCUCGUUCACACUAUCCGAAGACCUAAAUUGGUAAAAUGGCUUGUAUAUUUUGAGUGUGGCAUGUAUAGCAAUAUACUCACUUUGUAUAAAUGAUCAUAUGAUAUGGUUAUGGUUUGGUAAGAAAAGGGUUUGUAAAUGAUUAGCUAUUGGAAUGGCUAAUCAAGUUUAUAUAUGAUAACAUGUAUGCUUUAUGUCUUAACUAAACCAUGAAAAUCCUUGGAAUGGUAAAAUUGGCCAUAAAACAAAGUCAUACAGCAGUAGUGAUGUGAAUUUGAAAAAUCACUAAAAAUAGUAAAAAUGAAAUUAAAUGAUGAAUAAGUUAUUAAAUUGAAGCUAUGAUGAGUCUAUUUUCAUAUGGAUGGAACAAAACAGGUAAAUGAGUUAUAUUUUAUGAGAUAUUUAAGUUUUGGUGGAACAGCAUCAUAGUGGUAUUUGAAUCCCCUAUUCUAAAUUUAAAAAUUCACCAAAAAUUGUAAAAAAAUAAUUGGAAGUUUUACUUUAUAUGUACAGAUUUCUUAUUGAGUCUAGUUUUAUGAGAAACAAACAGCAUAAUCAUUGAAACUCUAUACAGAGAGAUAUCUGAUUCGUAAUACACAGGGGUCAGAGUAGUCAAACCCUGAAAUAGGGGAGACUUUAAAUAAUAAACUGUACUAAUUGGCUCGACCAAAAAUUCUAGAAAAAAAUUAGUAGAUAGAUAUAUGAGUCUAGUUUAGGAAAAAAUUCCGGAUCUUAAUUUUGAGUUUUGAAACUCGAGAUAUGAAUUUUUAAGCGACUAUGACGCAGUUGGCCAGCUUGUCUGGAAAUUUUAAAAAUAAAUUAUUUGAGCUUCUUAAAUAAUGAAUUAAGUUCGUUAACACCUCAUAAUCGACUCUAGUGAUGUUCUCGGGAACGGGGGCGUUACAUACGCUUUACAUGAUUUCGUUAUUUUUACCAAAUUAAGCAUUUAAACGGUGAAAUUUCUUUACGAAAUUAAGCAUUUAAACGGUAAAAUUUCUUUACGAAACUUUCACAUAAUUAAAGUAUCAUGCUGUAGACCUUAUUAAAAUAAUAAAAUAAAUAUUUUGAAUUUGGAUUUGUGGUCCCAAAACCACUAUUCUGAUUUGACCUAAAAACGGGCUGUUACACGACUACCUCCCAUUUCAGUCCGUGCCACCAAUAAAGUUCCCGGAGAUCCCGGUACAUUCUAUUCCCACUAGGGUGCAUAGCAUAAGGACUAUGAUGCACCUCUUGUAGGAUCAAAUGCCUUAUUUCGUUAUCAUCGGGUACACAAAUCUGACCUUUGAAGCAUAAAACAUUAUCGUCAUUCAAGGUAAAAUCAGAAUUCCCGUUUGAACCAACACAUUGGAAUCGUUGCACUAAAGAUUCGUCGUUCUGUUUUUAGCUCAAAUCUGCUCUAUCCAAAUUAGUUUAACCUGUAAUUCUGCCAACAAUCCUCAAUUCUCCACUAGACUCAGACGAGCAAACAUUACUCUCAAAUUAGUCAUUCCUCUACGGCUAAGGGUGUCAGCUACCACAUUAGCCUUACCCAUAUUAGCUCUACAACUAAGGUUGUACAUUUAGCUUAUUUACUCUAUAUUGUGCUCUCGUUUGUUUACUCAUUUAGUGAAAAGUCGAAGCCUUCUUUGCUUGUGAUUUUUUUCCCUCUUUGAAGGUUUUUCACGUAAAACAUUUGUGUUCGUUCUUCUCUACUUUUACUACUUUGUUGUUCAUAUAGGUCGAUUCCUUAAAAAUUGAUAUCAGAGUUACAGUUUUGCUUCAAUAGAUCGACUCAUUCAGUGAAACAACAAUGGUUUUGGAUAUGAAGAAGUUUAACAGAUCAAAAAAUUCAAUUUCUGGCAGUUUUGUAUAAUUACGGAAGUAGCUGAUGUGGCCGAGAAUGAGGAUGAUAAAUCAUUGCUCUCCACAUCCACAUAAUUCGGCUGAAGGUGGAGUCAUGUAAGAUGUCAAGCGUAUGCCUGAUUUAGAGAAGAAUCUCAUCUCCUUUUGGUCUUUAGGACUCGAAUGGUUUGUAGAGUGUUUGAAGCAAGGUUGGUCGAUAAGGUUACAAUCAAGUGGAGAGAGUUGGUGUUUUCUCUUCUGUUCAGGUUUUACUAGCCCUUUUUGCAUUAUACAAAAUUGAUAUGAAAACUAAAAGUCUUUUAGUUUCCAAGUUCGGGCAUGAUUUAGACUUGGUUAACAUUUAACAAAAUUUGAGCUACGCCCGUGAUGGGACAUGAAAAAUGAGGUUUGAUAAAUACGAUUCAAGGUGAAGAUUUGUGGGUUGUGUAUCGUAUUUAUUGGACACAUUGUAGGCACCUUAGAUGAGAAUUAAAGAGCAACCGAAAAAUGGCCAAAACAAGCCUGACAUCGGGACGAGGAGAGUUGGCUCAUGGGGAUGAUGUCAUGACGAGGCGAAUGGGACGUUGCGACGUCACGAUGUGUUCUCCUAUUUGGCAGCUGCGUUUUGGACUUCAAGUAGGAUUUCUUUUCCCAGUUAGACUCUGAUUAUUCUAGGGAUAUUUUGGUAUGAUUAGAAUUCUAAUAUUAGCCUAUUUAAAGAGACCAUUGUAUCCUUGUUUUGUUAAGCCAAUCAAGAUGUAGUCGCAUAUGAAUUUUGGUAAAAGUUUCGUGGUAAUUAUGCAGAGUAUUUUAUACCUUUUUUGUGAGUGUCUUAUGAGAUUUAGGGUUUUAUUUACCGAUUUACUCUUGGGGGUUUUAAGCUUUGUAUUCAGGGUUUUGGGUAAUGUACAGGUUGUACAUUUAAGCUAUUUACUCCAUAUUGUACUCUCAUUUGUUUAUUCAUUUAGUGAAAAGCCGAAGCCUUCUUUGCCCGUGGUUUUUUUUCCUCUUUGAAGGUUUUCUAUGUAAAAUAUAUGUGUUUGUUCUUCUCUACUUUUACUACUUUGUUGUUCAUACGAGUCGAUUCCCAACAAAAACUAAUUCAAGGAGGCUUGAUUCACAUUAUAGAAACAAAUAAUAAAAUACUUCAAAGUAAUUGACACACUCAAGAUUAAGAUGAUACACUGCUACAGUUGGUACUUUUUUUUAUGUUUUCUAUAUUUCUUAUACAACAAAGUUUUGGUGUUUAUUUGUGACACCCCUUACCCGUAUUCAACGCCAGAAUAGGACACAAGGCAUUACCGAAUUUACAUUGCAAGCAAACAUACAAAUCAAGUCAUAAAUUUGCAUCUAAAUUUAAAUCAUUUGUAUUCAAUAAUAAAGUCCCUAAUACGAGCCUACGAGGCCCAAAACAUGCUUUGAAAGUGGUUUGGGACUAAACCGACAACUUGCGAAAUUUUUACAAAACUUAAGAAAUUUUUGCUAUGAACAGGGGUCACACGCCCAUGUGGUUUGGGACAUACCUGUGUGGGUAGGCCGUGUGGUCAUACAUGCUCGUGUGCCUAACCAGUGUAACUCUCUAUUUUGUAAUGCAUGAACAAAUUGAGAUUACACAACCAAGUCACACGCCCAUGUGCUAGGUUGUGUGGUUAAUUUAAUUUUCAUGAAAUAGGUGCAGACUUCACAUGGUCGGGACACACGCCUGUGCCUGAGGCAGUGUCCCUCACACGGCUAAGACACAUGCCUGUGUCUCUGCCCGUGUGCUCAAUUCUGAGCAUUAUGUUUAUCAAAAUUAAGGUGCAGAGGACACAUGGCCAAAACACAUGCCCAUGGGGCAAACCGAGUGUCACACACUACCUAGACACAUGUCCUUGUGUCUACCCAUGUGGACAAAAUAAAGGCUAUUUACCAAGCCAUUUGUCACCCUCAUUUACCUCUACUCACACACAAGCUCAAUGGCACAAAUCAUGGUAUACUUAGGCAACCAAAAACAUCUAUGAUCAAGAUUAGAACAUAUCAUUUUAUUAUCACACAUAACAUACUUCCAACAUUAUAUUCUGCCAAACCAAAUCAAACCAAGCUUACCUCUACAAGUACCAACACAAAUACUUUUAUCAUGCAUGAUUCUCCAUAAAUUUCUUAGCAUACCAAUUAGCCAAUUUCAACCACUCAACAAUUAAACCAUUCAAUCACAUUAAAUCAUUCUCCAAGCAUUUAUAAACCACAUCACACAAGAGAUAAUUGCACAGGCAUGCAUAUAUAAAUAUAUAUAAGCUUACAACCAAUUCAACCAAAAUGAGCCAAGUUACAUGGCCAAAUACCACAUCAAGCCCUUGAUAAUUACAAGCCAAUACAUUUGGUCAAAUCAUAUUAACACAUAUAAUAAAAUGACCAAGUCCCUAUACAUGCCAUACUCUCAAAAUGUUAAGAUCAUCAAUACCCAAAAUGACAGUUGAUAAUGUGAUACGAACUCCGAUGAUCUCCAAUCCGAGCUAGCUUGGUGACAUUAUAAAACAUGGAAAUUAAAAUAGAGUAAACUAUAUAGCUUAGUAAGCUCGUAUGAAAGAAAUAAGCAAAACUUACCAUACAUCGACAUGCAAGUAAUAUAAUAUAAGGCAAUGUAGUUUUCCAUAAUCUCAUAAUCAAAAAUCACUACCAUCACAAACUUACCUUAAAAUCGCCAUAUCACGAAUUAAUAAUCAUAAACUUUAAGUACAUACCUGUACCAUCUCGAGAUAAUUUCAAACACAUUCUCAUCCUUUUCAUAGCCAAUAAACCACUUGGAAAAAUAAAUUCAGAUACUCGAGAAACCUUGCACACAAGGUGCCACAUAUGUAGCCAUUGCUACCUCUAUCUCAUAUCACAUAUAUGCUUGCUCUUGAGCCAACAACGGGCCUACUCACACAAGCUGUCAAUCAAAACGUAACUACUCGGUGCUGCUCACUCAAGCUGUCAAGUAACCUCAACAUAUGCCGGUAUACUUAGCCAUCAGUAGGACGUAGAGGACCAGCACCCGAAUCACAUAACGUAAAACCCUAGUGACAUGUCACUUGUAUCCUAUUCUAUUCCUAAGGUUCGAUUGGGAUUUCUCACUUGUCAAAUCGUCAUCAAAUGUGUCUGUAAGGUCAAUUACACGAUUCAUGCAUAAAUUAAAGCAUUUAAACACAUUCAAAGUAAAGCUUAUUUAACAUACGAACUUACCUCGGUUACCAAAAUAGCCAAAAGGACCUAUUCGUCAAAUACUUUAUUUUUCCUUUGAUCUACACCCGAACUUCAUUUUUCUUGAUCUAUAAUACCACAUUUAACUUAUUUAAUCAUCGCAUUAUUCAAUUUCAGACCAAAAACACAUUAGGGAAAAAUUUACAUUUUUGCCCCUAACUUUUCAACAUUUUAUGAUUUAGUCUCUAGGCUCGUAAAAUGAAUUUUAUUCAAUUUCAUCACAAUCCAAGCCUAGAUAAUUUUUAUUUAUACUCAUAACAGCCCACAUUUUUCAUUUAUUCACACUUUACUACACAUUCUAUAGACUUUUACAAAUAAGUCCUUAUUUAACGUUUUUAUCGAAAGUCACUCUGCAAACGUUGUUUAACUAACAACGGACAUGCAUUUUCUACCGUCAAACAUCAAAAUACAAGCAUAUUCAACAUAGGUAAAAUUUUAGACAUAAAUUUUCUUUAAAAUUAGUCUUUGAAAUAGCUAAAUCAAGUUACAACAAUCUCAAAAAUAUAAAAAUCAUUAAAGACGGGAAAAGAACGGACUUACAAUCGAACUUGAAAGUGGCCAAAACCCUAGCUAUGUCUUCCUCUUCAAAUUCGGCUAUUAGGGACUAAUUUGAGAAGAUGGACACUUUUAUUUUUACUUAUUUUGUCUUUAUUUACUAGAUUACCAAAAUGCCCUUCACUUAAACUUUGAAAUUUUACCUACUCCAUGUCCAUUUUUUUCUAUACUAGUAUAAUAGUCUAGUUACCAUUUAAGGACCUCUAAUUUAGAAUUUCAUAACAAUUUACUACCUUUAGCCUAUAGAAAUCAAAUUUUGCACCUAUUGCAAUUUCUAGUCAAAUUGAGUACUCAAUCGAUAAAAUUUCUUAACAAAAUUUUCACACAUUUAUUGUAUCAUGCUGUAGACCUUAAAGAAAUAGUAAAAUAAAUGUUUCUACUUCGAAUUCGUUGUCCCGAAACCACUGUUCCUAUUUGACCCUAAAACAGGCUGUUACAUUAUUAGUGUUUUAACUGUUGCUAUUAUGUGUGAAGUCAUAUUUUACAUUCAUAUUUUAGUAUAUGAUCUAAGUUAAACUCUGUGUGUGGGGGGGGAGAUGUUUUUUAACUCUCUUGAAACCGCCAUACUAUAUAAGUGGUACUAAAUUAAGAAUCUACAUAGUGGAUUUCUUGGUUAAAUGAAAUAAAAUAUAUUAGUGAUAGUAGAGAAAGUUGAUGGAUGCCGAACGAAGUUGAAACAAGUAGUAUGUUUUGAGAUAAUAAUUCGAGGUAUGGACUAAAUUAUAAAAAGUAAAAGUGAAAAUAUAGAAAAUAUGGAAAACUUGAAGGACUAAACUGGUAAUUAUACCAAGUGAGAUGGCUCAAUUUUAAAUAUUAAAAACUAUUAGGGCAAAAUAGUCAUGUUGCAAGUGAGAUAUUAUGUGAAAUUACCAAAAUUCCCUUAGAUAUUAAUUUACUUGUGGUAAAAAUCUGAAAAUAUUUGUGGUGGAAGGUUAGAAAGUCUAGUUUCUAAAACAUCGAACGAAUCCUGAUUUUGAAUUUCUUGGAUUGAGAAUUAAAUAAUUCAGUGGCUACUACUCAAGUAGAUAUCCAUGUUAUGUGAAUAUGUGAAAACAUUUGUUAUGCCUACAUGAGGAGAUCGUGAAAGAUUAUAAAUAGUAUAAGUAGACUAAGUGAUAAGUGAUGUGAAUUUAAAGAAAUGCUUAUAAGUGAAUGUGAAUUUGUGUUAUUGAAUUGCUUAUGUAGACGAGACUUGAACUUGUUGGAUAUAGGUGGCAUAUUAUAGGAAUAUUCAAGCGCUCCUAUGUUACUCGCACUCCAGUACCCCUAUUAUUUGCACUUUAGUGCCCCUAUAUGCACUCUGGUGCCACUAACAUAACACUUAUGUGCCCAUGUUUAUUUUGAGUAUCCAUCUUGUUCAUUCAAGUUUUCUAUGGGCUAAGCAAAUGUGGAAUGAAAUAUGUGAUGAAUAAUCUUGUUUAAGUAGUGAUAUCAAUUAAAUGUAUAUUUAAUUUCUUGUUAUUUAUGUUAUUAAUUAUUCAACUAAAACUAAAGGUAAGAUUUGAAUUCUAUGAGUACUUAUUAAGCUAUCCACGUAGCUUAACGUGCUCAUUGUCUUAAAUGCGUAAAUUGAAUAUUGAGUUCCAGAGGAUCAUUUUAAAGUAGGUUGACUCGGUUCACCUCUCAUUACCAAAGGAACGCUUGAAGAGUAUGAAAUUUAUACUUUGGUACUUAGAAUGGUACGUCCAUAGGUUUAGUACAAUGUGAAUUUAUAUAGUAAUCUAGUUUGAUGGUACAAAACUAUACCUUGCAUAUUUGUUGGUAUUUUAGACUUUGUAAUGCUUAAAUUUGAUGGAGUAAAAUUGAAUUAUAUGAAGUUUGGAUGACAAUUGUAGUGAAUUUAGCGUCUAAAUGUGAUAUCCUUUACUUGAGUUAUUGAUUAAUAUCGAUAAGGGAUAUUAAAUGUUUCAGGUGUAUUGUAACAAUGCUUUUGAUUUUCAUGUUUUCCUAAUCUUUAAAAAGUCAAUUCCUCCCUCUCCUUUUAAGUAGGAACACAUCCACCACCCUGCCAAGAUACCGUGAACGACAUGUUAUUGACCAACAUGGUCCAAACGCCUCUCUUUUUAUACUUUUUUUUUAAUCAAUGAUUGAGGGAAGGGGUUGUGCAAAGUUUAAAUCUAAGACCUGAUGUUAACAAAACCCUAAACAAUGCAAGUCAUUUGUCACUACACCAAGCAAAUUCAUCAAUUUUGUAUUUGAUGGAACCCAAUUAAUUUAAAUAUAGUAAUAGUUUUUUUUUAACUUUAAUGUUUUUAGAAUUAUUUAUUAUUUAAUGGUGAAGGGGUAUUAAAUAUACAUCUUCGCAUUAUAUUUAAUUGUUUAUGCCAAGUUUAAGUUUGAGUUUAAGUUUGAAUUUUAGAUGGAGUGAAAAAAACAUUUAAGUUUAAGUUUUCAAUUGAUAUUAAUUCUAAGUUUUAUCCUCGUACAACCUUUACCCUUUGAAAAAAAAAACUAAUAGUUAACACUUAUAGUCUUAGUAAUAUUUAAAAUUAUAGUCUCAAUGCAUUAUGCAUUCUCAACUUCAUAUUUGUUGCUAAAUUUGCAUCUAGCAACUAAUCAUCUCUUUUUUGUCUUUGCUUUUCCUUUUCCUUUGGCCUCCCAAUUAUUAAUACGUAUAAUUCUCCAUUAGUUUGCUUUAACUAUUGUUUUCUUUGGAUUAGGGAAUAUAUGGUAAGUCGGAAUGCAUGAGAAGGAGAAAGAGAGAGAGAUGAUGCAGAAUGAGAAAUGGGAGACAUCCCCACAUCCCUCAUAUUAUUAUUAGAUGCAAGGUCAUAGUCAUUCUUUUAGUGUACCUCCCAUUUUAUUACCUUUGUCUUUUGCCUCCAUUCCAUCCCCAUCCACUAAAUGCUCUUUGCCUUCUCUUCUCUCCUCUCCUCUCCAUUACUCUUUUUCUCACUCAACUUUGCAGCUCCCUUUCUCCUUCUCCAAUUAGGGUUUUCCUCUUUGUAGCGAAUAAUCUGUGAGGUUAGGUUUAUCAUCACUUCACUGCCCAAGGCUGCCUUAUCUUGGUAGGAGCAAACAACUUCCUCCUCAAACACAGCUAGCUCAUUCCUAUAAGGGGAAAAGGUACUUCCCUUUUUAUUCUUCUCAUAUCAAUAAACACAGAUCCAAAACAGGAUAUUAUAUAUGUGUAGCUGCUUUCUUCUUUUCUUUGCCAUUAACAUAUCUUUUCUUUUUUUCUUCUUUGUUGGCAAGCUAAGCUAAGCUAAGUUAAAGGCUCUAGUUUAGGGCUUUCUUAUGUUCGAAUACCUCAAAUAUACCUAUGAAAAGAUAAACUUGUCUUGGUGAUUUUGCACUUCUCAGAUCAGAUCCCAUCUUCAUUCGAUUGCAGAAAGGAUCCUAUGACUUUUCAGCUGCUCAUACAACUAAAUUUGCACCGCAAGUUAAUUAAGGAAUAAAUUAUUUUAUAUAUAAAAAAGAGACAAACUUCGGAACCAAAAUUGAUGGUGUGGCAGGCACAAAUCCUUGUGUGAAUCAUGAAGGUCCAGUUCAAGAAUUGAACUUCUUUUCUUUCUCUCUAAACGUACAAGAUAUUAGUACAAGAUAUUAGUAACUAAAGAAGGAAAAGAAAGAAAGAAAGAAAUUAAGAAAAAAGAAGGCAGCUAUAUAUGCAUAAAAUAAAUCAGUGCCCAGAUUUAUGAGGUUGUGUUUAAUUGUCUAUGCAAGGAUGUAUGUUCCAAAAGUUCUCCCUGUUGUUUGUCUCUGAGAGUGUCAGAAAGGUGGCCAUCGGAUUUAUUUUUCUCUUUAACUUCGAAACUUUUGGAUUUAUUUCCUUUGGUAAAGCAGCUGCUUAGAUCGCUAGAUACUGAUCAUAUAGAAGAUACGUUCAGGAAAACCCUAGUAAAUAUAAAUCAUAGAUUCUUCAAGAGUGAACCCCUGCGCUAGUUAAUUAUGAAAAUGAAAGGGAAGGAAAAACUGAAAAAUAUGCAGAAGAGGUUAAAUAGGAAUAUAGUUUUCCAAAACAAAUUUAAAAUCCCAUCAUUAAAGAACUAAAAUAUCUCUGCUUAUGCUCCAAACUUGGAGCUGAUAACAAAUGGUUGUUGUAAUUGUGUGCAUAGCAGUGAAGAUGGCUUCCUCCAGCUCUUACAAUUCACCCUGUGCUGCUUGCAAACUGUUGAGGAGGAAAUGCAUGCCGGGUUGCAUCUUUGCACCUUACUUCCCACCUGAGGAACCCCAAAAAUUUGUGAAUGUUCACAAGAUCUUUGGAGCAAGCAAUGUGACUAAGCUCCUGAACGAGCUCCUUCCUCACCAAAGAGAGGAUGCAGUGAAUUCCCUUGCCUAUGAAGCUGAGGCAAGAGUAAGAGAUCCUGUCUAUGGGUGCGUUGGUGCCAUCACUUUCCUGCAGAGACAAGUUCAAAGGCUCCAGAAAGAACUGGAUGCAGCUAAUGCUGAUUUGAUCCGCUAUGCCUGCAACGACAUUCCCACAGGCUUGCCUCAAGUGACGGGGACGAGUUCGGUUCAACCUCCUCUAACUCCCCGUAACAGGCUAGCUGAGUUUAAUAGAAGGGUUGGUAAUGAAGGAGGAGGAUUCUAUCAACUCCCUGGUGCCCUUCCUUAUUCUUUCCCUUGGAAUGAUGCCUCUUCAGGUGAUAUGAACGAUGGAGGUGGAGAAGGCGGUAUGUGAACCAACUUCAAUUUCAGGUAAUAUGCUCCGUUUAGGGUUUCCCUAUAUGGUGCAUAUGAUCUUGUUGGGAUGGGUGUUACUUUGUCUGGUUUAUGGCUAGCCUGUGCGUUCUCGAGCUAGAGAUAUUGUCACUUAAGUACUUGUAGUAAUAUUGUUUGCCUUACUAUCAAAAUUUGGUGGGUGCAGUAAAACUCUUAUGGUUGUCCUGCUAAUACCAGGGGCUUAAAAUGUGUCAUCGGCAUUGUACUAUAUAUGUUGUGGGGAUUUGGACCUAAAAUAAGGGGGUAAUAGAGCCAUAUCUAUUAUGGCAACUAAACCUUUUGUUGCGUCAUUAGUGCAGCAGCAGCUCCGGGCGUGGGUGCAUGUGGAGUUGCUCUUCCCUUCUGUCAUUUGUUUUAUGCUUUAAAAAAUAAGUGAGAUGAAAUAGUUGCGGUGUUAAGGUCGAACUUUAAAAAGGAUUCUCCAAGCCUAAGUAGUCUAUGCCCUAGUCCUCCUUUACGCUAUUUAUUCUACCUUUCUACUUUGUUCUUGAGGACCACCCGGUUUAAUUUUAUUCAUAGCCACAGAUUUCAAAUGCCCAAAAAUUCAACCCCAAGUUGCUCCUGAAUAAUUAAUCACUAUUUGUGUAUAUUUAUAUAAUAUAAUAUGCAGCAAGUUAAAUUCUUAAAUAUAUAUAGGAUCCGCCGGCUGACCUUCCAGCGAUAGCAUGUUCUACUAAUAUUAUAUUAGUGUUUUACUAAUUUAAAACCCCUAUACGUAUGAAACAAAUUUAAACAAAAUUGAACAGUCGGUGUCACUACUUUUUUUUCUGCUUUUUGAUUAAUCUUAUUCAAACCUCAUUGAACUUUAAGUAGGUUGUGCAGAAAAAUAAAAAAGAAGGAAAAGGGAGGGUGUGAGUUUGAGCAGUAGUUUCGUAGGUGGUGAGACCCAGCUGGCUAGGGCUAGCUUGCACCACCUCCCAUUUCCAUGGUAACAGGUAUUUCAAACAGUGAGUCACAGUUACUGUCGUCAUUGGAUCCGAUAUGUAAAACCAUUGGUUUACUCCUUGUUGCAUGGAAGGGUUGUUUCAGCUUUUCCUUCCCCAGCCAUUUCACUAUUAGCAAUUAGGAUCCCCCCACAUCACAUUAACCUACACUACAACAGUAGAACCUCAUUCACAAAAAGUCUCGACACACUCUCUCUCUCAUAAUUUUGCACCCUUCCUGUUUGUUUUUCUAUUGGUUUAUAUUUACUUUUUGAACGUUGUGAUAUUUUUUUUUGUUUAAUAUAUGAUAGGUAUAGCCUAGCUAAUAAUAUGAAUGGAAGCCACAGGGAAGAAAGCCAGAAACUUAGGAAGCUUAGGGUUUUUACAUUACAACACAUCACCCUACACUUAUAGUUUUUUUUUUUUUUUGAAAGGUCAGAAGAGGCAGUUGAAGCAUCAUAUGUCGUUAUCAAACAAAUUAAACUCAGUUAUGUCCUUAAAAAGGAAAAGGGGGUCUCACUCACUUUUGUUUUUCCUCCAAAUUAACUAAGCUGUCGUUUUCAAAAAUUAAACCAACGUCAACAAAGAUUUUUGAAGACAAUAAUUAUUAAUUUAGGGUUUGAAAGGGGGGGGGGAGGGUUGUUUUAAAUUUUGAUAUCCUUGACUUUGGAAUUUCCUUAAUUUCUUCGACUGUCUAAUUCAUUUCAUUUCAUUGCCAGCCAGCCACACGCUUGCAUUCAUGUGUCGUUGUGGAAAGCACGACGACCAUCUUCUGGUACUCCCACUUUUUGUCAGCGCAUACUAUUGAUCUAAAUCUACCGGCCCACAGGAAUGCUCAAUAUAUCUCUCCUCCUCUUCCAUCAAACUUUCAAAAACACACAUAUAUAUAUUAUUGCUACUAUAUGUAUCUGUAUUUCUACAGAGACAUAAGUACAUGAUAAGAUACUAUACUAAUAGAGAAAAAGUUAAGACUGUCCUCUCCUCUCCUCUUUCCCGUCUCUAUCAUUCAUGGCCUCUGGGUCUGCCAGUUGCAGUGAGAGUCACGUCUUUUGUCCUCCAAUUCAUCGCCUCCUCAUUCAUCCCAGUACUGCCCACUAUUUUAGUCCGUUAUGAUUUGGCCUCAUUUCACCAUUACCUUAUACUAAUAAAUUUUGACAUCAAUAAAAAGUAAUCAUUAUUAUUAAUUAAAUUAAAAGAAUGAGUUUGAUAGUUGUAGCUAUGGUACUGUUAGGUUUCAGAAGGUACUCUGAGAUCAGAGGGCAAGUAGGGCUUUUCUGAAGUUUAAGUUUAUUGGAGUAAAGCUUUCUGUUCCACUUCUGCUGCUGCUGCUGUUUUUUAAUUUCCCCUUCAUAUACCUGAAGAAUGAAAAAGUCAUUACUGAAUUGAGAAUCCAUCAAACCUUACCCCAUCAAUCUUUCACUGCAAAACGUGAAAAAGAAGCAAAGAGCAGGUUAAAAUUGACAGUGGGAUUUCUUUUCUUAAAAAAAAGAAAAGAAAAAAAAGGGGAAAUUGUAGCAAGGGAAAGGACAAAUAAAUACAGGGUGUGCGGGUCCUAUUUAAUUAAACCAACAGCCUAUGCCCCCCCCCCCCAUCCACACAAGAAAAACUCUUACAAAUGGUUGUGUCCGGACGGGGAGGGACUCAUCAUUUGUAUCUUUUAGGUUGGAUGUUUUUGAUGUUCCAAGACACUGAAAAAUGUUGGGAUUUGGGAAUGUGGGUUCUUGCUUUUUCUAUUUUACUUACUGCAUUCAUUCGCCAUCGAGAUCAUAUAUGAUACACCAGAAGAAUUUUUUAAAAAUUAAAAUUGAAUAAGUGUUAUCAUCUCAUAUUAUAUAACAUAUAUAUUUUCAACUAAUAAAAAUACUUCCGCCAAUGCAUGGUACACUACUUACAUAGCUUCAGCAAAGUUUCAGUGAAGCUCACUACUUCAGCUACUGGUAUUUUGUCGGCUCCUACAGAAGAUAAGUAUGUGUGAAUGACUAGCAUUUAUCCUAUUAAGAAAAUUUUAAUCUAACUUCAUUUCAAAUGUAAAAUCAAGGUUAGAUCGGAAAAACGUUUCACUUUUAUUUUUGAUUUUAUAAGCAUAGAUGGAAAAUAACAAAACCGUGACAUCACCACUAAUUCUUUGACAGCAGGUAAAAGACAACACAUAUUCUUUCCAAUAAAUCUAUUUGGAACAAAUCAUCGAAGAAUAAAGAGAUAUUUUUCGGCGGCAGUUUGUAAGAGAUUUACUUUCUGAAUUUCUUUUUCUUCUUUCCUUCAUAAUUAAUUCAUGAAUGCAAUUAAUAAAAAGGAAUACACUUUAUUAAUUUAUUACUUUAUGGAUUGCUUCCGAUUUCCAAAAGACCCUAACGUGUAUUCAGAUGCUCAUCAUAUAUUCAUAAUGCAAUUUACGUAAAUUAGACUAAGGAAAAAAGAAAUAUACCUAAACACUUGUCUUAACAAAUCAUAUAUAAUCAAAAAAAAAUUUUAAAAAUGUGGGUCGUGAUGGUGAAACUAAACUUUGAAUCUACCCUAAAAAAUGUGGAAAACCAUUAACAAAUAAACUAUGGGUCAUGAUCGUUGUUAAUAUUAACCAUGUUACUCUUUUGUUCGCAACCGCCAUUAGAUAUGAUGCUGCAAAUGCAUCAUUACCCAAAUCUAAUGGGCGUGCUUUUUUAAGUUUUUAUCUUAUUAUAUUUUUUAAUGAUAAAUAAAGGAUAGGGAUUGUCCAGAAAUUUAAUCCGAGAUCAGUCUACCAUUUUUUUUUCUUAAUUGAGUUAAUGUAUAUUUUUAUACUCCUUUAAUGAAUUAGAGGAUGAUUCAUCAUCUAAAAUUUCUAAAAGUAAUUCUAUUGAUUAUAUUACAUUAGCUAAUUCACUUUUCGUGCCUAGCAUUACAAAUUGUUAGUACAUUAAAUAUAAAUAUUUUUUUACCUAGAAGAAUUAUGAACUCAACAGCCUACCAAUAUUUUUUUAAAUAAAUAUUUUGCUUAAUUAAAAAAUUUUCUCUUAAGGAUUUAUUUAUUAAAUAAAUUUUAAAUAAAAGGACUUUGCCUUAUUAAUUAAUUACCUUAUGUAAUCAUGUGAUUAAUAAAUAUAAUUUAUUUUUUACUUUAAGUUACAAGUAUAACCACAAUUACAAUAAUAAAUAUUGCAUCUAAAAUUAUAAAAAUAAUAAUUUAUUAUAAAGUAUUAUUAAACUUACAAGUAAAUAUCUCUAAACCUAAACUAGAAUAAAUAUAUAAUAUUCAUAUAUUGUCAUACAGACCAAAAAUUCAUACAUAAUUUAUGUAAAGUAAAACUCAAGCUUAACGUCCUAAAAUUCUCAAGAGUCUGUACAAUAAUAAAUAAACUAAAUAAAAAAUAAGAAGAGAGUAUAAUAUUUAUUUUUAUUUACAAUUUAGUCGUAAAUAAAUAUUAAAGGGUUUUUAUGAAACUUGAAAGCAAUAAAUGUAUUUUAUAUUAAAUUUGAAGGAGGUAUAGAAUAGGUGUCUUUUACGUUAAGCAUGCAUCUAAGCAACCUAAAAAUGGCAGGGCAUUGAGAUACGGGGCGCAUACAAAAGAUACGUUGCGAAAGAGAAAGGAUAAACAUAUGUGGUUAACUUUUUUUGUAGAUUUCUUUUUUAUUUUACGAUUAAUUCUUUGUAAUAUUAUAAAAAUGACAAAGCUGAAAGUGCUUCUUUUGUCAGAUUGCCAAUGAUGAUAGUCAUCAUGGGUGUUAUUACAACUAAUACAGGGAGAUUAUGGGUUCAAAGAAUUGCGCUUUUGUCGGAUACAUAACAUAUAUAUAUAGUUUUUCUGUCGUCCAAAUAUUCUUUAGGCAAGCGAAGAAGAAAAGGGAGAUCACAGCCGAAUUGCAGUUCAGAAUUCGGAGAGUACCAUUUCUUGUAUUGUUAUGUGAACAUAUUAUAUAUAAAAGAAAAGCAAAAAUAAUCUGGAUAUGAAAGAUUGCAAGAAUAUGUUGCAGCGGCGCUAGCUGAGUAUUAAUUAUUCUUGGGGAAAAUGCUGUUUGGAAGUGUGAAUAAAUAAUAUUUAAGGAAUGUAUUUAAUAUUUCUCUAAUCAUAUGAGCAUAAAGUGUUAAUAUCUCGUCUCCUUCGAUCGAAUAUGUGCAGGUUUUGACUUGGGGAAAGUGGCCUGCCCAGUGCGCAUCAACCAUAAAGUUGGCACCACUUCUUUUCUUCUUUUACAUUUACAUUUGUGUUGUAUAUUAUAUUCAGUAUAAUUAUAGUUAUAAUUUAUUUUAAUUUAAUUUUGAUACGUUAUCUUAUUGGUUUUAUAUCCAUUCUAACUAUAUUCCACUUGAUUUUCCAUUUGAAGAGAAUACAAGUCAAAUUCAUCAUUGAAGCAAAGCAUAUUCUCUUCAACUUGUGAAUUCUAAUAUGUUAGUUUUGUUUGAUUUUAGCAUUUUCCUAGGGCACAUUGCAUUUCACAAGCCCUCUGUGACCUGAAAUUUCUAAGAUAUAAUUUAUCAUUCUUAUUAAUUAAUCGUUAUUUGUUGACCGAGUUUUAACUCAGUUAAUCACCAUUGUUGUAAUAUCAAAAAGGACAUGAGUUUAAUUAUGCUUAAGCAUAUUACCAUCUGAUUUAAAGAAUAGAAAGUUAAAGAUAAUUUAGGAAUUGUAUCAAAAAUAAUAAUCAAUAGUUAUUUACACAGAAGGUUAAAUUUCUCCUCCUUAAAACUCUAAAGCAGAAGAAUCAUUCCUAUAUUGAUUUCAAAACAACAAUGACAACCAAUGCCACUCAUUCACAUCAUAUCAUAUCCUAGCAUAGCACGUUUGAGACCAACAUGACACAUUUCUUGAACUAUCUAGAACUAUACCUCAAUCUAUUUACAAAGGGGUGUAGGCAAUCCAUCCUUAUUUACAAUGCAUACCAGGGAAGAUAGAGGUUGUAUCACCCAGCCUUCAAUACUUGUCUUCUCUUUGUAUUGAGUGCAACCAAUCAACAACCUUAUUUGCAUUACAUCUGAUCAGGUUGAAAUCAAAACAUCAAUCAUUGUUCAUCGGCUUAUCAAUUAAUUUCCUAGAAAAUUAUCUUAGCCUUUAUCUUUGCCUCACUUCAUUCUUAUUUUGUUGAAGUUUAUCUAAGAAUCAAUUUCCAAGAUCAUCUUAUCAUAGUUAUUUUGGUUAGCCAAAUCUAUCCAUGUUUUAGCCAAUGCCUCUACCAUGUUCGAGAAUCACCCAUCAAAUUCAUUCCUAUUACAACUAAAAAUCUUCCAUUAGCAUCUUUCCCAGUCAUUCUUACCCAUGCUUGCUUCAAUUUAGAAUUGAAUGCAUCAUCAUAGUUUAUUUUAACCCAUCCUUCACUUGUAUUUUGCCAUUGUAUAAUAGAAAUAUCUACCUUAUUUCUGUUAGAAUUAAAUGACCCGAAUCAUUAUUUAAAUAAAAUACAGUGGUAAAAUAAAAUAAAAGUAAAAUCCAUAUAGAACUACACUUCUUUUAUUUUAUUUUAAAAUAAGGUUUUUUAAACAUUAUUAAACUCCAUCUAUUUUAUAUUGAUUAGAAUAAAAUGUUUCAAUCUUAUUAGAAUAUGGCUUUACAAGCCUAUAAAUAGACAUAGUCAAUUCCUCUAGUAUUUCAUUCGAAUUCGACAUAGUGAAAUUUCUUCUCCUCUACCCGUGGUUUUUUUCCCGAAAGGGUUUCUAUGUAAAAUCUGUGUGUUCUUUAUUUUAUUUAUUUUAUUUAUUUUAUUUUAUUUUCAUAAAUUGGUAUCAGAGAUUCUGGAUAGUUCAUCUCGAUCACGGUAAUGGCGUCUUUGAAGUAUGAAAUUUCGCUGUUGGAUCGCAACACCAGAUUUGCAUUGUGGAAGAUUAAGAUGCAAGUAGUUCUUGCACAGAUGGAUCUGGAGGAUGCCCUGCUAGGGAUAGAUAAGAUGCCUUCGGCAUUAAUAGAUGAAAAGAAGAAACGUAAGGAUCGAAAGGCGUUAACACAAUUACAUCUGCAUUUGUCCAACGAAAUUUUACAGGAUGUGAUGAAGGAGAAGACCGCCACUGUAUUAUCGAAGAGGCUGGAACAAAUAUGUAUGUCGAAAACUCUAACAAGCAAGUUGCAUAUGAAGCAGCGUCUUUAUGCUCAUCGUUUGGAGAAAGGUGCGUCUGUACACAAACACUUAACAGUGUUUAAAGAAAUUCUCUCAAACUUGAAGGCCAUGGAGGUUCAGUAUGAUAAGGAAGAUCUAGGUUUGAUUCUAUUUUGCUCGUUGCCCCCGUCUUAUUCAACCUUUAGAGGCACAAUUUUGUAUAGCUGCGAGUCUCUCACAGUUGAUAAGGUUUAUGAUUUUUUGACCUCGUAUGAUAAGAUGAAGUAUUUUAUGGUUAAACACGACUCUCAGAGAGAGGGUCUUAUUUUUCGUGGAAGACAAGAUCAGAAUGCUGAUGAUGAUCGUGGAAGGACACAGAAAAGGAAUCCUCGCGGUAAAUCUAAGGGUAGAUCGAAGUCUUCAAAUAGAGGUAAAACUUGUAACUUCUACUAGAAGAAAUGGCACAUUAAAUCUGAGUACAAUAAGCUACAAAACACGAUUAAAAGAGAGGCUGCGAAUCAAAAGGGAAAACAACCAAAAAAAUUUGGUGAAGCUGAUGUUGUAGUAGACUACAGCGAUGGUGAAUUUCUAGUCGCUUCUGUCAACAAUUCUAAAGUGAGCGAGGAGUGGAUACUUGAUUCAGGCUGUACCUUCUACAUGAGUCCCAAUCGGGAUUGGUUUACAACUUACAAAACAGUAUCUGAAGGUGUUGUUUUGAUGGGAAAUAAUGCUUCAUGUAAAAUCGCAGGUGUUGGAACAAUUAAAGUUAAGAUGUUUAAUGGAGUGGUCAGAACACUGGGUGACAUACGACAUGUUCUAAAAUUGAAAAAAAAAUUAAUUUCGUUGAGUACUCUUGAUUCAAAAUGGUACAGAUACACAGCUAAAAGUGGAGUUUUAAAGAUUUCCAAAGGUUCCCUUAUUGUGAUGAAAAGGCAGAGAAAGACUACCAAGUUAUAUGUUUUGCAGGGUUCUAUCGUUACUGGUGAUGCAGCUGUUGCUUCCUCUUCUUUGUCAGAUGAUGAUAUUACUAAACUUUGGCAUAUGCGCUUAGGGCAUAUGGGUGAAAAUGGCAUGGCAGAAUUGAGCAAAAGAAGACUUCUUGAUGGGCAAAGAAUUUGCAAACUGAAGUUCUGUAAGCACUGUGUUUUUGGGAAGCAAAAGAGAGUUCGAUUCACUAGAGGAAUCCAUAACACGAAGGGAACAUUAGAGUAUAUUCAUUCUGAUCUGUGGGGGCUAUCCAGAGUGCCUUUGAGAGGUGGAGCUAAUUAUAUGCUAACUUUUAUUGAUGAAUUUUCGAGAAAAGUUUGGGCGUUCUUUUUGAAGCAAAAAAGCAAUGUGUUUUUCGUAUUUAAGUCUUGAAAAAUUAUGAUUGAAAAACAGACGGGAAAACAAAUAAAAUACCUUCACACAGAAAAUGGCUUAGAGUUCAGUUUUGAUGAGUUUAAUAGACUAUGCAAGUCAGAAGGGAUCAUGAGAUACUUGACAGUUCGUCAUACUCUACAGCAAAACGGUGUUGCAAAACGAAUGAACAAAACGAUCAUGGAGAAGGUUCAAUGUAUGUUGUCAAAUGCUAACUUACCAAAGUCGUUUUGGGCAGAAGCAGCCUCUACUGCAUGUUUUUUGAUCAACCGAUCUCCAUCCGUUGCCAUUGAGAAAAAGGCUCCAUAAGAGGUAUGGUCUAGUAAUCCUGUUAAUUAUUCUAACUUAAAGAUCUUUGGGUGUUCUACGUAUGCUCAUGUUGAUAAUGGAAAAUUGGAACCGAGAUCCAUUAAAUGUGUUUUUCUUGGUUAUAAAGUCGGUGUAAAAGGGUAUAAGUUAUGGUGUCCUGAAAAUAGAAAAGUUGUGAUUUGCAGUGUAAUAGCUCGAAUUUCAGCAAUGUCGAAAAUAGUGGUUCAAGACCAUCAAAUUCGACAAAUGAACUCGUAGAUUAUAUUAUUUAAUAUUUACGAGCCAAAUGUAGUUUUUAAAAGAUUUUGAAAUAGUAAAUUGUGUUUUAUAAAGAUUUAUUUGAUUAAGAAAUUGAGUAAAAAAGGUAUCGAGAUCUCGGUGUUAUAAACCGAGCCAUAAAUAUUUUUAUCAAUAUUUACGGAGUUUCAAUAAGGUAGUAUUGAAAUUUCGUUUGAAAAUUUUGACGUUUGGAUGGUUAAUUAAAUAAAAAGGACUAAAUUAAAAAAUGUGUAAAAGUUGCUAAAAGGAUUAAAUAGCUCAAUUGUCAAAUGAAGAAGAACCUAAAGUAAAAAUAAGCCCAAAGGAGAUAUUUUGGGCGGCAAUAGCUGAGAAAAAUCAAGAAAUGGGUGAAAUAAGGGCAAAAUUAAAAAAUUGUCAAAAUUAGCUAAAUAAAAAUGGGACUAAAUUGGAAUAUCUAGAUUUCUCUUCAAUUCUCUUCAUUUUCAUCAACUGAAAAAUAGCCAUGGAAGAGGCUUCAAGCUGGUUUUCAUACUCUAGCUUCAUGUAAGUUUAAUUCUUGCUUUCUCCUUGAAAUUUCUAUGUUUUUGUACUUUUACAAUUGGGUCCAACUUACUAUUUUAUUAGUUUUUGAUUUCAUGGCUAAUUUUUUAAAGUUUUUAUGGAUGAGUGCUGGAAUAAAAUGAUGAAUAAACAUAGAAUUGAAGCUUUAGUUUUGAUAUAUGAUAAUUUUAUCAAGUAAAAUUGAUGGAAGUUGAUUUGAGGACCUAAUUGUGAAAAUGUUUGGAAUUAAAGUCUAGUGCUGAAAUUAUGAUUUCCAAGGGUUGUAAAGUAGUUUAAAAUGAUAGAAUAAAGUGUUAAUUGAGAAAAAUCAGUUCAAUUGAGAGGCUAAUUGAGUAGGGACGAAAUCAUUAAUUAUUAAAAGCUUAGGGGAAAAAUGGUAAUAAACAGCCUGCACUAAAACAAGUUUGGACAGCAGCAGUAGACUAACUUUGAAAAAUCACCAUAAAUUUUAUAAAUCAAAUUAGAAGAUGAAAAAAUAUGAAAUUAAAGCUUAUUGAGUCUAGUUUCUCAUAAAAGAAACAGUGUAAGCAAUGGAUUUGUAAAUCAUGAGAUAUAAUAAAUUUUGUGAGACAAGGUCAGAAUGAAUUCGGGUUCCCCUGUUCUGAAUUUUAAAAAUAAUAAAAAAUUGAAUAAAAAUAAUUAAGGGCUUAAAUUUAUAUUUCUAUAACCCUAAAUGAGUCUAUAUUCAAGAGAAACAAACGAGAACAUCAUUCGAAUCCUGUAUGAAGAGAUAAUUAUUUUUUAGUGAAGAAGGGUCAGAACUGUCAGACAGCAGAAUAGGGGUGACUUUAAAGAAUAAACUGUACUUAUUGGCUAAACCAAAAAUUCUGAAAAUUUUAUGGUAAGAAGAUAUGUGAGUCUAGUUUCAGGGAAAAUUAGAGGAUAUUAAUUUUGAGUUCCAUAGCUCCAGAUAUAAAUAAUUGAGUGACUAUGACACGGGUGAAUAGCUUGAAUAUUCACAUAAAUAAUUAGUGAAAAUUAUGGAUAAGGUUACUUACAAGUGUGUUAUUUAUACCAAGGAUGUGGAUAGAGAGGAGGAGGAGGAAAAAUAUAUGAAUGAAUCGUGUAUAAAUUGAUCAUAUGCCCGUUUAUAAUCGAUAAAUGUUGAAUUAGAAAUGAUAUAAUGUUUUAUUUGGAAUAUUUAUUAUGAAAUUAUGAUUAUCACUCUAAUACAAAAAUUGAAGUUGUGAGUUUAUAUGGCUAAGUUUUAGUGAUUAUUUGUUAAUUUUAUGAAUUUCAUGAUGUGUUAUUUCAUAUGUAUUGAUGAUAAAAUCGUGAAUAAUGUAAAAGCAUGAAAAUUGAAUAAAUGAUCAAAUUGAGCACUUCAGUUCAGUGACAAGGUGAAUUGACGGAAAAGAACAUGGUUGGACUAUGGCAACCAGUGAUAAGUGAUAGCUUCGGCUACACUUAUCUGAUCAAGGAUAAGUGAAAGUGAUAAGCAAUAGCUUCAGCUACACUUAUCUGAUCAAAGAUAAGUGAAAGUGAUAAGUGAUAGCUUCGGCUACGCUUAUCAGAUCAAGGACAAAUGACAAGUGAAAAGUGGUAGCUUCGGCUACCUGAUCAGUGAAAAGUGGUAGCUUCGGCUACCUGAUCAGUGAAAAGUGGUAGCUUCGACUACCUGAUUAGUGAAAAAUGGUAGUUCUGGGUACCUGAUCAGUGAAUAGUGGUAGCUUCGACUACAAGUGACAAGUGAUUUCCGUAUAAGACUAUAUUUGGGAUAUGGCAUCGGUGUGAUAUAUGCUACUAUAUAAGACCAUAUCUGGGAUAUGGCAUCAGUGAGAUAGGUAAUUCGAGUAAGACCAUAGUUGGGCUAUGGCAUCGAUAUGUGAUCCGUGUAAGACCAUAGCUGGGCUAUGACAUCGAUAUGUGAUAUGUGAUUACGUGUAAGACUAUAGCUGGGCUAUGGCAUCGAUAUAUGAAUAUGUGUAAGACCAUAGCUGGGCUAUGGCAUCAUUAUGUGAAGAUGUGUAAGACCAUAGUUGAACUAUGGCAUCGAGAAAACGAAGUACUCAAUUCCGUAAGACGUUCACUAAUUUGACUAAGUUUGUUAAGUGUUACAUGGAAUUAUGUGAUACAAGGAAGUACGAGUUGAUAAGAUAUGAGUAUAGAAAUUGGUUGAUAAAUGAAUUCAUUUAUGAUUAUAUAAUUGUUCAUCUUGAAUGUACUGUCCAUAUGUAUUGAUAAUUCAAAUGUUUUAAUGAAUAAAGUUCCGACAUGGAAUAAAUUGAACACGAGACAAAUAAUUAUAAAAUUGAACUCAGAAUUCAUGAAAAUGCCAGUUAUUGAUAUAUGGAGACAUGAGACAUUGAUAUAUGAAUAUGGAAAAUGUUUGAUAAAUGUGUUCAUUCAUAAUUAUGGAAUUAUAUACCUCAUGUGUACUAUUUGCAUAAAUAUGAUAUUUCAAAUAUUUUGGUUAUUUAAGCUUAAAUAUGAAAUAGUUUGAAAUCAAGAUAAGUUGUUAUGAAAAUAUAUUUAGAUUACAGAGAUAUGGCUGAUAUAUGUUGUAUGAUUACAUAACGUGAAAUUAUGUAUAUAUAUGAGAAAUUUAAUGAGAAUUGAGCCCAUACAUGUUUCUUGUUAUUUAUAUGAAGUGUACGACUGACAAGGGUGAUGAAGUUAUAAACAGAGAGUUACACGGGUUGAAAACACGGGCGUGUGACUCGCCAAAGUGUGAAAAAUUUCUAAGUCUUGCAAAAGUUUCAUAUCUUUACGGUUUGGUCUCGAACCACCCUGAAUGUGUGUUUUGCGCCCCGUAGGCCCAUAUAAGGGACGUUAAACAUAUGUAUGAAAGUUUUUAAUUUAGAAGAAAUUUUAUGGAUGAUUUUUACAUGAUUGAACAUAUUAAGUUUGGUAAUUCCUCGUACCCUAUUCUAGGCUCGGAAUACGGGUAGGGGGUGUUACAAGCAGAGAUGUCGUUUUUUAUGAAACUGCUAUGCUACCUAACUUAUCUCUUAAAGACUCUUCUAGUAAAGAAAAUCAAAAGCAGGUGGAGCAUCAGAUUAAUACAGAGUCGACUCCUCAAGCCAGUACAGAAAUUGAGAAUAGAGUUUCUUCUUCACCACAAUACUUUAUUGCCAAAAAUAGAACUAGAAGAGAAAUUAAACCUCCAAAGAAGUAUGCCGAGGUUGAUCUAGUUGCUUAUGCUUUAAAUGUGGCUAAAGAUAUAGAUACAAACUGAGAGCCAUCUAAUUAUUCUGAGACAGUUAGCUAUGAAGACUCAGAAAAGUGGAUUUUUGCUAUGCAAGAGGAGAUGGAAUCACUCCACAAAAACAGAACAUAGAAUCUUGUGAAACUUCCUAAAGGUAAAAAGGUUGUUCGUUGUAAAUGGGUGUUUAAAAAGAAAGAAUGGACUCCAGGAGUUGAAGAACCUAGAUAUAAAGCAAAGCUUGUUGUAAAGGGUUACAGUCAAAUUCCAAGAGUGGACUUCACAGAUGUGUUCUCCCUAGUUGUGAAGCAUAGUUUGAUUCGAGCUUUGCUUGGUAUUGUGGCCAUGCAUGAUUUGGAGCUUGAGCAGUUAGAUGUAAAAACUGUAUUUUUGCAUGGAGAACUUGAGGAAGACAGUUACAUGCAACAACCAGAGGGUUUUACAGUCUUAGAAAAAGAGGACUAUGUUUGCUUGCUGAAAAAAUCCAUUUACGAUUUGAAACAGUCACCAAGACAGUGGUACAAGAGGUUUGAUUCCUUUAUGACUUCUCAUGAUUUCAAAAGAAGUAGUUUUGACAGUUGUGUUUUUAAGAAAAACAGUGAUGGUUCUUUUGUGUAUCUACUUCUUUAUGUUGAUGACAUGUUGAUAGUAGCAAAAGAUAAAGGAAAGAUAAGAAAGGUCAAAGCCCAACUAAGUGAAGAAUUUGAAAGAUUUGGAACCAGCAAAAAAGAUACUUGGUAUGGAGAUUCUUAGAGAUAGAAAAGCAAGUAAAUUGUACCUAAGAAAGGGUACAUUGAGAAAGUUCUUUGCAGGUUCAAUAUGUAGAGUGCUAAGCCUGUUAGUACUCCUUUAGCAGCCCAUUUCAGACUUUCAUUGGCUUUGUCUCCACAAUCAGAUGAUGAGAUUGAGUACAUGUCAUGUAAUGACUUAAAUUUUACCGAUGUCGAAAAAGUGUAUUUUCGGGUCUUUAUUUCUGAAAAGUGGAUUCGUAAAUAUUUAUUUAAAAAUAUUUACGAAGUAAAAUGAGUGGUUAAUUAGAGUUUAAUUAAGUGAAUUUAAUUUAAUUAAGAAUAAUUGGAUAAAAGGAUUAAAUUGAAUGAAGUGUGAAAGUUUAAUUAAGAAUAAAGAAAAUUAAAAGGACUAAAUAAGUAAAUAAACCAAAAAGAGUGCCAAGUGUAUGGCAAAAAUAAAAUACAAGUAUAGUAAAUAUAAUACACACAUUUGUAAUACAUAUAUGUAUUUGCUUAUUAUUUAAGUAAAUAUUAAUGUAUUUAUUAUUAUUAAAUUAAUAUUUUAUGAUAAAUAAAUAAAAAGUUGACAAAUGUAUGGUAUGUAUAGUGACAUGUGUGAUACUAAUAUACAUAUAUUUGUAAAAUACAUGUAUAUUUACUUAUUAUAUAAGUAUAUUAUUAAAUUAUAUAUUAUUAUUAAGUAAAAGAUAUUUAUAUAAUAAAUAGAUUAGUGAAAGACAAAUGUGAUAUUGUAAUGGAUACAAAUAUUAAAAGAAUAUUUGUUAUUAAAUAGAUUUUUAUAAUGGAUAAUUAUUAAGUUAUUAUAUUAUAUAUAUAAUGGUUUAAUGAAAAAAAGAAAGAAAAAGAAUAGAAAUAGAAACAGAAUAGGCAAAACGAAAAGCAGGGAAAGAAAGAAAGAAAGGAGAAAAGAAAGAAGAAAGGGAAAAUUAAAGGUUUGAAGCUUGAGGUUUAAAUAGCUAACGUUGUCUUGGGAAAUCUCGACUAAGCAAGGAAAAAUGGCAAAGACAACGGGAGUUAGCUCGAGAAAAUACGGUUUGUAUUUCUAUAAUCCGAACCUAGUUAUUAUUUGUUAUAUUUUUUUUAUUUAAUACAAUUAAUAAAUGUUGAAGUGAGAAUUAUUGUGUUUAUAAUGGAAAUUGAAUAUUUAUUAGUGAAUUGAUUUAUGAAUAUAUAUAAAUGUUUGAAUUGAAAUGAAUAUUGAUGUGGAAAUUGAAUAAUAAAUAUUUGUUAUAUUGGAAAAUAUAUGUAGUUGGAAGUGUGAUAAAAUUGAUAGAAAAUUGUGAUUAUUAUGAAAUUGAAUAUUUAUUAGUGAAAAGUGAAUGGAAUUAUAUUGAAUUAAAAAUAUAUAAUUAAUUAAUUAAAAUAUGAAUUAAUUGAAAACUGAAAAAUGAAUUAAAUACCCUAUUAACUAGUCGGACUAGUCGAUAUAGUUGACAUGCCAUAGGAUAUGGAAGAGUACGGGUUUUGCCGGCUUACUGAUCAGGCACUUAUGUGCCAACUACUAUUACUGUUACCGUUACUAUUACCGAUUCGGCACUUUGUGUGUCGGAUAUUGUUACUGUUACCGUUACUGUUACUGUUUCAGAUUUGUUCUGAUGAGGUACUCUGUGUACCGUAAUGUUAAUGUUACUGUUUCGGAUUUGUUCCGAUGAGGUACUCUGUGUACCGUACUGCUACUGUUACUGUUACUGUUCCGGCUUCGGCCGACGAGGCACUAUGUGCCGUACUGGUGUGUUGGUUGGAUCCAUGUAUCCGUCUAGGUCCGAGUCAUGUUAAUAGAGGUAAAUAAAGGUAUAAAAUAACUGAUUAUUACUGAAUAAUUGACUGUUACCGGAUAAUUGACUGUUACUGGAUAUUAGACUGUUACUGAAUAACUGAAUAUUACUGAAUAACUGAUUGUCACUGAAUGAAUAACUAUUACUGAAUAACCUAAUUGUUACUGAAUAUCUGAUUUUACUGAAUAAUUGACUGUUACUGGAUAACCAAUCAAUUGAUCGAUACUGAAUAACUGGUUAUUAUUGAAUAAUUGAUUGUUACCGAAUAACUGACUGUUACUGAAUAAAUAAUUGUUCUGAGUGUUAAUGAACAUUACUGAUUGAUUAAUUGUUAUUGAAAAAUAAUAAAUGAUAUGAAAUUUAAAGUAGACCAAAACAUUGGUUGGAAAGUGAAUGUUUGAAUUCUCAUUGAGUUUGAAUAGUUCAAUAUAUAUAAAUUAAUAUGUUUUAUAAUUGUUUAAGUGUUCAGAUUAUAGAAAUACUACUGAGUGCAUACUCAGUGUACGGUUUGUUUCCGUGCGCAGAUUAAGUUAAGGCUAGACUGUUGAAUCAACAUCCCAGGCUGAUCCCGAAUUCAAUGAGGUAAAGUAUGUUGAGUAUUGGUAAUGACAUGUACCUAGGAUGUUUUGUGAGAGUCAUUUAGGUUGUAGAAGUAUUGAUGAAAUGAGUAAAUUAUGGUUGUCAAUGGUAUAUAGUAUGAAGUUGAAAUAAUUGAUAUAGUAAGUGAUAUAUUUAAAAAGAUUCAUUGGAUAGGUUAUAAAAUGUUUUAGAUUGGUAAGAUUUGAGCAUAUUUAAGUGUAUUUGGAUUGUUUGAAUGUUAUCAAAUUGUAUUGGUUGAAGUUUUAAUUUGCAGGGUUAGAAAUAUUUAUUUUAAUAAAAUAUUAUAAUUGAACUGUACAGACCGGUAAUGCACUAUAAUCCUGUUUCGAGGACGGAUAAGGGUUAGAGGGUGUUACAUGUCACUUGUUCCAUACUCUAGUGCAAUGGGAUCUCUCAUGUAUGUUAUGGUUUGUUCACGUCCAGAUUUAUCAUAUGCAGUCAAUGCAGUUAGCAGAUACAUGACGAAUCUCGAUAAAGAACACUGGAAAGUAGUUCAGUGGAUUUUAAGAUACUUACAAGGUACUAUGAUGUCUACUUACGGUUUUGAAGAACUAAAGAUGGAGUUAUUGGGCAUGUUGAUACUGAUUUUGCUGGAGAUCUUGAUAGAAGAAGAUCUCUCACAGAUUAUGUCUUUACAAUCUGAGGUUGUGCAAUUAGUUGGAAAGCCACUUUGCAAACUACAGUCGUUUUGUCUAUCACUGAAGCUGAGUACAUAGUGAUUACUGAGGCUUGUAAAGAAGCUAUUUGGUUGAAGGGACUCUUUAGUGAACUCAAUAAAGACCUUCAAAUCAGUAUAGUAUUUUGUGAUAGUCAGAGUGCAAUCUUCUUUACAAAAGAUCAAAUGUUUCAUGAGAGAACAAAAUACAUUGAUGUUCGGUAUCAUUUUGUUCGUGAUAUUGUUGUGAGCAAAAUUAGUACUCAUGAAAAUCCUACAGAUAUGAUGACUAAGUCACUUCCUAUAACCAAGUUUGAGCAUUGCUUAGACUUGGUUGGUGUUCAUUGUUGACGUUAAACCCUUAAGGGGUUUUAUGGAAGAGGUGAAGAACUUGUUCGUUAAGAGUUCGCGAUGAAAAACUUGUUCAUUAAGAAUUCGUGUCAAGGUGGAGAUUGUUAGAAUUAAAUGACCUGAAUCCUUUUUUAAAUAAAAUACAGUGGUAAAAUAAAAUAAAAGUAAAAUCCAUAUAGAACUACACUUCUUUUAUUUUAUUUUAGAAUAAGGUUUUUUAAACCUUAUUAAACUCCAUCUAUUUUAUAUUGAUUAGAAUAAGGUGUUUCAAUCUUACUAGAAUAUGGCUUUACAAGCCUAUAAAUAGACAUAGCCUAUUCCUCUUGUAUUUCAUUCGAAUUCGACAUAGUGAAAUUUCUUCUCUUCUGCCAUGGUUUUUUUCCCGAAAGGGUUUUCAUGUAAAAUUUGUGUGUUCUUUAUUUUUAUUUUUUUCACAAUUUCCCUCAAGUGUAAUGGUCACCUUAAUAGCCUCUUAAAAAUCCUACAACUCAUAAGCAAUCCCAACUUGGUUAAAGAAAGUGGAAAGUUCUCUAUUUUCAAACCUAUUUCUAUCAUCACUCUUGAUUAUGAGGACUUUGCUAAUCACAUGUCCUUUCUCAUUCAUUAGCCUUAUACAUAACUAGUUGAAAACCCUAAAAGAUUCAGAUUUCUCCUUCAAAAUUCAACUGGACAUAUAACGUAAGAGAUCAUCAAUACAAACAAAUAUAUGCAUUUUUCUACCAAGACUUUCUAUUUUUAUUGUCCCCCAAAGGUCCAUGUGUAAACAAUUUAAUGGAUUUGUUAUGUUGAUAUGUUGCAACACCUUAUGAGACAUAGGAUAUUGCUUUCCAAUCAUGCAUUCAUCAUAUGGACUUUCCACUACUCCACCAAGUUUUGGAAACCCACAAACUAAAUUGUAUCUAUCAAUUUUAUGAAGUCUUCUAUAAUUCAUAUGAUGAAUGCAUUGAUGUUGUGUCUCUAGAUAUUGUGUAGAAACUUUGUUGCGCUACAAUAAGUCAACAACUUUGUAGCUGUUAUCGAAAGUCUUAACACAUGUUCAAACCUGCUUGUUCGCUCGUUCCAUCACGUCACAACCUUCUUUGUUGAAACUAACAUGUAGUCUUUGAUCACCCAACCAAUUAAUACUGAUAAUUUAUCCUUAAGCCUUUCAACAAUAAACAUAUUCUUUAACUCUAGGCUUUUUGUUGUGUUGCAACAUUGGUUGAAACUAUAACAGCACGUUUACAGUGAAAUCAGAAUAGUGGUUUCGGGACCACAAAUUUGAUAUCGUAAAAUUUAUUUUAUUAUAUUUUUAAUAUCUAUAGCAUGUUUGAAUUAUGGUAUAAAAAAUUCGUUAAGAAAUUUUACCGUUUGUUUACUCAAUUUGUGAAAAAUGACUAAAUCGCAUAAAGUACGAAAGUUGUGUUCUAUUAGCUAAAGGUGCUAAAUAGUUAUAGAACUUUAAUGUAGAGGUCCUUAUUGAGUAAGUUCUAUUAGCUAAAGGUGCUAAAUAGUUAUAGAACUUUAAUGUAGAGGUCCUUAUUGAGUAAUUAGACCACUAAUUUAUGUAGUGGAUUUACAUGGAGUGUAAUCAUGAAAUUUGUAAGGUUAGGUUGAUAUUAGGUAAUAAAUUGAUAAAAUAAUAAAAAUAAAAGAAUAAGCUUCAUCUUUCUUCAUCUUCCAUCGAUUUUUUCAACAAGAAAAUAGCCAUUGGAGAGCUCAAAAUUUCAGUAACAUAAACCCCUAGAAUGUAAGUGAAUCUUUGACCCGUUUUUGUUGAUUUUUAUGCUCUCGGGACUGUUGUAGCUUAAUCUAGCUAAAUGGAGGGUUAAUUUGCAUUAUGGUUGAAAGUAUAGGGUUUUUCCAUGAGAGAUUUUUAGUUGGUCUUAAAUUUUAAUGGAAGAAUAUGAGUCUUUUUUGUUAAUUAGACAACUUUUGUUAAGGGAUUUUUAAUGAAAUUACAAAUUAGGGGUUUAUUUGGGAGUUUUGAAACCUAUGUGUUAAAUGAAUAAAAUUGUGGAAUGUAUGGGCUGUUAUAAGCAUAUAUAAGUUUUUACUAGGCUUGGGUGUAGUGAAAUUUCAUGAAUUUCAAUUUUUACGAGCCUAAGGACUAAUUUGUAAGGAAGUCAAAUGUUUAGGGGCAAAAUGGUAAUUUUUCCAUAACAUGAAAUUGGAUUGAAUUGAUUAGAAUAAAUAUUAAAUUAGUUAAAGUUUAUUAUAUAUAUAUAGAUCAAGAAAAGCCACAUUCGGAAUUAGAUCGAGGCAAAGAUAAAGUGGUAGAUUGAUCGGUCGAUUUAAUCCGUACAAAUUUCGAGGUAAGUUCGUAUAGUUAAACUAUAAUGUUUAUUUAUUAAAUUGAUGAAUGCUAUUAUGAUUUUUUUCAUAUUUAUUGUUGAAUUAUGAAAUAUAAUUAAAUGAUCAAAACAAGUAAAACGCAGGAUUGAGUAUAAUCGUUUUCUGGCAAAAGAUGAAUUGUCGAAUAAGACCAUGGUUAGACCAUAGCAAUAUUUUUUAUGUAAGACUAUAGUUGGGCUAUGGCAUUCGGAACAUAAUACCAUAACUGGGUUAUGGCAUUAUGAAUGUAUGACUAUGGCAGAGCCAUGGCAAUGUAUAUGUAAGACCAUAGUUGGACUAUGGCAUAGGGAAAACAAUGUACUCAUAUCCGUAAGCCGUUCUCAGAUUCAAAAAGACUUGGUAAGUGAUAUAGAAAUUAAUAUAGAAAGACUUAUGAUUAUUAUUAGUAUUGAUCUAAAAUAAGUGUAUCCAUUGAUCUUUAAAUGACUCAAUAGAUACAGAGGAUGUUACAAAGUUAUUCGGAUUGAAACAAACUAGUACAGUUAUUCAUGAGAAAUUUCGAGAAAUAAUUUGUAGUUGAUGUUUUUGCUAAUACAAUUGCGAUUUUGUGUUUGGCUUUGGGCCAAAUUGGUAUUUACCUAUGUUUUAAUUAUGCUUAGUUGAAUUGUAGAUGAUUUGGUAAGAUGUAUUUAAUAGUCAUACGAACUUACUAAGCUUAAUUACUUACUUUGUUUAUGUUUUCUGUGUUUUAUAGUAUUUUGGAAGCACUCGUUUCGGAAGCCGUCAGAGAUCGUGCCACACUAUCAAACUCUUAUUUUGGCAUUUUAGACUUUACAUUUUGGGUUAAAUGGCAUGUAUAGGUAUUUUGGCUAAUAUGGCGUAUAUGUCUUGUUGAAUUUAAUAGUCAUACGAACUGACUAAGCUUAAUUGCUUACUUUGUUUAUGUUUUCUGUGUUUUAUAGUAUUUUGGAAGCGCUCGGUUCGGAAGCCGUCAGAGAUCAUGCCACACUAUCAAACUCUUAUUUUGGUAUUUUGGACUUUACAUUUUGGGUUAAAUGGCAUGUAUUGGUAUUUUGGCUAAUAUGGCCUAUAUGUCUUGUUGAAUUUUAGUCAUUUGUUUUGGCUUGUGAAUUGGUUAUGUAUUUUAGUAUUUAUAAAUGACCUUAUGAUAUGUGGUGUGAAAUUGCUAUAAAAUACGUUGCUUGUGCAAGUGUGUUUUGGUACUAAAUGGUUGUACUUGAGAUGAGUACACAUAUUAGGUUUAGCACAAUAUCUCAUAUUUGUAAUUGACCAUUUAGGUAGACUUUGGAAAUAGGUUUGAUAUGGGUUAAAGUGGUCUAGUGAAUGUGGUUAUGGUUAUCAUGUUGUAUGUGUGGUUAGUUCGCUAUAUAAGCAUAAUAUUUGUGGGUUUUUAAUACCUAUUUAUGCCUUGGUUAUGUUUGUGUAUAGGUUGAUUUCAGUGUGGGUGAGGAAUAUGGCCUGGAAAAUGGCAUAUUUUUGUCCACACGGGCAGAGACAUAGAAGUGUGUCUCAGCCGUGUGUGACACACGGCCAGGUGACACGGCUUUGUGUCCCCUGAUAAUCCUUUAGAAAUCAAGUCAGUAGCUUCACAUGGCCUAGCACACGGGUGUGCGGCUUGGCCGUGUGGCACAAGUUAGUAUACCUUCUAGUUUUAGCAUGGCCUAGCACACGGCCUGGCACACAGGCAUGUGAAGCCAUCUCAAUGGGCACACGACCUGGCACACGGGUGUGUGGUUGGCCGUAUAAUCUAAGUCAAUGAGUCACACGGGGUCGGGCACAGGCUGAGACACCGCUAUGUGACCCCCUUUCAAAUGCCCACACGGCUGAGACACACGACUUGGCCACACGGACGUGUGUCCCUUGCAUUUUGAAAAUUUUCUAUGUUUUUCAAAAAAAUUUCUUGAGUACUUGGUUUAGUCCCAAACCACUUUUAACGUCUGUUUGGGGCCUCGAAGACUCGUAUUAAGGAUGGUAUGAAUGUAUUUGAAUGGUUUUUUAUUUGAGUGACAAUUAAUUAUGAAAUUGAUAAUUGUUUAAGUUAUAAGUCUGGUGAUGCUCCAUAACCCUAUUCUGGCAUCAGAUACGGGUUAGGGGUGUUACAAAAACAUAGUAAUUCCUUUUGAGAUCAUUAAGAAGCAUGUAACAUAUUGGCUUGAUAUGACCAAUUACCUAGCAAUAGUGAAAUACAUGUCUAUUUCCUUUCUUAAGAUGAUUUACAACGAAAACCUGUCCAUUCUUCUUCUUCUUUGACACCUUUACUACACCUUUGGCUUUUGCAAACACAAUGGUUGAAUUAGAAGACUCGCUUAUGUCUCCAAGCCUUUUAUAGUUGUCCUGCUACUUCAUGCAACAAAGAUUUUGUUAAGUUUUUCAGUUCUAGAUCCCAUUUUCUUCAAGAUGAUUUAGACAGCUACUGUAAUGACUCGAUAGUCACUGGUAUCGAAAAGUGCAUUCCCAAGACUCUAUUCCUAUAAAUUAGACUCGUAAAUAUUUAAUAAAUAUUUACAAAACUAAUUGUGUAGUUAAUUAGGUUUUGAUUAAGUGAAUUUGUAUGAAUUAAGAGUAAUUAGGUAUAAGGACUAAAUUGCAUAUAGGAUGAAAGUUGAAUUAUAGAUUAAAGAAUAAUUAAAGGGACUAAAAAAGUAAUUAUACAAUUAUUUCUUUAGUAGGACGGCAUUAGGUAAAUUAGGUGUAAAUUUAUUAUAUAUAUUAUAAUAACUAAAGUUAAAAUAUAUAUUAUAAUAUGCUUACUUAAUAUUUAAGUAAAUAUAUAUAUUAUAUAGUAAUAAUAAAACAAAAUAAGCAAAAGAAAUAAAGAAAGACAAAACCAAAACCAAAAUUAGAAAAAAGAGAAAGAAGAAAAAAAGCAGAUGCACGGCCUUAGGGGCUUCAAAAUUUCAAAGUUCAAUUGAUUAGUCAAUUUAGUCCCCUUUUCUUGUAAUAUUUAUGUUUUUGAAAUCCUGAUGUUAAGAAUUACCUGACCCAUGUUGAAAUUUUAGCAUUGAUUGAGCUUUUAAAUGUUGUUAAUGUUGAAUAAUUUUAGUAUUAGGGAUUAAAUUGAUAGAUUUUUAAGCUAGAAGUGUAUACUCCAAAAGUUACUGCAGUAAGAAACUAAAAUAUUUUCCUUGAUAUAAUAAAAUAAUGAAAUAAAGUGAAAAAAAAGGGGAAUUUUGAGUUAUGUCAACAAAAUUUGUUUGGGAAGUAUAUUAUGAUAUAUUAAUUCAAGAAAAGACUAAAUGCAAAGGUGAGAAAAGUUUUGUGGCUUAAGAGUAAAUUUGAAAAAUUGAAGGGUAUAGAUUGUGAAAUGAAUUGGAACUGAAAUAUAUGCUAAUGAAUGAGUAAUUUUAUAUUUUAGAAUCAAGAUUUUAUAGAUACUCGUGAAAAAGAAAAAAUAGCAGAAUAGUCCCUGAACUCCUGCAAUUAUUAUAAUUUAAUUCAAGUAAGUUCGUAUGGUUAAACUAUAAUGCUUUUUUAUUAAAUUGAUGAAUGGUAUUAUGUAUUUAUUCAUAUCUAUUGCUGAAAAUAAAAUUAUUGUUAAAUUAUGAAAUUGAAUUAAAUGUUCAAAACGAGUGGAACGCAAUAUUAAAUACAAUCAUUUUAUAGCAAAGGAUGAAUUGACGGGUAAGACUAUGGUUGGACCAUGACAAUAUUUAUAAGUAAGACCAUAGCUGGGCUAUGCCAUUUUAAUGAAAAGACCAUAACUGGGUUAUGACACUUUUGAACGUAAGACCAUGGUUGGACCAUAGUAGUAUUUAUAAGUAAGAACAUAGUUGAGCUAUGGCAUUCUGAUGAUAAGACCAUAACUGGGUUAUGGCACUAUGAAUGUAAAACUAUGGUUGGGCCAUGGCAAUACAUGUGUAAGACCAUAGUAGGACUAUGGCACAAAGAGAACGAUGUACUCGAAUGGUAAGUUAUCGGGAGUUGUCUUAGAUGAUAUAUGAAGAAACAGUAAAAGAUGAUAUGUAUCAUGAAAUGUAUAUAUAUUAAUAUAUUGAUAUGUGAUACAUGAAAAUUAUGUAAGUUGAGACGAGCAUAAAUUCAAGUGUGACAUGUAGAGAUAAUAAGGUUAUUGAUGUUGUAAUUUUAUGAAAUAUGUGCAAGUACACUAACAAGUUUUGUUGUUUGAUGCUUAGACAAGUGCCAAGCUAUUGGUAGAAUGGUAAAAUGUUUAUUUAUAUGAUGCAUUGAAGUGGAAAUUACUCAAGAGAAAAUAUGCUAGUGCUCAUGAAAAAGUGGUAAGUUUUAAAUUGUGCAAUUUCUUACGAAAUGACUUACCAUGUGAUCAAUUCGAAAAAGGCUUUGUUUAAAUGCACUAGCUUGUAACCAUGGUUGAAUGGUAUGUUUAUGACUUGUGUGUCAUGCAUAUGGAAUAAGUGUGGAAAGUAAAGAAAUGCAAAUGAAAAUAAAGAAAUUUUGAAGAGUUAAAGUUAUUUAAAUCCUACUAAGCUUGGAUUAAUAUGUAUAAGUGAGGUUGUGGAUUGAUUCACCUUGUGUGUGGAUGAUAUAGCUUCAUGAGUAUUGCGAUAUCAAUUUUGAAUUAUUCUUGAUAUGUAUAAAUUUCAUAUUUGAAAAACUGUAUUAUGAUUAAAGUUUAUACGAGCUUACUGAGCAUUCAUUGCUUAUGUAUUUGUUUUCCUUUACUUUUCAGAUUAUUGAAAGCUCGAUUGGGUUGGAAGCUUGUCGGAGUUGUAUCACACUAUCCAUCAGUUCUAUCGAUACUUUCGAAUGUUUUGAUUUUGGUUAUAAUGGCAUGUAUAAGUAUUUUGCUUAGUGAUGGUCUAUAUGUAAUUUGUUGGGUUUAGCCACUUAUUUUGGCUUGUUGAUAUGUGUAAUGUUGAUUGUAGAUUGACAUAAAAUUUGGGUGAGAAAUAUGGCUUGUAAAAUGGUUUAUUUUCAUCCACACGGGUAGAGACACAUGUGUGUGUUUCAACCGUGUGUAACACACGGUCACGUGUCCCCUGCAUCUUAAAUUUACACAAAAUAGAAUGCUCACACGGUCUAGCACACGGGCGUAUGACUUGGCCAUGUAACCCAAGUCAGUAUACUCAUACAGGCACGGACACGGGAUGAGACAUGGCUGUGUAUCCCUGUUUCGAAUGCCUACAUGGCCUGAGACACGAGCGUGUCUCCAAACCGUGUGAGUCACAUGGCCUAGCCACACGGCCGUGUGACACUUGUAAAAAUUUUAAAUAUUUUUGAAAAAAUUUCUGAGUUUUCGACUUAGUCCUUAUAUGUUUCUAAUGCGUAAUUUGGGCCUCGAGGGCUCGUUUAAGGGACAAGAUGUAAUAUUUUAAUUGGUUUCUAAUAUGAAUGCUAGAUGAAAUGAAAUGUUUGAAAAUUAAUUUGUAAACUUCGGUAAUGUUCUGUAACCCUGUUUCGGCGACAGAUUCGAGUUAAGGGUGUUACAAGAAGUGAAAAAGGAUUAAAUUGUAGAAUAAAUUGUAAAUUUUGAGUAACAGGGACUAAAUUGUGAAGUUUUUGAAAUUUAGGGAUUUAAUGAAAAUAGGGAGUUAAAUUUAGUUUUAAAGUGAAAUUUGUGUAAAAAUAUAAUAUUCAAUGUGAAGAAUAAAAAUUUUUCUUGUAAUGACCCGAAAUUUACAGUUACCAAAAAGUGUUUUUUGGGUCUCCGUUUUAGACAAACACGUUCGUAAAUAUUUAUUAAAAAUAUUUACAAAGAUAGUCGUGUGAUUAAUUAGGUUUUGGUUAAAUGAAUUAGCUUGAGUUAAGAUUAAUUAUGUGAAAGGGCUAAAUUGAAUAAAGGGUGAAAGUUUAAUUAUAGAUUAAAGAAAAGUAAAGGGGUUAAAUGAGAAAAUAAACCAUAUGUAACACUUGUAUGUUAAAAAGCAAAUACAAGUGUAUAAAUAUUAUACAUAAGUAUAAAAUAUUAAUAUGUAAAUACUUAAUAUUUAAGUAUAUAAUAAAAUAAUAUAUUAUUAUAAUAAUUAAAUAAUAAACAAAACAUAAAAAAAAGAACAAAAUUGGGAACGAAACAGGGGAAAGAAAGAAAAAAAAGGGAGAAAAGAAAAAGAAAGGAAAAACUAGGGUUUUAAGGUUCAGGGUUUAAUUGGUAAGUCAAUUUAGUUCAUUUUCUUGUAAUUUUGAUGUUUUUAGAAUUCUAGAACAAAAUACUACUUGAUUUAUGUUGAAAUUUUAGAAGUUAGUAAAUUUUUAGAUGUUGUUCAUGUUGAAUAAAUUGAAGAAUUAGGGGUUAAAUUGAUAGAACUUCAAGUUAGAAUUGAGAAAAGGAUAGAAUUGUAAAAUAAAUCAUAAGUUUUAAGUAAUAGGAAUUAAACUGAGAGAAUUUUGAAAUUAGGGAUUUAUGGUGAAAAUUAGAGAGUUAAAUUUAGUUUUAAGUGGUAAUUGAAUAAAAAUAAAGAAUAAAAUUGUGAAGAAAAUAAGGUUAAAUUUGAUUAAGGAUUAAAUUGGAAUUUGGGCAAAAGUUGUGUAUAAAUUGAAAUAUUCAAUGUUAAAUUGUGUUGUAUUAAUGAUUUUUAAAUUUUUUUUAAUUCCUUAGCUAAUGUUGGGCUAGAGACAUCGGUUAAGAAAGGAAAAACAAGAUUACUGAGGAGUAGCUCAAGAAUUACGGUUUGUAUUUUUAUAAUUCGAACUUAAUAAUUAAUUGUUGAAUUUAUUAUUUAAUGUGUACGGUAAGUGAAUUAAGGUGAGUAAUUGAUAUUGUGAUAUUGAAUUGAAUUGAAUGUAUUUUAUGAGCAUAUGUGAAUAUUUGAAUUGGAAUGAAUAUUGAUUGAAAUAGAAAAGUGAUUUGAAAACCCUAUUAAUUGUAUCAGGCUGAGUCGGAUAUAGUUGGCAUGCCAUAGGAUUGGAAGAGUUCAGGGAUACUUCGACUAUGAGUCGAUGAGACACUAGGUGUCACAUUAUUACUUUGGAUAAAUUCGAUGAGGUACUAGGUACCAACUUACUUCGGCAUGGCCGAUGAGACACUGGGUGUCAAUCUAUUACUUCAAAUUAUCCGAUGAGGCACUGGGUGCCAAACUGUUGUGUUUUGGUUGGAUCCGUGUAUCCGCCAAAGUCUGAGUUGUGUUAAUAGAGGUAAAUGAAUAAAUUGACAAUAAGUUUGAUAUUGAAUGGUUUUGUAAGUGAAUUGGAAUGGAUAGUGAAUUGAAUUGUACAAAUAAGAAACAUGAAUCAUGAAAUUCAUGGAAUGGAAAUUGACAUUGAAAGAUGAAUGUGGCAAUCAAAGUUGGGAAUAGCUAUUGAGAUAUUUAUUGAUGAGAAUUGAAUGUAUGAUAAUUGAUUUAUUGGUUAACUGAUGUUUGUGAGAUUAAAUAUAUAUAUGUGUGUUUACUAUGCUAAUUACUUAAAUAUUUGGAUUAUAGAAAUACCACUGUGUAAUACCCCAUACCCGAACCUGAGACCGGGAUAGGAUACGAGGCAUUACCGAAAUUUUCAGAAUAAUUUCAAUUAAUUUAUAUUAUUUAGUAUUCAUUUUCAUGUUUCAUGUAACAUCCUUUUCAUAUUUUCAAUUCAAAAUAUCAUAUAAAAUACGAUACAAUACUUAAAUUGUCAUAUUUACUUGCUCAUUCAGGGUAUCCGAACCUACCUGACUAAAUUGCAGAAAUACCAAGAUUUAGGGGCAUAUUGGUAAUUUACCAUUUUCUCAAAUUUCACCCAAUCUUAAAUUGAUAAUUUCAUUUAAUUUAUUAAUUUAGAUAAUAAAACAAUUUAUUCCCUUCAAUUUAGUCAUUUUUGACAUUUUUACAAAAUUACCCCCUAAAGUUUUACUUUUAUUCAAUUUAGUCCAUGAGCUUAAAACAUGCAAAUUAGCCAUGCUAACUGAAUAUUCAUAUAUAUUUUUUCCUCCUCCUCCUCUCCAUUCCACAUCCUUAAUGUAUAUAACAUUCUUGUAAGUACGAUUUCACAAUUUACUUAUUAAUACUCACAUCAAUCUGUUCACACGAGUCAUAGUCACUCAAUUAUUUAUAAUUCGAGCUACAGAGCUCAAAAUUAAGAUCCGUAAAUUUUCCCUAAAACUAUACUCACAUAUCAUUCCACCAUAAAAUUUUAAGAAUUUUUGGUGUAGCAAAUUAGUACAUUUUAUUCAUUUAAGUUUCCCCUGUUUCACUAUCCAACAGUUCUGACCUCUCUUCACUAAAAAUAAAUUAUAUCACAGUACAAAACUCGGAUAAUGUUACCAUUGAUUUCUAUUGAAAAUAUACUCAUUAAGGAUUCUAAGCAUAUAAAUUUUAGACUCUAAUUAAUUUUAUCCAAUUUUUGGUGAUUUUCCAAAGUCAAAACAGGGGAACCCGAAUUCAUUCUAACAUUGUCUCACAAAAUUCAUUAUAUCUCAUAAUUUACAAAUCCAUUGCUUACACUGUUUCAUCUAUGAAAAACUAGACUCAAUAAGUUUUAAUUUCAUAUUUUAUUCAUCUUCUAAUUCGAUUUAUACAAUUUAUGGUGAUUUUUCAAAGUUAGUCUACUUCUGCUGUCCAAUAUUGUUUUAGUUCAAGAUGUUUAUUACUAUUUUUCCUCUAAAUUUCAGAGGUCAUACAAUUCAGCCCUUGCUCAAUUAGCCCAUCUAUUAAGCUAAUUUUUAUCAAUUAACAUUUUAUUCCAUCAUUCUAAACUAUUACACAAUCUUUAAAAAUCAGAAUUUUAACACUAAACCUUAAUUCACAACUUUUUCACAAUUAGGUCCUAAAAUCAAUUUCUAUUGAAAUUACUUGAUAAAAUCAUCAAACAACAAAAUCAAAGCUUCAAAUUCAUUUUCUUUCAUCAUAAACAGCUAACACUUAUCAAUGAUAGCUUUUAAUUUUGUUCAUAAAAUCAAAAACUAAUGAAUUAAACACUUGGACCUAAUUGUAAAAGUCACAAAAACACAAAAAUCUCAAAGAAAAGGGUAAGAAUUGAACUCACAUAUGUCAAAGUAUGAAAAACCAGCAGCUUUCAGACCUCCCAUGGCGUUUUUGCUGAAGAAAAAUGAUGAUAUCUCUAGAUUUUUCAAAUUUGUCUUGUUUUAUAUGUUUAAUUUGCAAAAUUUCCCAUUUUGCCCUUGUUUCUCCUUGUCUUUUUUGCUGAUUUUCUGGCCCAACCGUCCAGCCCAUACAAUUUGGGUCCAAUUGCCUUUUAAAUCCCUCCUUUUUAAUCACUUAAACUAUUUAAUCACAAUUUAAUAAAUUUCACACUAUUUUCAAUUUAGUCCUUUUUAAUUAAUUGACUAACCAAACGUUAAAAUUUUCUAAUGAAACUUCAAUACUAACUUAAUAACACUCCAUAAAUAUUUAUAAAAAUAUUUAUGGCUCAGUUUAUAAAUCCGAGGUCUCGAUACCUUAUUUUCAACCAAAUUUACCUGAUUAAUUCUUUUAAAAUCGCAAAAUUCACUAAUUAAAAACAAUUCUUUUAAGUUCGCACUUGGCCUAUAAUUAUUAUUUGUUAAAAUUUCUAAACAUACUCGUCGGAUUUAGUGAUCUCGAAUCACUGUUUCCGACACCACUGAAAAAUUUGGCUGUUACACACUGAGUUUAUACUCAGCGUACGGUUUGUUUUCCAUGCGCAGGUUAGGUUAAAGUCAGAUCGUUGAAUCAGCAUCCAAAGCUAAUCCCGAACUCAAAGUGGUGAAGUGUAUUUCUUUUUGGUAAUGGCAUGUACCUAAGAUGUCAUAUGUGUGUCAUUUUGGAAAAUGAUUGUAAAUAAUGUUAAAGAAUGAUAUUAAUUCCUUAUAUACAUAAAUAUAAGUUAUGUGUUAUGUUGAGGUUAUAAAAUGGCAUAUUUGGGUUAAAGUGUGAAUGAAGUUAAUAUAUGCAAAUUUAGGUUGAUAUUUGGUAUUAAAUUUGGUUUGACUUGAAUGAAGUUAAAUUAAUUAAAUUGGUUAGUAUUUGUAAAGUAUCUAUGUUGGUACAUUAAUUAGAUAUUUAGAUUGAUGAAUUUGGCAUGUAUAAAGGUAUUUGAAUGUGUUUUGAAUUGGUUGAACAAUUGGAUUAUAAGUUUCUUGUUGUUCAAGAUUUGUAGGGUUGGUAAACUUGAUGUAUAAGGCUCAUUUUGAGUCCACACAGCUUGGCACAUGGGCAUGUGACCAGACUGUGUAAGACACACGGCUUAUACAUAGGCAUGUGGAUAGGUCGUGUGUCCCUUGCAAUUUAAAAUUUUCAAAACAGAAUGCUUAGGUAUUACCACAAGGGCAGAGAGACACGGACGUGUGUCUCAGCCGUGUGAGGAACACGGUCUAGAACACGAGCAUAUGCCCUAGCUGUGUGAAAACUACACAUAAUUUUUGAAAAAAUAAAUUGACCACACUGCUUAGCACACGGGCAUGUGACUUGGCCAUGUGAGGUAAGUCAGGGAGUUACACGAGAUAAGACACGGCCUGAAGCACAGGCAUGUCAUAGGGUCACACGGGCGUGUCCCUUGACCAUACGGACGUAUAUGCCUUGUACCUAGGAAAAAUUUUAAGAUUUCACGAAAAAAAUUUUGAGUUUCUAAUUAAGUCCCGACUUGUUUCUAACACGUGAUUUGGGCCUCGGGGACUCAGUAAAGAGACAUUAUGAUUAAAUUAUGAUGUGUAUGUUAUGUUAUUAUAUGAUUGUUCGAAUUUGAUCUGUAAUGUUUGAUAAUGCUCCGUAACUCUGUUCUGGCGACGGAUAAAGGUUAGGGGGUGUUACAUGUCUCAGUUUAGGGACUAAAUUGAAAUUUAGGUAAAUAUUGCGUAAAAGUUGAAAUAUUCUAUAUGAAAUUGAAUUGUGUUAUAUUGAUGAAUUUUAAUUAUUUUAAUUUCAUAGCUAACGUUGUACCGGAAUCCUCGACUAAAAAGGGGAAAGAUAAAGUCAAUGUCGAAUAGCUCAAAAUUCCUGGUUUAUAUUUCUAUAAUCCGAACCUAGUUACUAAUUGUUGUAUUUUGAUUUACUGCAUAUUGUAAGUGAUUGAGGUGAGUAUUUGGCACUUUGAUUGUUGAAUUGAUUUCAUGUGUAUAUGAGAUUAUAUGAAAAUUUUAUUUGGCACUUUGAUAAUUGGAUAUUGGUUGUAUUUGGAGAGUGAAUUGGAACCCUAUUUGUAACACCUUGAAAAUUUCUACAGUAAAAUAUUAUUCUUAAUAUAGUAAAAUAAGGAAAGAAAGUGACAAGAAGAGGAAAAUUGAGUUAUGUUACUAGGAAGUAUAUUAUGACAUAUUGAUUCAAGAAAUGACUAAAUUGUAAAAGUGAGAAAAGUUUUGUGGCCCAAGAGUAAAUACUCAAAAUUUGAGGGAUUAAAGUGUAAAUAUGAAAAUUUGAAGGACAAAUAGUGAAAAUAUUUUAAGGGUGGAAUGAUUUAGAAACCAAGGAAAAUUGAUGAAUUAGGACCAAAUUGCAUAGGUGAAGAAUUAUGAGGGACUAAAUUGUAAUUUUACCAAAUUAAGUGAUGACUCAAGAAUGAAAUUUUAAAAGAUCAUGAAGGGAAAAAUGGUCAAUUGAAAGAGAGAUAAAUCUAGAAAGUAAUGAUGAUGUUGGUGAUAUUUUAUAAUUAUUUAAUUAAAUAAUUACUAUUUAUUUAAUAUUUUAAUAAGAUAUUUUAUUAUUUUAGUUAGUCUAUAUAUAUAUAUGUGUGUGUGUGUGUGGAAAAAAAAAACACACCAUCCAUCUUUCCCAUGCAAAACCGAUGUGAGAAGAAGAAGAAGAAAAGAAGUUUUCAUUUCUUUACAAUUUGGUCCUUUUACUAAAAAUUCACCAUUUUCACCAAAAAAUCAAAAGAAUUUCCAUAGCUACCAAGAGAGAAAAAUGUUAAGGAGACUAUGAAAAGUUAGAAUAUCAAAUUGGAUUCAAGAAAUGGAAGCUGAAGGAGAGAGAAAAUCGAGAUGAAGAUUGAAAUCAAUAGAAUAAGGUAAGAACAUCAUGAUUUCAAUAUAUUUUUAAGUUUGAUAUUAUUGAAAAAGCAUGGGAUUGAUGUUAAUGUAGAGUUUCCUUGCAUAUGUUCCUAUGUUCUUGAUAUGUUAGUAAAGAGAAAAUAAGAGAAAGUGAUGAGAAAUAGUGUAGAAAAAGAAAAUAAGGGUGUUAUAAACAUGGUAAUUAAUAUCUUGCACUAAAAUAGUUUUGGAUAGUAACAGUGGUCUAACUUUGAAAAAUCACCAAAGAUUGUGGAAAUUGAAUUAUAAGUUGAAUAAAAUAUAAAACUAAAUUCUAUUGAGUCUAGUUUUUCAUAGAAGAAACAGUGUAAGCAAUGAAAUUUUAAAUUGUGAGAUAUAACAAAUUUAGUUAGACAAGGUCAGAAUGAUUUCGGGUUCCCCUGUUUUGACUUUGGAAAAUCAUCAAAAAAUGGAAAAAAAUAAUUAGGUUCUUAAAGUUAUAUUUUUAAAAUUAGGAAUGAGUCUAUUUUCAAUAGAAACAAACGAGAACAUUAUCCGAAUCCUGUACAAUGAAAUAAUUAAUUUUUAGUAAAGAAGGGUCGGAACUUUCAGACAGCAGAACAACGGUGAUUUUAAAGAAUAAACUAUACUUAUUGGCUAAAUCAAAAAUUCUAAAAAUUUUAUGGUAAGAAUAUACAUAAGUCCAGUUUCAUGAAAAAUUAGUAGAUCUUAAUUUCGAGUUCUGCAGCUCAAGAUAUAAAUAAUCUAGUGACUAUGACGCAAAUUGAUAGUUUUGAAUAUAUAUAUAAGUAAAUAGUGAAAUUAUUGAUAAUGUUACUUAUAGCAUGUUAUAUAAAUAAAGGAUGUGGAAUGGAGAGGAGGAGGAGGAAAAUAUGUAUGAAUAUUCAGCUAGUAUGGCUAAUUUGCAUGUUUUAGGCUCAUGGACUAAAUUGAAUAAAAGUAAAACUUUAUGGGCAAUUUUGUAAAAAUGUUAAAAAUUACAAAUUUGCAUGAAAUGGAUUAUUUUAUUAUUUGAAAUUUCAAAAUUGAAUGAAAUUAUUAAUUUAGUUCAAGAUCAGGGAAAAACAUGUUUUAAGGAUUAAAUUGAAAAAUGUUGAAAUUAUGGAAAAUUUUGAUAUUUUAUAGAAUUCAUGGGUUGUUAUCAAUUUGUAUGAGAAUAACGGCUGGAAAUAAGGAUUAAAUUGCAAGAAUUUUAUUUUUUUAGUCUAAGGAUAAAAUCGUCAUUAAUUAAAAGUUUAGGGGUAAAAUGUGUAAAAUGGUAAUUUAGUUUAGAGCAUUAAUUGAAUGUAUUAGAACAUGAAAUAAAUGAAAAUGACGAUCAAAUUUAUUUAUAAAGAUCCGAAUGACUCGAAUACGAGACUUGAACGUGGAAAAGAAAAGAUAUCGGAUUAAUGAAAUUAUAAACAUGAACAAGCAACGAGGUAAGUUAGUGUAACCUGAAUUGUAUUUUUAAAUGCAUGAAAUAUCGAUAUAAUGAAUUACCUAAUUUAUGUUUAUGAAGAAAUGGCAAGAGAAUGAUAUUUAUCAUGACAUGUAAAUAUGUGAUUAUCUUUGAUACGUUGAUACAAAGAAAUUAAAUAUAUUGAGACGAGUAAUAAAUUCAAGUAAAACAUGUCGAGAAAAAAAUAAGUACGUUUAAGGGACAAUAUGUUUGAUUUUAGUUGGUUUCAAAUAUGAACGUUAGAUGAAAUAAAAAUAUCUAAUAAAUAAAUCGGUAACUCCGGUAAUGCUCCGUAACUCUAUUCCGAUGACGGAUUCGGGUUAGGGGCGUUACACUAUUAACUGUAUUGGCCUAAGUCGGAUAUAAAUGAUAUGCCAUAGGAUAGGAAGAGUUCAGGGAUUUCUUCGACCUCGAGUCAAUGAGGCACUGGGUGCCAAUAUACUUCGGUUUAACCGAUGAGACACUAGGUGUCAAUUUAUAUAGCACUGGGUGCAUAUUACUUCGGAUUUAUCAGAGGAGGCACUGGGUGCCAAACUGGUGUGUUGGUUGGAUUCGUGUAUCCAUCCGAGUUCGAGUUGUGUUAAUAGGGGUAAUUAAAUAAAACGGUACUAUGGUUGAUAUUGGAUGAUAUUGUAUGUGAAUUGAAAACGGGAUAGUAAAUUGAAACAUGAAAAUGAGAUACAUGAAUUAUAUGUUCAUGAAUUGGAUAUGGAAUGAAUAAUGUUAUUGUUUAAAUGAUAUGUGGAUCAAAUUAUGAAAAGCUAUUAUAUAGCAAGUGAUGAGAAUUGAGUAUGAUAUAAAAUGAUGUAUUUAUGAUUUGAGUAUUGAAUGGCUAAUGUCAUUGUAUGAAUAAAUAUGGUUUUAAAUGUUCAAUUGUGCUUAUAAUGAAUAUGUGCAUAUUAUAUUAUCUUGUCUUUAAUAUUCGAAUUAUAGAAAUACCAAUGAGUUUUACUUAGCAUACGGUUUUGUUUUCCGUGCGCAAGUUAGGUACUUAACUUUUGAUCACCAAUUCAGCAUCCAACAACGAUCCCGAACUUAAAUUUGGUGAUGUCUAUCUUUUGUGUCAGCAUGUACCUAGAGUGUCUAAAUAAUAGUUAUUUUGUGGAUUGAUUGUAAAUGAGGUUAUAAGUUUAAUAUUGGUUUAUGACUUGAAUAUUAUAUGGUAUGAAAUGUUUGAAAUUUUUAUCUGUUUGAUCUGUAAACUCCGGUAAUGCUUCGUAACCCGAUUCUGGCGAUGGAUACGGGUUAUGAGUGUUACAGCUACCAUCUCAUUCUCAAUUUUAUUCAAUUUGGUUUCCCAAUAUGUCAAUUAAGCAUAUUUUUCUUCUCCUAAUUUAACCAGUCUUUAAUUCUCCCUUUUAAACGAAGUACUUCCUUUUGUAAAUUCUCAUUAACUUUACAAAUAAGAUCCCAUUAUCCAACAUGUCUCUAUAAGUUUCUUUUAUCUAGAUUUCAACCCUAUCAUCAUCACUAUCAUAGUUAAUGUUUGAGUUUAUUUAUUUGCAUAAUGCAAUAUUGGUAGUUGUACUUGUAGUUAUUCUAAGUCUAUUUAUUUGCAUAUUGCAAUAUUGGCAGUUAUACUUGUAGUUAUUCUAAGUAAAGCAAUGUAAUUGGUUAUAUGCUCCGCAUUAUCACUCUUUUUGUCUUUGUCACUUUAAGUUACAUUAAAUAACUUUUUUUUCUUAAUAGUGUUCAUUUAUUUUGCUUAAAUGUGGCCAUUAGCUUCACACUCAUGGUAUUGGGUUAAUUUAUUUUGUUUAGGCUCAAUCUCUGUGCAUAGAGACUUCUGUCACGAUGAUACUCAUUAUUUUGUGAAAGUCGCGAAGUCUCAUAAUGCCUACCUGAUAAUUUUGAAAAUUUUAUAUUUAGUCCUCAAUAAGUUUUAGGUUAUCGAAAGAGCUUUUGUAAAUAUGAUUAUAUAACAUGUUGUAAUUAUGUAUUUAACAUAAUAGUAUAUAUAAACUAUUGAAUUGAAUUUCUAUUGAAAUCAUCGUUGCUUCAACAAAAAAUUUAGUAUCCCAUAGCUCAGACCUGACGAUCGGGUUGGGUAUAGGGUGUUACACUUUCCCUUGUUUCUAUUUGUAAAAUGGCUACUAUUAUCACUCAUGUCCUUCUUGGUAAACUUCUUAAAAUCUUUGUUGAAUUUUUUUUUUUGAAAGGAAAACUAACAAUUCUUCUAAAUCUUCUACAAAGAUAGUUGUUGAAGUGUUCAUUGCAAAAAACUAUUUUGGCAUUCAAUGACACACUCUUUUCAACCUUGACUUUUUUCCUUUCGGUUUCUUCUAGGUUCAUUUCAAAAGCUUGUGAGGGACGAAUUAGCUAUCCAUUCUCAUUGUGUUGACAUUUUUUUCCUCUUUUACUAUUGUGCCUUUGAUUUCAAAUCCCUUAAGAUCUUAUUUUUCUAUAUCCAAAGAAUUCCAAACUUAAUCUUAAGCAUUUGUAAUUUUAAAAAUUUCACUCUAGGAAUUCCCUCAUUAUUCAUCUUGAGAAGCAUAAAUCUUCUUCAAUAGAUACGAACUUAGAAAUACAUCUAAAUGCUUGAGGAUCAACAUUAUUGAAAAUGGCAUUUAGAGCUUUUGAGUUGUAAUUUGUAGCCUUGUCCUCAUCUGUAGUCCAUGUUGCUCUAGCUUUACCACUAAAGUCCCAUUUGUAUUUAUAGUGUAAGGAGGCUCCCAACCAAUCAAGAUAGCCUUCCAAGCCUUUUCAUCAAUAGACUUGAUAACACUUUCAUUUGAGCCUUCUAAUAAGCAUAUGUAGAGUCAUCUAGUAUGAGUGAUCAUGAGGUUGAGCUUCCAUCUUUCAUGGAGUCCAUUUUUCAAUAACCAAACACAAGACCACACUAGAUAAUUUAGGUGGUAGGGUCUAAUACCAAAUGAAUAAUGUCUAAUUUUUGGAUUGUUUUGCAUGUUGUUGCAACAAAGAAUGAAAGAAUAAGGAUGAAUAAAGUAAAAAAAAAAACAAUAUAGAUAUGAAUCCUCACUAUUGAAUCACAAUACAAGCUUUAAUUUAAGCCCAACUAAUCCAGGGAUUGUUGCAGCUUUAUCCUCAUACACUUGGUAUAAAUUCACUCCCCAACACUCAAUUUUUCCUACUAAAAGUUGUGACACAACUCUCAAAGGAUAACAAGAAGCUCACAAUGAUGCUCUAAAAAAAUGUUAAUUUAAUUUGAAUUGAAUAGUUCUGUCUCUAAGUGUAUCAAACAGAUGCUCAUUCCUCAUUAAAACUGUAGGCGAUAUACCAAUCUCUUAGAAACUAGGAUAAGAUAGACUAUGUUUGAAAUCCCUCAACUUUUUCGAUCACCAUUUUUUCAAGGAUGAAAAGUAGAAACCCACGAAAUUGUGCUACUUAUAAAACAAGGAUUAUUCUAAAACAAAAUUACAAAGUCAAAGUUGUGGUUGUAUUGUUGCAACAAUAGCUUGCAGUAACAUACAUCAUUCAAUACAUUGUGCUAGGGAAGUGAUGCUAUUCUCAGUCAAAAUAUGAUUUUGAUCUCCAUAUUAUAUUUAAAUUAAGAUUUAAUUUAGAAUAAUUUUAUCCUCGUUAAUGAUUUAAAUAAUUAACGCUAUUAAUUAUUUCAACUCAAAGAGUUAAUCUAAAUCCUAAGUUUGAGCAUUAAUGACAGCAAAACCAUAAUUUGAGUUGCAAUUGCAAUGGGCUGAUUGUGGGCCUCCACGGCUUCACCUAAGAAACCUUCUAUUGAUAGUCCAAAUUAAUAAACCACUUAUGGAACAGAAUCCCAAGCCCAGCCAAAAUUUUGAUCACAUGACUUUUCAGAGUUGGCGAAAAGGAGGUUCUCUACCGGAAACUUAAAUUUGAUGUGUACUCCAAACUCUUGUAAGCGUAACUUCAUUUGAGCUAAUCAAGUAUAUUUAAGAAAUCUUAAUUAAUAUUUACUUAAUAUUUAAAAAUUAAAAAUAUAUUUAACAAAUAUACUUAAUUAAUAUUUAAAAAUUAAAAAUAUAUUUAAGAAAUCUGCGGAUCAGUUAACCCUACCACCAGUAAGUUGAUUCAUUUUACAGAUAGUGGUGCUGCACAUUGUACAAUACAAGAGAUUGAAAAUUUUAUAUUCAUGCAUUAAUGAUCUGUGUAUUUCAACAAAGAGUCGAGCAGUACCACUUCAUCAUAAAAUAUUAUUCCUAUUUAUAAGAAACGACAAAGCGGCAGAAGAUACUUAGGAACACAUGUUUUCAUGCAGACCACUUUACACUAUCUAUCAAACAACUGUCGUCAAACUCCACGCGUCAACCCCCUUUGUUUCCUUAAAUCCACUACUCAUCCGCUCAUUCCCUCACCCUUCCUUUUUUAUUCUAUUUUCAUUUCAGUGAAGGACAAGAAAAAAAUUUUAAAAAAAAAAAAGAACCCUCUGCAGCCAUGGCUGAGCAUCACCAGCAAUUGCGCCGAACUGAUGACAUGAAGAAUUUCUUCCAUGAAAAUGGACCCUCAACAUCAAAAGUUCUUAUGGUUGCCACCCUCCUUCCUGUUGGUGGCAUCCUCCUCUUGCUUGCUGGUUUGAGCCUUAUUGGAUCCCUCAUAGGUCUUGCUAUUGCCGCCCCACUUUUCCUUAUUUUCAGCCCUGUUUUGGUACCUUCUGCUUUUCUCAUUGCGGGUUCCAUAGCCGGAUUCUUGACCUCCGGAGCAUUUGGGAUCACUGGACUGUCAUCGCUGUCGUGGAUUGCUACUUAUAUUCGUGGAAGCAGGGGCUCUAUGUCUCAGGGGCUAGACCCAGUGAAGUGGCCCUUGCCGGACACGGCAGUGAGUAUGGAGCAGAAGAUCCAGAAUAGGAGCCAAGGAGGAGGAAGGAUCUCUGAGGGAGGCAGAGAACAGGAAGGUGGCAAGAGUAAGACACAAGAAGGUGGCAAGAGUAAGACACAAGAAGGUGGAAACAAGACUGUGGGUUGAAGUUUCCUAUUGUAGCAGUCGGAUGAUAUGCUAGAAAGUAAUCUAUCAAUUUUGUUGCUCUGUUCUGCUUCUAUGCUUAUGUCCUUGUGCUGCUCUAUGUGGUUGUAUAUUGUAACUUGUAAGCAGCUCUCUGUAUUCAAAUAAAUUCCUGGUCAUUUUCUUUUCGUUUUCAAUUUCUGGGUUAUAAUUCAAAGAAGUAGUACUAUAAACGCUGCAUCUCCUGCUAUUUGUCUUCCAUUUUAAGCUCAAUCUCCGACAAGUUUUUUUACUGCCUUCUCAACAUUAAUCGCUGCCAAAAAGGUCUUAGGUAGUUUAGUGAUUUAUUUAAUCUCAUAUUGCUGUUAUAUUAUUUAAAUAUUAUUAUUUAUCUAAAAAAAGGCCAGUGAUUUAACUAAGAAACUUUUUAUUAGUUAUUAGAUACAGUUUUAGAUAACAAAUUGUAGCCACAACUUCUCUGUCUUGGAGUAGAUUUAGAAAAUCGUAAAUAUGGUAGAAAAUUAUAAUGAGAUAAUUACAAUUACUUGUCUCCGAGGGUGUUCACUUUUAACAAAGAAGUUACAAAGGAUUCUUAUGAAGGUAAGUAUUAUAACAAAACGAAUGGAUGUAAAACUCAACUAUAAAUAUCGGAUACAAGAAGAGAGCACAUAAAUGAUAAAAAGAAAAAGCUUUUUAUCAACAUUGUAAUACGAUUCUUUAACCCUCUAGUCACUUUGUUUUUGCUAUAACAGUUAAGUUAUAGAGAGGGUUAGGGUGAACAAUGAACAUAGAUGGUAGACGGUGGUUCACCGCAGGAGUCACUAAGGAUGAUCUUUUGAGUUAGAAGUGGUAUUUGAGUAAGGUGUAGGUUGUAGAGUUCAACUUGUUCUCUCCUCUAUCUUAUUUCGGUGUUAAAAUGAAUGACGUAAUUAUGGAGGAAAGAUGGCUCGAUGCAUAGAAAAUAUGCUCAUCACAUCACAUAAGGGUAAUUACAUAUUAUUAUUUACUAUUAUAUAUAAUAAGGAUAAUUACAUAUUAUUAUUUAUUAUUAUGAUAAGUUUGUCCAAAUUAAAAGUGAUCUAAUUUGGUUAAAAUUUUAUUAGGUUUUAAUUAUUAAAUAAAAUAUGGGUCAAAUAUGUGUAGAUACUCUACUAAUUGAGUUCUAAUCAAAUUCUAAUUAAUGAUAGGUUAAUUAGAAUUUGAUUAGAAUUAAUAUGCUACGGUUAUAAAUAUUAGGGUUAUGGUUCUUAAAUUACACACAAGAUAUUUUUUCUAAUAUUCCAUCAUUAGGAAAGAGAGAGCAAAUAUUCUUUGAAUUUCUUGUGUGCUAAUUUGAAAAGAUCAAAUCCCUAAGAUCCAGAAAGUUUUAACUUCCACAUCUAAUUUUAUUUUUGAUUUAUUCUUGAUGAUUUGACAUGAGAGAUACUGAUUUAUUAAGUUUUAUUAUAGAUUUAUUGUAAUAAAUCUAACAUUCACUUCAUAGCUACCUUCACUUUAUAGCUGCAAAAGUUAGAGCAGCGAAUGUGAACUAGACACUAUUGGAAUCGACAUGAGGAGAUCAAGUGAGUAGUUUAGACAUAUGUCAUUAAAUUUAGGGAGAAGAUGAAUUAAGAGAUGCUAGAGCUUUUCUCUAAUAUCUUUUUGGGAAUAUGCAUGCCCAUUUUAUUGACGUGGUGCUCUAGUGAGAUAUUAAUGUUAUCCUUCUAGCAAGGCCACAAAGUGAGCUUAACCAAGUUCUUCUAUGGUUAGGGCAUGACAACUGUCCCCAUGGACGAAAGGUAAGAUAAAGGGAUUCGGGUUGACUUGAAUCUUGGUUAAGGCUUUUAGGAGUUAUGGUGAGGCCUAAAGUGAUUUUAAAAGGUAAUGAUUGUUGUCUUCUGUCAUUGUGUCUUUGUAUUAAUUAGUUCCAAAAACGUGCUUGCUUUUCACUGGAAUUUUUCAAAAAAAAAAAUCUCUCUUUGAGUGUUGUUUCAAUUUCUCAUCUAAAUAUUUAUAAAUAUGGCUUUCUUAGAGUGUCACUUCUCAUAUUCUGUAAUCUUCUUUCUUUGUUUUUCACCAAGAAAUCUUUUCUUCUUAUCUCUUGUUUUUGCCUUUGUCGUCUUGGCUUCGAAAAUAGACAACAAUUCUUUGAGAUUUCAAGCGAAUAAUACUUCCAAGGAGAAGAACGAUUAUGCACCAACACUACAGCGAAGAUGACAACCAUGUUGCUAUUGUUGUGUUUCAAAUCUCUUCAUUAUAAUAUUAUUUCUUAAUUACAUCAAGAUCACAGAAUGAGCUAAGUUACGAUCAAUGGGAAAGGCUUUUAUUUCUGUUAGUACAAAACUCCGGUAAGGAAAAAACUCGAACACACGAUCGGAACUCGAAAAGAAAAAGAAGAAAUAGGACAGGCUCCAAGGCGUGUAUCAAGCCACUAUCUUUAAGGUUAUAUUCGCCCCCACUUAUCUUCAGUGUGCAAACGAGUUCCAAGCAAAUUAACCUCGAGGAUACAAUGAAGCCAAUGACUAUUUGCGUUUUGCACUGACGAGAAUAGUCUACUAUGCACUGAGUAAUAUAUAACAAAAACUCAAUUUCUACAAAGGAUUUCUGCAGCAAUACUUUAUAGAAUAAUCUAAUAAUAUUAGAAAAUGAAGGAAGAGAAGAAAUAAUAUUAGAAUUUGUUGAUAUGAUUUUCAAAUGAAAUCUCAUUCCUAUUUAUAGGAAUUUUCAUGUCUCUUCAUAGAGACAUCUUUCAAUAGGUGUCUUUAUGAAUAAAUAAAUAAUAAUUAUUUAUUUAAUUUUGUAACUAUUCAAAUAAUAUUUUUUGAAUAGUUAUAAUUCUUUUUUAAAAAAUCAAAUGAUAUAACUUUUGACCAAUGACCAAAAGUUUUAUCUUUUGAUUAAUUACACCCAUUCAUUUAUAGUUAUUGGGAUACUAUAAAUAUUUGAAAAUAUUUCAACAAUCUCCCCCCAUUUUCAAAAUAUUUAGAUUUUGAUAUUCUUGGAAAUCAAUUUGCAUAAAUAAAGGUGUCUUACGAUUGAACCUUCACUUAGUGAAAACAUGUUAAAGUUAAUCGAAAUUGUAUGGUAGACUAAGCUUUGAACCAACUAUUCCAUUUGAUUAACUAAACACAUCUCACACAAUGAUUUCAACAUCAGUCAAUGCAUAGUAUCUAGGGACACUAUUAUAGCCAUGUGUCUAUGUCCUCUUUUCAUGAGUGCUGUCAGAGCCAAGCCCUUAAGCUCCUAGAAGCGGCCACACUUCCACUCACAUAGGUAGAUCCCAUCAAAAGUGUUCCCGUAAUUAUAACACUCUAACAUAUUUAUGUUAUGGGUCCAUUAAGAGUACAUUACUCAUCCUUCCCUUAUCAUUACGGGUACCUAGCACUUUAAUCUUAGGAUGGAUUUAUUUAUAGUGCUAACAGUCACAUACUAAUGAUGUACUUUGUCUCAUUGAACUCAAGACUUGACGUUAUACCAAGCGUUGAGUCGAGUUUCCAUCAUGGGUGACUCUAAUUAAUAGGCUUGAGUCCCAUCCCUUUUGAGGUCCUUUUUCCUGCAUCUUUAGCAAGACUUUUUGUCAAAGGAUCUGCCAAAUUUUCACUUGACCUCACAUAAUUAAUAGUGAUCACUCCAUCAGAGAUUAAUUGUCGGACAUAACUAUGUCUUAAUCCAAUGUGUCUAGACUUUCCAUUAUAUACUUGGCUAUAUGCCUUUGCUAGAGUAGCCUCACUAUCACAACAGAUAGAAAUAGGUGAAAUUGGCUUAAGCCAUAAAGGUACAUCAUAAAGCAAAUUUCUUAACCAUUCUGCUUCUUUAGAUGCAGCGGCAAAUGCAAUAAAUUCUGCUGCCAUGGUGGAAUCAGUAAUACAUGUUUGUUUCUUGGAACCCCAAGAAAUGACUCCUCCACCAAGAAUGAAGAUCCACCCACUAGUAGAUGGAUGAUCUUCCAAACUUGUAAUCCAACUAGCAUCCGAAUACCCUUCUAAAAUUGGAGGAUAUCCAUUAUAACACAAUCCAUAGUUAAUAGUUUUCUUUAAGUACCUAAGUACUCUAUUUAAAGCUUGCCAAUGCAAACUACUUGGAUUACUUGUGUAUCUACUCAAUUUUCCAAUAGCAUAUGCAAUAUCUGGUCUUGUACAAGUCAUUAUGUACAUAAGACAACCAAUUAGACUUGCAUAUUUCAAUUGAUCAAUUUUCCUACCAGCAUUAGAUACUAAUUUUAAUUGAGGAUCCAUGGGUGUAGAUGCUGGUAUACAGUUGAAAAGAUCAAACUUUUUAAGCACAUUUUCAAUGUAAUGUGAUUGUGAUAAAGCUAUAGUGCUUUCAUCUCGGGUUAUUUUAAUCCCAAGAAUAACAUCUGCUACACCCAUAUCCUUCAUAGCAAAGUUGUUUGACAAGAAUUUCUUUGUGUUUUCUAUUUGUUCCAAAUCCGUGCCAAAUAUGAGCAUGUCAUCUACAUAUAAGCAAAUUAUAACACCCUUUCCAUUAUCAAAUUUACUAUAUAUGCACUUAUCGGAUUCAUUUAUUUUAUAGCCAUUAGCUAAAACAACCUUGUCAAACUUUUGGUGCCAUUGUUUUGGUGCUUGUUUAAGCCCAUAUAAAGAUUUAACAAGCUUACAUACCUUAUGCUCUUGUCCUGGAACAACAAAUCCUUCCGGUUGCUCCAUGUACACUUCCUCUUCCAAUUCACCAUUUAAAAAUGCAGUUUUAACAUCCAUUUGGUGAACAACCAAAUUAUAUAUAGAGGUAAGUGAUAUUAAUAGUCUAAUUGUAGCAAUUCUUGCUACUGGAGCAUAGGUAUCAAAGUAAUCAAUAGCUUGUCUUUGUGUAAAACCUUUUGCUACCAACCUUGCUUUAAAUUUAUCAAUGGUUCCAUCGACCUUCAUUUUCUUUUUGAAGAUCCAUUUACAACCUAUUGGUUUGGAACCUGGUGGAAGAUCAACUAAGAUCCAAGUUUGAUUUCCCAUUAUUGAAUCCAUUUCAUCAUUUAUUGCUUCUUUCCAAAAAGCAGAGUCUUGAGAUUUCACUGCUUCUUCAAAUGUAAUAGGAUCAGAUUCGGUAUUAUAACAAUAAGGUAUCUUAUUGCAUAUACUUUCACCUUUUCCUUCUACAAGAAACAUAAUGAAAUCUGGUCCAAAAUCUUUGACCUUUUUAAUCCUCUUACUUCUUCUUAAUUCUUGACAAGAUUCAUCAUUAUUAUCAAUUUGUUUCAAUGGAAUCUCAUUCUCAUUUGAAGAAUGAAUCAAUUGUUGUGGUUGUAAUUGUCUUGAUAUAGAAUUAAAUCUAUUUUCAUCAAAAAUAGCAUCUCUUGAUUCAAUAACCGUAUUAAUUGAAAUUGAAUCAUUUGGUUCAAUUACUAUGAACCUAUAUGCCUUACUAUUAUGUGCAUAACCUAUAAAUAUGCAUUCAAUUCCUCUUUCACCUAACUUUUUACGUUUAGGUGUUGGAACUUUUACAAUAGCUCUACAACCCCAAACCUUUAAAUAAUUAAGGUUUGGUUUCCUUUUCUUCCAUUGUUCAUAGGGGGUUAUUUUAGUUUACUUAUUAGGAACUCUAUUCAAUAUAUGACAAGCUGUUAGAACAGCUUCUCCCCAAAAACCCUGUCCAAGACCUGAAUAUGAUAACAUUGAAUUUACCAUUUCAAUCAAGACUCUAUUUUUCCUUUCAGCUACACCAUUUUGUUGUGGUGUGUAAGGGGCUGAAACUUGAUGGACAAUUCCAGUGAGUUCAAAAUAACUUGGAUUAUAGUAUUCUCCACCUCUAUCCGAUCUUAAGCACUUGAUAAAUGAUUCACAUUGAAGUUCAACUUCAGAUUUAUAAACUUUAAAUUUAUCAAGCGCUUCAUCUUUUGAAUGCAAUAAAUAUACAUAACAAUAUCUAGAACAAUCAUCAAUAAAAGUAACAAAAUAUUUCUUUCCACCUAAUGUAGGAGUAUUAUGCAAGUAGCAUAAAUCACUAUGUAUCAAAUCAAGCAAUUUUGUUUUCCUUUUAACCUUAGGGAAAGGAUUUCUUGUAAUUUUAGUCAACAUACAGGUAUUGCAUUUUUCAAUAUUAUUAUUAAAAACAGGAAUUAAAUCUAAUUUAUACAUGUCAUUCAAUUUUCUAUAAUUCAAAUGACCUAAUCUAUAAUGCCACAAACAAAAUGAUUCAACCAUAUAAGCAGAAAUAGUAUUUUUAUUCUUAUUAAUAAUAUUAAGUUUGAACAUGCUUUCAUACAUAUACCCUUUUCCCACAAAAAUUCCUCCCUUAGACAAAAUAAACUUAUCUGCCUCAAAAACAAGUUUGAAACCAAACUUAUUCAACAGACUUCCAGACACUAAAUUUUUCCUAACUUCUGGUACAUAAUAUACAUCAUUUAAGGUUAAAACCGUUCCAGAAGUGAAUUGUAGUUCAACAGACCCUUUGCCUUUAAUUGUUGCGGUGGAAGAAUUUCCCAUGUACAAGACAUUGUCAUUUUCACAUUGUGUGAACUUUGUGAACAUGCUUUUGUCUUUGCACACAUGUUUGGUUGCUCCGGUAUCAAUCCACCAUGUAUUAUCAUCUUGUGCCAUAUUAAUUUCAGAUAUCAUUGCAAUGAACUUUUCGUUAUUAUCAGCCUUAGAAGAUGAUUUCUUUUUUAAAAAUCGACAUUCAUUCUUGAAAUGUCCCGGCUUUCCACAAUGAUAGCAUGAGCCCUUUUGUUUCUUUUUGAACUUAGGUGCUCUAUCAGUCUGAUUGAACUUUCUCUUGAAUGGUUUAGUAGUCUGUACUUCCUCCGUAACAUGUACUUUGGCAUUUUCAGAAUUUAGGUUCUGAUCUUGUUUUCGAUACUCUUCUUCAAUACGAAGAUGAUUUGCCAAAGCCUCAAGAGAUAUUUCCUCUUUCUUAUGUUUUAGACUUCUUUUAAAGUCUUUCCAAGAUGGAGGGAGUUUGUCUAUUAUGGAGGAUACCACAAUCAUUUCAUCCAUUUUCAUAUCAUAUUGCUUAAAUUGAUUCAGCAUCUUUUCAAUAUCACGAAAUUGUUCCAUAACAAAACGACCAUCAACCAUUUAAUAAUUAUUGAAACGACUGACAAGAAAUUUCUUACUUGUAACAUCUUCGGUCAUGUAUCUUGCCUCCAAUUUGUCCCAUAAUUCUUUAGCGGUGACGUCAUUUUGGUAGGUGUCGAACAAACCAUCAGAUAAAUCAUUCAAUAUGUGGCCCAUGCACAUGUAAUCAGCAUUGUCCCAUUUUUUUCUUUCUCGGGUUGCAGCAACAGAUUCAUUUUCAUUCUCUUCAAGUCUUGGAGUAUCCAAAAUAUAAGCAAUCUUCAAAGUUGAUAACAAAAAGUGCAUCUUUUUCUGCCAUCGUCGAAAAUUGCCACCAUCAAAACGAUCAAGUUUAACAAAGUUGGAAGCCAACUCCCUUAGUGUUCCACUUUCAUGUGUUGUGGUAGUCAUCAUGAAAUAUAACCUUAAAAUUGUUAGUACAAAACUCCAGUAAGGAAAAAACUCGAACACACGAUCGGAACUCGAAAAGAAAAAGAAGAAAUAGGACAGGCUCCAAGGCGUGUAUCAAGCCACUAUCUUUAAGGUUAUAUUCGCCCCCACUUAUCUUCAGUGUGCAAACGAGUUCCAAGCAAAUUAACCUUGAGGAUACAAUGAAGCCAAUGACUAUUUGCGUUUUGCACUGACGAGAAUAGUCCACUAUGCACUGAGUAAUGUAUAACAAAAACUCAAUUUCUACAAAGGAUUUCUGCAGCAAUACUUUAUAGAAUAAUCUAAUAAUAUUAGAAAAUGAAGGAAGAGAAGAAAUAAUAUUAGAAUUUGUUGAUAUGAUUUCCAAAUGAAAUCCCAUUCCUAUUUAUAGGAAUUUUCAUGUCUCUUCAUAGAGACAUCUUUCAAUAGGUGUCUUUAUGAAUAAAUAAAUAAUAAUUAUUAUUCAUUUAAUUUUGUAACUAUUCAAAUAAUAUUUUUUGAAUAGUUAUAAUUCUUUUUUAAAAAAUCAAAUGAUAUAACUUUUGACCAAUGACCAAAAGUUUUAUCUUUUGAUUAAUUACACCCAUUCAUUUAUAGUUAUUGGGAUACUAUAAAUAUUUGAAAAUAUUCCAACAAUUUCUCUUUGUAUUUGUUGGAAGGGGCUUCCUCUUGCCCCUUCAUUCAUGGUUUGUAGAGAGGUUUCGUGAUUGUACAGUGUUAUAUUGUUGAAAAUGGCCAACCAUGCUAAUGUUAUGUUUUUGUUAAAAUGCAUGCUGCUAUGAUGAUUUUGUUGAGUGCAUAUAGCUUGUACGCAUGCUACAGCAAUUGUGUUGUUGCAACAACAUUUUUUUUGUUUUAGUUGUAAUGUAAUUUAAUUUUGGUUAAAAAUGAAUUUAGUUGUUGAUGUUUUGAUGGGUUUAGGUGAUAAGGAUAAGUCAGCUUAUUCAUGUGUACAAGCAAUGUUUUAAUAGUCCAAUGCUAAUUAGUGGAAUUAGUUGAAUAUUUGGUGUUAUAUUUUAAUUAUAAGUGUACUGUUUUCAUAUUGAAUGAGCAAGCAUAUCAGUUGUAUAAAGCAUAUUAUUUUUUUGCUGCACGUUUGUGAACAAAUAAAUUAUGUCAAGCUUCUUGCUCUUUUGUUUUCUGUCUUGUUCUCUUCUUUUGCUGCUGUCAAAACCCAAAUAUAUCUCUGACUCAAGGACUAUCAGACCUUACUUGUAUGCAUUUUUUCUUGUUGUAAGAAGCGUUGAGGAGAACCUUCUUCAAUUAGUUUUGAGAACAUGUUUACCCUUACCUUUGAGGGUUCUCCUGGUGUAUGUUAUUUUGAGUCAUAAUAAAAUCUCUCAAAAGUAUUGCUGAAAGAUUUUUCUUCUCUCUUGAGUUGAUUCUUCCUUUAUUUGCAAAACGCUUGGCUCCUUCGUUAGAUAAAUUGUCACCGGGACUUAACACCAUCGUCUGAGUUCAAAGUUCAACAAGGUAUGGUACUUGAGCAACUUUUGGAGGUUUUGUUUUAAUGGGUGUAGCUCCAAUGGUGCAACCCCAGAAAAAGCAGCUAGGCUUUUUUAUAUGUCGAAUGAUAGCAUUUAGCAUAUUUUCAAUCUGCUGCGAGGAUUUCUUUGCAAAACUUGAUUCAAGUACUUGAAAAUAAAGAUAUCUCAAUAAAUUAUCUUAAGUUAUAUUAUUAUAAGAAGAUAUAGAACUCAAAUAAAAAAUUGAUUUACAAUAUAUGUAAUAUGAUUGUUAAAAUAAUGAAAGCAAAUGAGGAUUUUGAAUACAAAUUCAUCAAGAAAUAUAGGUAUAGAAUAGUUGGCUAAAAUAGAAAUAUCCAACAAUGAAGUUUCUAAACUAAUAGUUUAAACAUCUAAAGGUAUAAGUUCAUCAAGAUACAAAUGGAUAGUCUUGCAAAAAAAAACAGUAAAGAAAAUGAAGUUUUACGGUAUAAACUACAACUUAUAAUAUAAGGAUUUUUCAAAUCUUGAAAUUGAUUAUAAAAAGGUAUGAUGUUUUGUUGUGGUUGAUGCAAUAAUCUUUAAGUAUUUAUUAAUAUAGCGGUUCAUGAAAAUUUGACAUGUGUCUAAUGAAUAUUUAACUGGCUUUUUAAAAUUUCUAAAGGAAUAGAAUGCUAGAAGCAUAUAGAAUUUUUCAAAAAAUUGUUAAAUACAUUUGUAUAAAUAUUUAUAUGAUUUACACACAUAUAUAUGAUAAAGUUGACUAAGUGAAUAACAGUUGAAAAAGUCUAACAUACCCGUAUGUAUUUUUAUAAAAGGAUCAUGAUUAGAAUUUAUUUUUAAUAAUUAUUAUUGGGACUCCUCAAUAGAUUAUAAAAUAAUAAGUUAUUUAAAAAAAUAUUUGAGAUAAAUAAUUUUAGAAAAAUAAAAUUUUAUCUAAACUAGUGGAUCUAGCACUUAAUGUAUGAAAUCUUCAUAUAUGAAUUGACAUAUACAAAAAAGAUCUAAAAGAAUUUAAUAUGAAUAAGACAUGUCUAUUAAAUACUCCGGUAAUUAUAAAAUUACUAGAUAUAAAUAUUAUUUUUAAAAGAAUGAUUAAAAAAUCUUUUGAUCCAUUAGUGCCAUAUCUUAACUAGUUUAAAAAUACCAUAUCAUAGUGUUAUAAAAGUAUUGAUGCAUUAACAGUAAAAAAAUUUAUUGUAUACAAUUCUAUUAUCUUAUUUCAUAAGAAUAUCUUCUCAUUUGAAUAUCAAUUUUAUUAUAGGUUUCUUUUGAUGCAAUAUUUAAAAUUAUCUAUAAUAUAUUUCCAACCAUUAAAUAGGAAGAUAAUGUGCUUCAAUGCACUUGAACUUAAGUCUUCCUACAUUAAUAACAAUAUCAAUGCUAAUCGAGUUAAGAUCCAAUCGUUUUUUUAUCAAACUUUAAAUAUUUGCGUUAUUGCAACUAUUAUAAUAUUUAUGAUGUAUUAAAUCAAAUUUUUGUUAUGUUAUUGCACAAAUUAGCCAAAGAAGGUAUAAUUAUUUAUUCACAAACAAAAAGGGAUAAAAAAAAACAUCAAAUAUUGGUGGUGAUACCAAAAACAAAAGAUAGUACCACUAUUGGUAUUAGUAUUAGAUUAAGAAAGGAGAAACAAGAGUCAGUGAACUUACUGACAAACCUACCUGCUAAUGAAGUUUAAACCCUAACAAACAAGGAUUGAUUAAUGAAAAGACAAGUUAUUAAAAAAAUCAUCAGUCGGCAGACAAAUGGUCAACGUGGCAGAAUAUUAUUACUUGCUAAAUCAGAUCAAAGACGUUGUUUCUAUAUUCUUUGUCUUUUUUAUUUUUAGAAUUUUUCAUAUUAUAAAGUUUAGGUCCGAUUAUUACUAUAAUUAAAGUUUUAUUAAAAUUUGUUGGUAUAAUAUUUUUAAAUUAAAAAAAUGUUAACUCUGUAAUUUUAUUAUAAAAAAUGGCAUUGAAUUAAUAAAAUAAUUUUGACAGAGUUAAUAAUUAAAUUUUUAUUUUUAAAUAUAAAAAUAGAGAAUUAAAUUUUUUGAAAUAAAAAAAGCUAAAUUUUAAAUAUACAAAAAGUACAAGGAGGUAAAGCAUAUUAUAACCUAAAUAUACAAAAAGGAAGUUUUUUUAUAUAUAGAAUAAAAGAAAGAAUAACGGUAUAGUCAUAUUGGAAAGAAGCCAGAAGGGGAAAAUUUGAAAGCACAUGAUAAGGUUACCGUUGAGGAUGAAAGUCCAUCUAGAAAUCGAACGGCUGAGAUAUGCUAGCCGUUAGUUUUAAAAAUAAAAAUGUGCCGACAAUACAUAUAUCAUCCGCUCAUUGCGUCUCCUUUUCUCUGAGUCAAAAAGCCUCACCUGCCCGAUCAAGAAGUGCACGACAUACCUUCCAUUGCUUCGCUGCUGCUCAGCCUCUCAUGUUAUUCUUUUGACUAACCUCUUUCUCCUUCUCCCACUUCGAACGACGUUUUGCACCAUCGUCCGGCUAGUCGGAAACUCUUUUCACAAAGGUUCUUGAAAAUUUCUCCUUCUCUUUUUUAAUCUUCUUUCUUUAUUUCUUUCAGUUUUAAAUAUUUCGACAAAAAAAAAAAGAAAAGAGAAAGGGAUUAAUUUUAUUUUGUAUUAAAGGGGUGUCUUGAUUAUCUUUUUCUAUAGUUUGGGGAUAUCUAUCUUAAGAGGAUUCUUAUUGUUUGCAGUUGUUGUUGUUUGUACAUACCGGAAAUAAUGGCUGGAUCGGACGAAAACAAUCCUGGAGUCAUCGGAGCCUCCCGAAAUCAAGGUGAUUAACUCAACCCCAUUUUAUGUACCCUUUCUUUUAAUGUUUAAGUAGAACUUCUAAAUUAAAGUAAAAUUUUGAUAAAAAAAAAAGGGGGCUUACAUGCUGGCGAAAGAGGGAAGUUCGUGGCAGCGACUGGGCAGAAUCGAAGAGCAUUGAGCACUAUUAACCGGAACCUAAUUGAAGGCCCACCUUUCCCUUGUGCAGUCAGUAAGAGACCUUUAUCCGAGUGAGUACUUCAUUAAAAUUCUCUCUCUGUUUUACUGCUGAGAACUGAUAAAAAGUAGAUCCUUUUGAAUUAAUUAUGUAAUAUGGGGAAGGGGUGUUUUGUCUUGGUAUUUCAAUGAUCCAAAACAAGACCUUUUUUUUUUUCACUUUUAAAACAUAAAUUUUUUCUGUUUCUCUAUUUCUCUCAGCAGCAUGAAAUUGAAGUUUUGAUAAUCACUGUCCAACGAUUUUUUUAAUCUUGUCAGAAGAAAUGCAGUCUGUGAUAAGAUCCCACCCAUACCUCAGCAUAGACCAAUUACUAGGUUAGCACCUCCUUUUAGUUUAAUGAUGUCUCUUUUGAUUGCCAAAACAAUAUCAUCUUCUUGAUCCUUUCUGUUUAUGAUUCCUUUUAAUUCAGGAAGUUCGCUGCCCAGAUGGCUAACAAGCAGCAAAUGGAACCUGAGGUACCAUUUUUUCACAAUAAAAAAAUUUUGGUAUCAUCCUCGAUUAUUCUGUCACGUUAUAUAAGUGGUUAAUUACUCUUAACAGGAAAUUAAGAAACCAAUCCAGUCAGUGCCAGAUUCAAAUGAACAUUGCAGCAUCAUAGAUGUGGAUAACUCGGAUGUGCCAAUGUUUGUGCAACACACAGAAGCUAUGAUGGAGGAGAUUGAGCGGAUGGUAGGGAAACAAACCUCCUUUACUUUUCUUUUCUUUUUUUUUUAUGGUUGAGAGAAUAACAUUGAUUCUAUGUGUCCUCUGCAGCAGGAGGUUGAAAUGGAAGACGUGGAUGAUGAUGAUGAUCCUCUUGUGGACAUUGACAAUUGUGAUAAAACGAAUCCGCUUGCAGUUGUUGAGUAUAUUGAUGAUUUAUACCAAUUCUACAAGAAAGCAGAGGUGAUUCACGUGUGUGAUUGCAACUUAAAAAGAAGUAUUUUUAUUGGGGUUGAUUCACUCAACUUGUUUUUUUAAUUUUUUGCAGUGUACUGGUUGUGUUCCUCCAAAUUAUAUGGAACAGCAAUAUGAUAUUAAUCAAAGGAUGAGAGGUAUCCUCAUUGACUGGCUGAUAGAGGUAACAUACAGAUGAUUAGCUAAUUUCCUUACAUCCUUGUUAUAGAUGAAUAACCCAUCAUUAAUGAGAAUAAUGGGAUGCCAGGUUCACUACAAGUUUGAGCUGAUGGAGGAGACCUUGUAUCUCACGAUCAAUCUAAUUGAUAGGUUUUUAGCAGUUAAGCAAAUAGCAAGGAAGAAACUUCAGCUGGUUGGAGUAACAGCCAUGCUUCUAGCCUGCAAAUAUGAAGAAGUUUCUGUUCCUGUUAUUGAGGAUCUGGUUCUCAUUUCUGACAAGGCUUACAGUAGGCAAGAAGUGCUUGAUAUGGUUUGUAAUUUAAACCCUUUUUUUGCCUCAUUUAAUGAUUUGAUGGCUCAAUAGGAAAUAGAAAUGACAUAAUGAUUUGUAGGAGAAACUGAUGAUCAACACCUUACAAUUCAAUCUAUCGGUUCCUACGCCGUAUGUGUUUAUGAGGAGAUUUCUCAAAGCUGCUCAGUCAAACAAGAAGGUACGGUGACAAGGAACUUUGACAUUUUUGCAUCUAUUAUGCAAGUAUCCAACAAUGUUUGAAUCUGAGAUGGGUUUGUUGAAACCUUGCAGCUUGAGCUUCUGUCAUUUUUCAUGAUCGAGCUUUGCCUAGUUGAAUAUGAAAUGCUUAAGUUCCCACCUUCUCUGUUAGCUGCUGCUGCUAUUUUCACUGCUCAGUGUAGUCUUAGUGGGUGUAAAUAUUGGAGCAAGACCAGCGAGUGGUAUACUACCUUCUCGGAGGAGCAGCUUAUGUAAGUCUCUUUGGGUUCUUUGUCUGUCUCUUUGUUGUUGUAUUUGCGAUGAAACUAAGUGUAGCAAAUUUCAUCUGUAGGGAAUGCUCAAGAAUGAUGAUUAGGUUUCACCAGAAAGCAGGGACAGGGAAACUUACAGGCGUACAAAGGAAGUACAGUACAUCUAAGUACGGUUAUGCUGCAAAAACAGAGGCACCAACUUUUCUAUUGGAGGCUUAAAGUUUCUAGCACAGCUUGCUGCUUAGCAUUGCCAUCCAUUGAUAAAAAUCCAGCCUAACUAGGAAUUGUGCCCCCUCCUGCAACUUAAGUUGCCCCCUCCCCUUGAGUUUAUAAAUAUUUCAUUUCUUUUGAAAAUAUUGUAAAAGUGAUUACAUGGUUUGAUAUUUCAUUUCUUUGGUCCCAACUUCAUUCUUUUACGUGUCAAUGCCACCAUCCAUCAUCACUAACGCCAGAUUUUAACUUCUGCAAAUUCCUUCAAAUAUUUUAUGUUGUAAGCGAAAGUUGUUACCAUCGGCGCCCAUUUAAGAUUAUCCUUGGAACGAACGUGGUGUUAGGAUUGACAGCGAGCCAAAAGCUUUAGACUUUUUGUAAAGCUGGAAAAAAAAAAGUCGCAGAUAUCCGUUGCUGAAGCAAUAAGAGGAACAAAGGAGAAAUUAAAAAGUAAAUGAAAAGUUGUCAUUGCUGGGGCACAUAAAGUGAUUCUCAGCUUAUGCGGUAGAGAAAUGCAGUGUGGUAUGACACUGAUCAAUUGGAGUAUUUAGAGAGAGUAAAUAGGGUUCGAGAGGUGAAAAGAUUGUGAAGAGAAUUCCUGAUUUCAUUUCAUAAUUCUACUUGUCCUUACAAGGAAAUUGCUGUCGUACCAGGACGGUUAUUUUUAUACAGCUGGCAUAACAGAAAAUAAAAUAGCUAAUAGCUGAGUCAUCAAUAACUCUGGACCAUCUCUUUUUGUUGGACUGUGCCCAUCAAUACAUCUGCUCCCAAUAGGCCCAUAUCUCAGUGUUGCGUGAUCUAUCAAUUGAAGGCCCUCUUUCUUCAUUUCUAUCAAAUCGCUAAUUCCCUUUUGACUCGAUCGAUUAGGAUUUUUUCCUCCACUUCCCUUCCACCUUUCUUCGUCUCUCUGAUUACUUUCCAAUUUCGUCACAUGCAGCACAAAAUUUAUUAAAAGGAUAAGCAUGUCAAAGAUUUGAAUAAAGUAUUUUGAUGUGCGUACCAGAAGCUGGCGUUCAUUGCGGCUUUCUGCAUUAAGAUUUGACAAGGAACCAAACUAGGGAAAAAAAAACUCAUCAGAAAAUGAGUGAGUAUUGUGGAUUCAUAUUUAUGUAUAAAAGGAAGAGAGAGUUGGGCUCAUGUCCUCUUCAAUUUGAACAAUUUUUGUGAUUCUUAGUUUGGUUGUGAUUGGAAUCCAGUCCCCAGCAACCAACAUUGAAGGCUAUGCUUAAAUUCAUUCACAGUGGGGAACGAGGACUUUGAUACCUUGUUAAUUGUUGCUCCAGUUCCUUCCGUUGUCUGACAAAAACAUGGAAUCUCUCUUCUUCGUCAGGACUGCUGCAAAAUGCUUUUAGAAUGCCUCAACAGCUACCUUACUAAUUUAUAUGCUAUGAAAUAAUUUGAUUUGGGUAUUUCGCUGGAGCCAUGCAUAUAUCUUUGGUUAUGGGUUUUUUUUUUUUUCUCUUUUUUGUAUCAAUAAAAAUAAUAGAACCGGCCAAGUAAGCUGCGGUUUCUUUGAGUUUGGUAAAAACAAGAAGAGACCCCUUUUUAUAAUAGCUGAUUAUAAAAACAAGAUGUGUACAUAUUACAUGCACUGCAGGGAUGGAGUUCCUCCAAGAGGAAGAUGGUAAUACAACAUGAGUUUUUAUCCAUUAUGCACAAGUUCAAUGGACAGGAAGUAGCCAACAUUGCAGAUAUGUUAGUUUCCCUGCAAGUGAGCACAAUAAGGCGGUUGUAUUGUGUAGCUAACUACUGAACUUUGCUGCAGGACCCUGUCCCUCCAAUUCUUCAAGUGAAUUCAUCAAUCCCAUCAUGUAAACUCGUCCAAAAAACUUGUGAAAGGAAUUCUGGAAUGCACUUUGACUACUGCACAACUUUUAGGAAUAUUAUUCUGGUGGUAAGUUUUUUGUAAGGGUUGCGUUUGCUUAUUAAAUUUUGUCAGUGGGAAGCAGUGAAUGAGUGAUAAAUGUGCAAAGAAUCUGUAAGCCGAGUCAAUAUGCAUAAUGGGUUGUAAUUGGACCAAAUGCACUGCUUCUGCUUCCUCGAACACUAGGGGUGACUUCAACUGAUCAUGUAUUUUUUUAUGAGUUUUGACUUGAGGAGAAUCCACUCUUCUAUAUCGUUUACUUCAUUUUCUGUUGGCUUUUAACUUUAGAGUUCCACAAUUUUUAAACUUUUGUCAUGUAUUAUUAACACAAACAUAACUAAACAACAAAAGCAUGAUUCAGUAUUCACGGAAAAUAACAGAUGUCAGAUGAUCCUGAUUAUAAGAAGCAGGUAUACUAUCUCGACAGGAAAAACAAAAACAAAAGAAUACAGUGGCCGGGCUGGCAGGCCAGCACAAGUCAUAAAAACUUAAUUUGAGUGCUAAUGCUACCCCUCUUCAUUUCAAGUCACUUCGAGCACUGCUGUUGCUACUUGGAAACUUUCCACAAAAAAUUGCCGUAGAAGCCCAUAGGGACAACAAAUAACACCUUCAUUUUCAUUUUCUUGAAAGGAAUGGCUUAACUGAUUCUACCACCACCUGGAUUAAAUAAAAAGCCAUCACAAAUGAAAUUGAUUUUACAACACAACUGUUACUCUUGUAUUAAUGGUUUAGGGCUAUAUAUCUAUGUUUCUUCUGGCUUCCUGAGUUGCAGAAAGUUCUUACCCUGCCAUCAUACGAUAGAGAAGCAAAUAUCCAAGGCUCACGAGAACUCCAAGCAAGGCCUGACAAUAUGGUUGUUAGAUUUAUAUCAUCUUUUAAAAGCAUGGCAUAAAACACAGGUGGAAGUUAGGACAGCUACCAUAUACACUGUCUUCAUAAUCACUGUAGGAAUUAAGCAAUGGGUCGGCCUGUUGAUUGAGUGGUUCAGUUAUGCUGUUAAAAGAUAAAUAAAGUAUCAGAGUCAAUCAACCAAUAAAACAUUAAGUCGUGCAAAGCUUCAGAGAGGGGCUAACAAAACAACCUUUCAGAUGUUGCUUUAUCUUCUGCAGAUAUAGGAGCCUGCCACAAGUUAACAGUUGAGUCUGUGCCAGCACUCUGCAGAAGGGAAAUUCUUGUCAAGAAUUUCCAAAAUAUACCAUAAACAACAAUUUGCAGCUUCUAUUAGAGUGUAUCUACGGAUAUGCCUAGUUGAUUCAAAUGAAUAUUUGUAACCAGUUUAGUCCAACUGAGACCCUAAUGCCCAUACCUAAAAACUAAUCUAGUUAAGAUGAAUGCUCAGAGAGAGAGAGAGAGAGAGAGGGAAAGGGAGAGAGAGAGAACCAGAAUUAGCCCAUCAUACUCAGGGUUACAAGUGACAGCCCAUGUCCUGCCAACAUUAUCAAACAGGUCACAAUCAGUGAACUAGAAGUACCUGAACUUAACCCAUUUCUUUCUAGUGGGAAUCAAACAACUCAAAGCAUACUCAAAUGAAAUUAGCUAUAAAUCAAUUAAGUAGGAAAUAAAAAGAGUAAAAUUCCUUAAACAUAAAUAAAAAAGACCCACAAAAGAGGAGCAAGUCAAUUACCAGUGUGUAUGUCCAGGAAGCUCUUUGGCAGGACUUUUGGGCUUUCUAAGAUCCCAUAUGUGUAUCCCAGAUUCAUCUUCUGCAGUGACCUGUGAUAAAAGAGACAAUAACAACUUCGAAGUAGUAACCAGAAGAAAUACCAUCUCACAUAAAUAGGUGCAUUCACAAAUCACAGUCACCAUUUCUAUAUUAUUCACCAUUCUUUUACUGAUCUCAACAGCUAUCAUUUAUAAGUGAGUGUCUCUUAUGAUGGAUAAAUGCAAAGGAUCAACUUCAUUCCAUCAAAUCCCCACAUGCCAGUAAAAAAAUAAUAGCGUGAUCCAAAAUUGCUAAAUAUCCUUCUAGAAAAUGGAAUGAACAUCUGAAUAGUCGAUAUGUAGUUUCAUCUAUGUAAAUCAUUCAGGUGCAAAUUCGAAGUGGUGUAGGUGCAUUGUGCAUGGCAGAUUUUUGACAGGGAAGUUCCGUGCUUGGCCAUGGCUUUGACCAAGUUCAAAGUAUAGCUUAAUUGGCCAGUAAAUCCUUGCAAUUUCUCAACCUUAACACAUCAUAUUGACAAUCAUAAUUUAUAUUACCAGUGUAUACAUAUAUUAUCUAGGUAUAACAGGUGAAAGUUCUAGAAUUCACAUGGAAGUUUUGUUUGAUAGAAAAUAGCAUUUUAAAAUGCCAACUCAUCCCCCCCCCAACCCCCCCCCCCCCCCCAAAAUACACACACAACAAAAGAAAAGGUAUUCUAAAAAUCAAGGUUGCAAUAGAAAUAACAAAAAUGACAAUAGAAAAGCAAUAACGCAAUGGCCAGUAAAUUUUUAUGAUGAUGUUAAAUGGUAAAAUAUUCAAGUUAUAUCCUUACAAGUAUAUGACUUUUCUUCAUAUCAUAGUUAGCAUUGCGGAUGUGGGCACGCUCAAUUGCAUUUGUCUUCCUGUGAAUACAUAAAAUUGUUGUCAAGUACAGCAUAACUCUAAGCGCAAUCAAUAGCUUAAGCAUUUUAAGAAAAACGAUCUGCAAAGAAACCAAAUAGUUAAAGGUACAAGCAACGACAUUAGUCCUCCCUUUACCCUCAUUUCUUCAGUUAGUGAAAGACAGGUGAUGAAAUAGUAAAUAUUUGAAUUAUGGUCCAUGAAUUUUAGAAGGACUCAAUUCACAAGGGAAAUGGAACACCAAAUUAAAUGACCAACAGCAUAAUAAUUAGCCAGUUUUGAACUAAUCAGGAAACUAAGAUAUGCAGAGACAACAUACUUCAUUGUACGUAGAUCCCAAAACUGGACUGAUGAUUCACAAGUUGUCGCAACAGCAUUCAUGUCAUGUGGAUCCCAUGCACCACCAGAUAAGUAAUGAAGCAUACCAGAUGACUCUUUAGAUUGCACCUAGAUUUCCACAAUAAGAUCUGAAUAAGCAUCACAAAGAGACUCAAAAAUUAUACUAUGUUGUAGCAAUCAAUGUUACAUGGACUCUGGUUUGGAUAUCUGACACAGAUUAAUCUAAGGGACAGAUAUACCGUUUGCUAAAAUAAUCAUCUGCCACCUUCAACCACUGUCGUAUUUUCACCAAAUUUCACACACAAAUACUGCUUUGCCUCCUAUUUCCAUUUUGCCACUUGCUCUUCCUCAGUUCCUUCUCACCACUUUGAAACCCCAAAACAUCCCCGCCACCAAGAACAACCUCUGCAAUGUUGUUGGCUGAUGUGUUGAAAUAUACAGCAAGGAGUCCAACACAUUUUUGUGUUGGUACCCAUGGCAUGUCAAUACAGACAUGGCACCCUAAAGUGCUGAGCCCAUGUAACAUAGAUAGGCAUUUAGAUACUUUUGUUUUUAAUAACAGCCACUGAUGUGUGGUCAAUGUCUUUGCCAGUUAGAUAAAUGCAAAGUUUCCAAUUGUCAAAAUAUUUAUUAUCAGACACUAUGAAGCGAUAUUAAAUAUAUUGAGAUUCUAAAAGAUAUGUGAGAAAAUAAUGCUACCAAUUACAAAUUUAUGUCAGUUGUGUCUUUGAAGAAGGUAUUAUACUAACUAUGUACUAAUUUCACAAAUGUAAAACCAACAGGUUGAGCAUUCACAUGCUAGUACAAAUACCAUGGAUGUUAAGAAGAAAUACAUGCAGAAUCUAACCUGGGCAGCCUUUUUUGAACAAUCUAAAGUCCACAAGAAAAGAUUUUCAUCAUCAAUGCUGAGCAACUUAUCAUGUCUUCCAGAUGGCCACCAGAGAACACUGUUAAUAAGUAGGCCAAAGUAAAUUUCAUAAAAAUGGCCAGAAGGAAAUACAAAGAAUAUACAGUUUUAAUAACUUAGGGGAAGUUUUGAAGCAGGAACUUACCAAUUAAUCUUAGCAACAUGUGCAUCAAGGGAGGCAAUUCGUUCCAACUGUGGUGAAUUUAACUGCCCAUACAAUUCAGGUAUCUGCCAUAUUGCAGCCCCAUAAGAUUCACCUUCAACAACAAAAAAAAAAAAAAACUAUCAAGCCAGUCUCCCAUCUUUAAGCCACAAAACUUUUGUUGCUGUUUCUAAUUAACAAUUUCCUGCAACAGCUAAUUCAACUGAUAGUAAAACUAAUACAUACAGAAAAGAAAAAUCAAGGUUCCUGAAAUGGACUAAAUAGGGGGAUCUAUUUGUUCUUCUAUCUCUUAGCCUUAAAGUCACAAAAACCAAUGAACUAAUACUGGAGGCAGAUAAUAUCAAGUGCACCAAAAUAUGGAAGAAAUAGACGUAAAUCAAGGUCAAAGAAGCUACCGGUUGAAAAAACGGUAGAGAAAAUCCGUUGAUCGAAGGGACAGGAAGCUAGGUCCCAGAUCUCGUUAGGGUGGGAAAACAAGCCCUCACAAAUGAGCUCGGUUCCACCAGAAGAUAGCCGAAUCAGAUGCACCUGGGCAGAUUUCAGUUGAAUUAGCUAAUAUGACAUUUAGAAAGUAAAAAAAUAAAAAAUAAAAACACCGUGAUCAUGAAAUUUAAACCAGAUCAAAAUUAAUUCAGAAGCAAAACCAAACCUCAUUUUCUUCCCUGAGACUGAGGGUUCCCGUAAUGAAGCUGGUAUGAUCCGUGUCUGCUUUGACAUCCGAAAUGCAUCUUGCCUGCCAGCUUAAAAUUAUGUAAGGCUCUUAAACCUCGAGAUAACAUAGUAGAAUUGAGAAUUUGAGGGUGAACCUGAUACUUGAGGCCGUAGCCGAUGCCAGAAGAUCCUCCUUGCAUCGUUGCACCACCAGGAACCCCCGGAUUCAACGAGCAACCGCUGCUUUUCAAGUGCUUCGGUUCAACUCCUCAAUUUCUUGCUAAAACGCACGCGUUUUGCCUCGGCUGGGUCAAUUGGACAUAGAUGCGCUACUGCGUGGAGAAUGGGUUAUUUGUUUGACAGUCCAAUUCGAGCCCAAUAGUCUUCAAAAGGUUAUUGCAGAGAGUUAGGCCUGUAGAACGGACUGAGUUAUUCACCUAUAGUUUUUUUCAUUACAUGCAUUUCAAUUUAUAGGACUUAGGGAAAAAACUAAAAAAUCGAAAAUUAACAUAAACCGAACUGUUUUGAUGGUUUACGAAAUGUUAAUUUAAAAACUCCAAAAUCAAAUUAAAAUUUAUUUUUAUUUAAUUUAUUUUUUAAUUUUUUAUUGUAUAAAAAUAAAUAUAUAUUUAAAAUAGUAAAACUAAUAUGAAAUUUUUAGAUUAUUUUUCUUUUUUAAUAUUUAUGAAAUAUGCUUCGAAAUGUUGAUAAAUAAUUUUCAAAAAUCAUAAAAUAAACUCAUUUUUUAAAAUAAAUCUAAAAGUUCAAAACCAAAAAUUAUGAUAGAAAAAUUGAAAACUAAACCAAAUUAUUAUGAUGAAUUCAAAAAUUCGACUAGAUCCAUAUCACCCCCCUUAAAAUAAUCACCCACUUUAAAAACCACUUUACUCUCCUUUUAGAAUAUAAUUAUUUUUAAAAAUAUUUACUUUAAUUUAAUUUAUAUUUUCUAAAACAUAUAUCUAAAUUUAUUAUUAAAAAAAUUUCACCAACAAAGUUUAUAUUUUCAAAAUAUCAUUAGUGCUUAAUUUUUGCAUUAAUUAAUCAGCGUCAUGAAUUAAUGGUUAUGAGUUAUUAUUUAUUUAUUUACUCUUUUAUGUACAAGGUUUAUUGGAUAUUCCUAGAAUUCGGAGUGGAGGUUACUUUGUUUUACUUCAGGGUUUUUCUUCUGAUCUUGUUUAAUACGAUUGUCACUUUAAUUUUUUUUUUCUGUUUAUGUAUUAUGUUCUUUUGAAAUUCAUUUUGUUAUUUUUAAAUUCUUUUUCAAUGAAAUUGCAUGAGUACUUCAUUUUCAAAAUUUGAAAAGCUAUUAUGUAUGCGGGGGCAAAUCUAGAAUUUCCUUUUAGCAGGAUCAAAAUUUAAUUAUAACCUUUUUAUAGAUCAAAUUAUAAGUUUACUAUAUAUUAAUUUAUAAUUUCAUCCUUUUUAAAGGGACUAAACAGAAAUUAUUUCAUUUUUAUAGGAGCUAAAAUGUAAUUUUACUAUAUAUUAAUUUAUAAUUUCUUUAUUUAUAAGAGGAUUGAAUUGAAUUUCUUUUUUUCAUUUUAGAGGGUCAAAGUACAAUUUCACUAUGUAUUAAUUUAUAAUUUCUCUAUUUAUAAAAGGAUUAAAUUGAAAAUUUUUCAUUUUGGGGACAAAGUCACCCACCUGCCCCCUUCAGAUUCGGCUCUGUAUCAUGUAUGUGUACGUGUACAUCCGCAUAUUUGUGGGUGUAUACGUAAAUGAUGAAUGCUUUUAUGUUUGUGAAUACCAAAAGCUUCUAACGUCAUAUGCGUGAAUACAUUAUUGUUAACAGCUUAACUUAAGCCAUUAUUAUUGUUUAACUUCUCGGCUUGAACUCCAUUAUUGUUAAGAGGGGUCUAUUAUAGGUUUCUUGGUCAAAUUUAUGAAUAGUCACAGUACUUCACUCAAGUUGUGGAAUAAUCCCUGUACUUUGCUCCCAGUUGUGGCACUACCCUUCUUGCCAAGCUUGGAAGCAAUCACCAUGGCAUAUCCCAUUCAAAUUUAGGUGAUAGUCAAUAAGUCCCACAAAUUUAGUCCACAUUGGUGCCUCAAACGAGGAUAGGAGCUUUAGGAAUCGUCUCCGUGCUUGGUGACUACUGAAGCAAUAUGGAGCAUAAUCACCAAGGGAACAGUCACUUCUUUAAACCUCAUACAGCAAUGGCUGCAUGAUCAUAGUAGAACUUGCUUUUCAAAACUUACCUUGAAUAUGGCCGCGCCAGUGAGUCAAAGAAGCAACAAUGUCAAACCUGUGCCACUUCUUUGAAUGUAUCUUACAGUCCCUGUGCACUGGCUCGAGUAUCCUAUCAUUCGUAGGCCUGAAACCUUGAUCCCAUGAUUAUAUCUUCAAUUAACUUUCUGAAAAUCUGUGGAUACUAAACUACAUACCCCUUGAAUAGACAGAUCCACUCAAACAAGAAUUCAAAUCGCCUUCAGAAACCGUAAAUCGUGCAUAUUAGAGUUCUGUUACAAAUCAACUGUAUGGAUACACCAACAUGCAAAAAUGUUCCAAUGACUCAGCACCGAGUUCUUUCCUCUGACGUCUUUUAAACUACAACCAAAACUAAGUAAAUUACAAACUAAAGCAAAUAUUAUUCACUGCACUCCCACCUGGACUACGAUUCCAGUAUUGUUACUCAGAGUCAUGCAUGCAUCUCAAAGGUACUAAGGAAGACACCAUACCUUAAAACUCAUAGUUCAAUUAGAACAUCCCAACUUUCCAUCUCAAAUAACUAGACUCGCCAUGGUUCACUGACAUUUGAGGUGAACAUACCAAAUCAUACUCCUUUGCUUGCUUCAAGUGCAAUUACAUAUUUCAGUAGACCAAACUGAGCAUGGGCCAGAUGCAAUGAUCGAGAAUUUUCAAAAUUACACAACAAGCUGUCUCCUUUUAAACAAAUUCAUUAUCAUUUUGUGUUUUACAUAGAUAAUGGAAGCAGCAUCCUUCUUUUCUUUUUCCCAGCCACGCUCACUUGCUUUGUGAUUUUCAUGCACAGAAGCAAUAACAAUGUGAUGCAUACUAGAAUAAAAGCAAGUUGCAUAUGCCUAAAAUAUAAAGAAACGGCUGAAAAAACCAGAAAAGCUAAUAUAACGAGUUCCCAUAUAACAAAGGCCACAACAUCCACUCUGCACCCAGAAAACAGUAAAUAAAACACAACUAUUAGAAUUUAUCUUGUACUGAGAUAGAGAAGAACAAAAAACACAACAAUGGCCAAAACGAAUGGGGAAAGUUGCAAUCUCCCUCCCCAUCGAAUUUAUGAAUCUAAAUCGUAACUCUAAAAUCAUGUCAAAACUGGUUGGAAUUAGGAUAAAAGUACAAACAUAUCAAGGCAAUGAAUAUUUUCCAUGCACAAGUAAAACAAAAACCUCAAAUGUAAAGGCCAAUAGAUAUUGUUUUCAACUUUUGGCACAAAGACUCCUAGCGUAAUCCCCUAUAAUUUGAGCAAAUUGAGACAGUUCUAUAAUUUGCCAGCAGAUUGGCAAUUAUUCUGCUCUUAUAAAUACUUCAUAGAGGCUCAGAAAAACUAGAGAUACACAUGAUAAACAAUCAUAAAAGCCGAUUGAGUGGCAAGAUCUAUCUAAGCACAUCCAUAUACUCCUACCAUCAAACGGUUGGUUUACAAAACCAAGCAUCCAAUUCGGUCAUUUGAAAUAUAAAUUACAGAAGUACGAGUAGAAAAACAAAGGUUAGCAAGACAAAAGCAGUAUAACAGUAUUAAAGUUGAAUUUAAACAGUCGUUACAGAAUUAACCAAAAGCAAUAAACAUCUCCUUCUUAAGCAAGGAAAUGCCUCUAAUUCUAUCCCCCCAUUCCAGUAGCAUGCUUCUUUCAGCCACCUAAAUAUCAGUUUCUGAUGAAAAUUAAAAUGAAUCAACAAUUUUUUUUUCUUUCCUUUCAAAGUUUCGGAUCCACAUCAUAAGGAAUCAACAGCACUUUAUAAGAAAAUCCAGAGUCAAUUUAUCUUUGUUUGGCCACCUGAAGUUUUUAUCUAUUGUCAAACGGAUAAUUUAACGACGACGACUACUAUUACUAUUACGAGUCUUUGAAGGUAUUUUUUCCACCAAUUCUUAGUAUGUGAAUUGAUUGAGAAAAUGAAACGAAAGAUACAUUUCAAAAUUAAAAUAUUCAUAAUCUCCACAUCUGAAUUUUUAACCAAAUUAUCCUAUAAAAGCCUAUCCUAUCUAAGUAAGCUCAAGUGAAAAAAAAUAUAUAUCACGGAAAGCACUUACAGACAAAGAUGUCGAAUCAAAACCAGGGAAAAGAACAAAGAUUUCCUACCGUAUAUUCAAAACAUGAAGAGAAAAAUAUAACGAAAAAAAAAAGCAAACAAAGGAAUUAGGAUUACCUAGAAGUUGUGAGAUUAGAGGUUGAUGCGAAAAACGAAACAGAGGCCCAAUCGUGCUUAGAUCGAAGCUGAUACUCUCUUAAUUGAUCUGCUAAAUUGGAUCGCGUUAUCAUGGCUUCCCUUUUCCUAUCCCUGCCUUUCGAUUUAAAGCUUUGUUUGGCUUUGGAACUCUAGAGAUGGUGAACGAUUGAGAAAUCGCAGAGCAAGGUGCGAAUUGAAGCUAGAAGAAAGGCAAGGGAUAGCAUCGGGGUUGGAUGGGCCUUGGUUCGUUACGUUGCGUGCACCUCCUAAUUUACAAUCUUGUUUUUCCUUCCCGCCCCGGCUGAUAAAAAUAAUAAAUAAUGUAAUGAGAAAACAACCCCGGUACUCGGGAGCCGCCGUUUUUGACGGGUUUUUCAUCUAACUGCCAUCCACAAGACCCAGUCGGGCUUAUAUGUGAUGAAUGGGCGUUCAGUAUAUUUUGUCUUAGCCACGUAUGAUUAAAUUUCAUGUAAUGAUAAAUUAGUUAUUCAACUUUCAAUCCAUUUAUUAAACUGAAUUUUGAAAGACAUCUGUUUCAAAUAAUAGUUUUCACGACUUCACAAGGAGUGAAAUAAAAUAAACCUACCACACAUUUUCGAUUAUACGCCUUCAGUUGAUAUAAAUUUUGAAAAACAACGAUUAAUGACACUUCAGUGUGCCGACUAUAUUCAAUGAAGUACAUUAUCACAACCCACCAUGAAAAACCAGAUAAUUGUCCGGAAGCUAUCUUGUACUCGUCAAGAAGAUGAUAGAAAAAAGGAUGGAGGGAUAAAUGAAAGCUUGCUUCUAUAUAGAAAAAAGGAUGGAGGGGUAAAUGAAAGCUUGCUUCUAUCACGUGUAGUGGAAGUAAAAAGCUACUAUUGUUGGUGUCGCUCAAACAAUUUGACCCUUCAGGAAUUGAGAAAUCAUAAGUGAAGUUCGAUAUUUGAAUUUCCUGAACAGUUAAUGCUCUAUUCAUUUCUUCCACCUUCGUGGUGCAAAUGUAGGCCUUAGCUUCCACUGGACUCCUCGCUUCACGAUGUCGCAAAGGGAUGUUCUAGGCAACACAGUCGCUCCCUCUAGUCCUAGCCAUGGGGUGCUAACAAAAGCUAAAAAGAAAAUUUGAAAGAACAGUGGAAAUUUUAAGAAGAUUACCUCUGAAAUCGCUUUCCUCGACAAUCAUUUUUUUCUCAGUCUCAGAUUCAAAUAAUGAGAUUUUUAGGGCUUUGGUAACUUUCUUUUAAAAGUUUAACAGCCUGAUUUCAAUUCUGUCGGAAACAGUAGUUUCGAAAUCACAAAUCCGACAAGUAAGCCCGUAUUAAUUAUCAUUUAAUUUGUAUGAGUCAAUUAUAAUUUGAUAUUGAAUUCUGAUUUGGUGAAUUUUAGUUAACUAAAUAAAUAGUUAGGUAUAAAUGGUUGUUUCGAAAGUAAAUUGGUUUCGAAAUAUGAAAUAUCGAGACCUCAUUUAUGAAAACCGAGCUUAUAAAUAUUUUUAUUAAAUAAUUAAGGAGCUAUUAUAUUAGCACGUGAAAGUUCAAUUCAGAUAUUUUAUUGUUGAAUUAGUUAAUUAAUUAAAAGACUAAUUUGUAAAAGAUGUAAAAAUUAGUUAUUAUUGAAUUUUAUUGAUUAAAUUACUUAAUUAGUAAAUGAGGAAGGAUUUAUAUAGAAAAUAAACCAUUGAUAUUUUAGUGCACGAAUAGUGAGUUUAUUUUAAACAUUUUCUUUAUAUAAAUUUUGUUUUUAAGUUAAUAUAAUAAUAAUAAAACAUAAGAAAUGAAUUAAUAAAUAAAACAUCAUCUUUCUCAUGGUUUACCACCAAAAAAAACAAAACCACUUUCCUCCAUCGAAGGAGCUUAAGGUUAGGCAAUGGUUUAACACACUUGAAUGGUAAGAAUUUUUGACCCAUUUUUAAUAAUUUUUAUGUUAUUGAGAUCGUUGCAACUAGGUCCAGCUAACUCGUACCUUUAUUUUUAAAAUUGUUAAGGAUUUUGGAUUUUACUAUUAAUGAAUCUUAGUUAUUUUUUUAUGUUAAAUGGUGAAUUUAUAGUUAUGGUUGUUUAUUAAAUUAAUUUGUUAAGAUAUUUUUGUUAGUUUUUAGUUAAAGGAUUAAAUUCAUAAAAUAUUAAAAUUUACAUGGAAAUUUUGUGAAUUGUGAAUAAUUAUGGACUGUAUUAGUCUAGAAAGAAAUUCGUCUAGCAUGAAAAAUUAUUAAAUUUUGUUCAAUUUGGAAUUUCAGAUUUAGAGACUAAUUUGUGAGAAAUAUAAAAGUUUUAAAGAAAAUGUAUAAACAAUGAAAACUUAAGGGUCAUGUGCAUAAAAUGAGUUGGAAGAUGUACUUGAAUUUGAUAUAUUGAAUUUAAUCAUUAUAUAGAUCAAGAAUUGAAUCGAACGAAGGUUAAUCAGAAAAAAAUAAAUUUACAGAUUUGUCCCUGCGAGUCAACCAAAUGCAUAAUUUAGGUAAGUUCAUAGAAUUAUUAAAUAAUUUUAUAUGUUUGUAAAUUAUGUUAUUAUUAUUUUUUACUUAUAAAUUAUAUUGAUUGAAUACUUAGUAAUAAAAUUUAAUUAUGAAUUGUAUAUAAUUAUGUAUAAAUUAGAAGUGUACCAUCCAGAAAUUGGGAAAUGGUCGUGAAAUAUGAAUGGCAUUAUCUCGAAAUGGAUGAAAUAAAUAUACAGUAUGUGUAUAGAUACUGUGGAAGUGCCAUUGAUUUUGUUAAUGUUAUGAAUUCAGUUUAAAUUUCCGUUUGAAUGUAGUAAACGAUUAGGAUACGAUUGACAUGCCAAUAAAGUUAUUUGUGCAUUGUACGGGAUAUAUAUGAUGGUACGAAUAUAUUAUUGAUUAUACUAGAAUCCAACAUUUGUUAUAGAUUACUGAGUUAUAUUGGUGUGGUGGAAGGAUAUUGGUGUGGUGGAAGGAUGUAUUGAUACUGAUUCUAUGAUGCCAACGGGCUUUACAUUUCAGUGCUCUGGUGUAUUGUAGUUUGAGCUCUUACGAGUAUUCUGGUGUGGUGUAGUUACUCAUGUAUUUGUAUCUGUUUAUUAUAGUUCAAUGGGCUAUAUGUUAAAAAUAUAUAUGUAUUGAAUUCAUGAAUUAUUUGGAAAUGAUGUGUUAUAUGAAUAUUGAAAUGUUAAGUGAUGAAAUUGAAUAAUCAAUAAUUAUGUGUUUAAGAGUUGUUUGAAAAGAUAUCAAAACAACUGGAAAGUUUAUAGUUAUAUUUAUGAAACGCUUAUCUAGUAAAUGCAAUAUUGGUGACAAAUUUGUGUGUAUAAAAGAAAUGGAAUAUGAAUAUGAAUUGACAUGAUCAAUUGGUUAAUACAAUGUAUAUGUUGAAUUUUUCCUGAAUGAAUGAUACAAAAAUAUGUUGCAUUGAAUGAUUGGGAGAUUAUACAAAUGAUAUGUGAAACACUCACCUUAUUGUUGUAAAUGUAUUGACAGGAAAUACGUAUUAAAUUAGUUAUAUUUGUUUACUUAAUUGUAACUAAGGUAAGAAUUUUGUUUAAGUAAUUAUGAACUUAGUAAGCUAUAUAAGUUUACUCUGUUAUAUUUAUUAUUUUCUGUAGUUUUCGUUUUGUAGAACUAGUCGGACGAAUCAAUUUCAAGGCUUACACUAUUAAGCUUCUGUUUCAGUAUUUUUGACUUGGCUAUUUCAGUUUGUGUUAUGUAUAUAUGGUUUUGAAGUUAUGAAAUUUAAAAUUUUAGUUAACUAUGUAAAAUAAGUGGAUGUUGGUAUAUGAUGUAAAAUAAGUGGAUGUUGGUAUAUGAUGUAAGCUUGUGUUUCAUGUUGAUCUUGUGAUGAAUAUGGAGUAAACAGUAAAAUUGUCAUGUUGAUGUUAUUUGGUUUGAAUGUGUUUUGAAACAGUAAAAUUGUCAUGUUGAUGUUAUUUGGUUUGAAUGUGUUUUGUGUCAUUUGAAUGGUAGGCAUGUUUUGGUUUUGAUAUCUUACUUGUGAAUCAAUAUGAUAAUGGUUAUUUAGAAUUGGUAACUUGUGGUUCUAGAAGUGAGUAUAUUUGUCUUUGUUAAGUAGCAUGAAUGAGUGAUUUUGGUAAUUUAGUAUUUGGAACCUUAUUGAUGAUGAAAUAAAUUUCACAUGAUGAUUGCAUUUUUAGUUAAACUGUUUGUAUGUACAAUUGAGUUUAUGUUUGAAUUUGUUUGUGAUGGUGCCAAAUGGCAUAUUUGUAACACCCUUAACCCGUAUUCAUCGUCGGAAUAAGGUUACGGAGCAUUACCAGAGUUUAUAGAUCAAAUAACAGACAUUUCAAACAUUUCAUAUCAUAUAAUAUUCAUGUCAGAAACCAAUCAAAAUCAAACAUAUUGUCUCUUAUACGAGCCCUAGAGGCCCAAAAUACAUGUUAGAAACAAGUCAGGACUAAAUCGGAUACUCAAAGAAUUUUUUGGAAAACAUUGAAAUUUUUCAAUGCUGCAGGGGUCACACGGCCAAGAGACACGCCUGUGUCCUUGGCCGUGUGGACAUUUGAAAUAAGGACACACGGCCGUGUCCCAACCCGUGUCCGUAUUCGUGUAACUCACUGACUUGGGUCACACGGCUAAGCCACACGACCGUGCCACUUGACCGUGUGUCACACAGGCUGAGACACACACCCGUGUCUCUACCCGUGUGGAUGAAAAUAGGUCAUUUUACAGGCCACAUUUCUCACCUAAUUUAGCAUCCACAUAUACUCAACAUUUUGUAUAUAUACAAGUCAUAAUUAGGCAUCCAAAACAGGCCAAAAUUAAGCAUUAAACGUUUAAAAUCGUCACAUACAACCAAUAUCCCUUUAGGCAUUUCAAAUGAAAAUAUGCAAAUAUGUCAACCAUGUACCCCAAAUUUACCUAAGUGGCUUAAUACGUAUAUGUAUAAUUGUACCAAAACCUAUCACGUAGAUCAUUUAUCAUGUAAUGGCCUAAAUUCAAAGUUAUCGGAACAGUGGUUUCGUAACCACAAAUCCGAUUUAAAGAGAAAUUUAUUUCAAUAUUUUUGCAUGAAAAUUGAUAUGAUAGGAAAAUCGUAUGAAAAUAUUGAUUGAAAAAUUUUAUCGAUUUAGUGGUUAGUUAGAAAGAGAAAUUAUUGAAGAAAUUGGGUAAAAACAAGAUAUCGGGACCUCUAUCUUGUAAAACCGAGUCAAAAAUAAUUUUAUAAAUAUUUAUGAAAUGUUAUUAGUGUGGUAUUAAAAUUUCGUUAGGAAAUUUUAAUAUUUAGGUAGUCAAUUAAAUGAAAAGGACUAAAUUGUAAUAGGUGUAAAAGUUGCUAGAAUGAUUAAAUAGCUUAAGAGUCUAAUGAGAAAGGAUUUAAAAGGGAAUUAGACCCAAAAUUUAUUUGGGCUGGACGGCAAGGGUAUGAAAUCAGCAGAAAAUUUGAUAAAUUAAGGGUAAAAUUGGAAUAUUGCAAAAUUAACUAAAUAAAGCUAGGACUAAAUAGGAAAUAUCUAGAUUUCUCUUCAUUUCUCUUCAAUUCCAGCAGCUAAAAACGCCAUAGGAGGGUUCUCUAAGCUGGUAUUUCAUAAUUUUUGCACCAAGUGAGUUAAUUCUUGCCUUUUUCUUGUAAUUUUUGUGUUUCUAAGACUUUUACAACUAGGUCCUACUAUUAAAUUCAUUAGUUUUUUAAUUCAUGGAUGAAAUUGAAAGUCAUAAUGGUUGAGUGCUGUAAGUUUAUGAUGAAAUAUAAUGAAAUUAAAGCUUUAAUUUUUUUAUGAGAUGAUUUUGUUAGGUAAUUUCAAUAGAAAUUGAUUUUUAGGACCUAAUUGUGAAAAUGCUUGGAAUUAUUAAAGUCUAUUGCUGAAAUUCUGAUUCCUAAAGGUUGUAAACUAGUUUAAGGUGAUAGAAUAAAAUAUUAAUUGAGAUAAAUCAGUUCAAUUGAGAGGCUAAUUGAGUAGGGACGAAAUUAUCAUUUAUUAAAAGCUUAGGGGAAAAAUGGUAAUAAACAGCUUGCACAAAAACAGUUUGGACAGCAGCAGUAGACUAACUUUGAAAAAUCACCAUAAAUUUUAAAAAUCGAAUUAGAAGAUGAAAAAAUAUUUAAUUAAAGCUUAUUGAGUCUAGUUUCUCAUAGAAGAAAUAUUGUAAGCAAUGGAUUUGUAAAUUUUGAGAUAUAAUGAAUUUUGUGAGACAAGGUCAGAAUGAAUUCGGGUUCCCCUGUUCUGACUUUGAAAAAUCAUAAAAAAUUUAAGAAAAACAAUUAGGGGCUUAAAUUUAUAUUUCUAGAAUAUUUAAUGAGUCUAUUUUUAAUAGAAACAAACGAGAACAUCAUUUGAAUUCUGUAUGAAGAGAUAAUUAAUUUUUAGUGAAGAAGGGUCAGAACUGUCGACAGCAGAACAUGGGUGACUUUAAAGAAUAAACUGUACUGAUUAGCUAAACCAAAAAUUUUGAAAAUUUUAUAGUAAGAAGAUAUGUGAGUCUAGUUUCAGGGAAAAUUAUUGGAUUCUAAUUUUGAGUUCUGUAUCUCAAGAAAAAAAUAAUUUAGUGACUAUGACUCAAGUAGACAGCUUUGAAUGAACUAUAAAUAAUAGUUGAAUUAUAGAGAAUGUUGCAUAUGAACAUGAAAUAUAUUAAAUUGAUAAUUAAAUUUAUUUAUUUAAAUCCAGAAGAUUCAAAUACGAAGCUAGAUUGAGGAAAGGAAAAAGUUCGAGAUUAGUAGAUUUUUUUUGUUUACAAACAAGUAUCAAGGUAAGUUCAUGUAACUUGAAUUAUAUUCUUAAAUUGCUUGAGAUUGUAUGUUAUUGAUGUGAAUAUGAUUUGAAUGUUCAUUGUAUGAAAAUUAAUAAAACAUUGAUUUAUUUGAUAAAAUGGGAAGAAAUCCCGGUUGAAUGAAAGGAAAAUUUGAUGGAUCUCUGAAAAGGAAUUGACGGUAAAAAGGAUCAAGCCCGGACAGGUGAUCCUAUCCUGAUAUAGCCCUCCCGAAGAAUAUGUGUAAAAUGGAUUUAGCUCGGACGGGUAAUCCGAAUUAGGGUCUAAAUUUAGCCUGCACUGGUAAUUCAGAUCCAAGCUCAUUAGAGUAAUUGUCGUUGCAGGGGAUUUAGCCUGGACUGGUAAUCCCGACAAUACUCUAUGAGUUUAUAUUACAGGGGAUUUAGCUUGGACUGGUAAUCUCGCUGCAAGGUUGAGGUUCGCGGGAGUGUGCUCUCUGAAAUGGAUAUGUGCGCACAUGAAUAUGAAUUGACGGACCCGGAAAUGUACACUAAAAGUGUAUCUUUGAAAAUCCAUCGAAAAUUCCAAGAAAUUCAACGGGAUAAAUAUGGAAAAAAUAACAAGGAAAUGGAAAUUAUGGUAUUGAUGAGCUCAUCAAUCAUAGUAUAUAUUAUUGGUACAUGGAAAUUAUUGUACUAACUUGAAUGUUGAGUUUGUGCAUAUUAGGGUAAUAAUGCAUUGAAUGGAUAUAGGAAUGUUUAUUGUAUUGUAUUGAAAAUAUUAUGUAAGUAUAAUUCUUGUUACAUGAGCUUACUAAGCACAAAGUGCUUACCCCGUUUCCUUUUUCCCUAUUUUGUAGUGUUAAGAGCUCGGAGGUCGGAUUUAGUCGGAGACACAUCACACUAUCAACCUCAGGACUUUGGUAUAUAAAGAAACUUUAUUUUGGAAAUUAAUGGCAUGUAUAAGCUAAUAAAGUAAAUGAUUCUAUGAAAUGAAUGUAAGGUCAGCCAAUGGUAUGGCUAACAAAUCUUAGUUUUGUUAUGUGAUGAGGUUAUCUUAUAAAAAUGCAUGAAUCUAUCUUGAAAAUAUGUUGAAUUGGAUUGGUUGAUUUGGAUUGGUCUCGAUAUAAUAUUGCAAGGAAGGUUAGAUAUCUGUAAAGGGAUUAUAUUGAGUUUUCCUAAAAAAAAAAAUUAAUUCGUAAACUCCGGUAAUACCUCGUACCCUAUUCCGGCAAUGAAUACGGGUAGGGGGUAUUACAUAUUAAGCUUACCCAUUUGGUACCAAAUGUACCAUUUUAAACCAAUCAUCAAUAUACCUAUAAGUUUUUCAUCAUUCAACCAUAUCAAACACAUAUUAAAUAUGAUAAGGCCACAUAUAUAUACACAUCAAAAUAUACCAAACACAAGCCAAAUAAGUGAUUAAUCUCAACAAAACACUUAUAUGCCAACAUUGGCUAAAUUAACAUAUAUAUGUCAUUAUAACUGGGAUUAAUUAACCGAAAGUACCAAAAGAACUGAUAGAUAGUGUGAAAUAGCUCCGACAAGCUUCCAACCCGAACGAGCUUCCGAAUUACUAUAAAACACGGAAAAUAACACGAAGUAAGCAUUUAAGCUUAGUAAGUUCAUAUAACAAAGAAAUUAACUUACCAUUUAAUCACAUUUAAGGUAAGCAUACAAAACAUAUCCAAAUCAAUUUGGCUAAAAGCCUAAACACAUAUCUUCAACAACCAUGUUAGUCAUGUAAUUCAACCACUUUUCAAAUUCCAUAUACAUGUAACAUUAUCUAUAUAUCAUAUAUAAAUUAUUUCCAUAUAAUUCAUGUAAAUACCUGUACUAGUUCGUAUUGAAUUCUUAUAAACUUGUAACAAAACUAUGCCCGUUAAACCAUUUAGAAUAUCAUUGGAUACGCAGGUAGUACACAAGAGGUGUACUAAACUGUAAUCCGUCAAAUCAUGUACAUGUAUGCUCAUACGAACUAUAAAUCGGUAUGCCCUCACGAGCUGUGAAUCGAUAAGCUCAUACGAGCUAAGAAUCAGUAAGCUCUCACAAGCUACAAAUCAGUAAGCUCAUACGAGCUGUGGUGUGUCCGCAACACAUGCAGGACCUCAACCAAAUUGGUAAUCCUAAUGACAUGUCAUUUAUAUCCUACGAAUUCCUAAGGUUCAAACGGGACUCGUAAUCGUCGGAUAUAUGAUCGAUAUUUAUACAUGACAAUUAUACAAAUCACAUACAUAUAAUUCAAUUUAAAACAUAUAAAUAAACAAUUUAAUUACAAGAACUUACCUCGACGAGUUUACGUAAAUAUGAAGGCGACUAAUCCGAUAUUUUCUCUUUACCUCGAUCUAACUCUGUACGAGAUCUGACAGGAUCUAUACAAAUAAAUUUAACUCAUUUCAAUAUAAUUCUCAUUCAAUUUAAUUCAACAUGGAAUUUUGGCAAAACUAUCAUUUUUCCCUAUACUUUUAAUUCCUUUGUAAUUUAGUCCCUAGGGUCGAAAAAUGAAAUUCAUACAAUUCAAUCCUUACUCAAGCCUAGCCAAUUUUUAUACAUAUUAAUAUCAGCCCAUGUAUUUCACAAAAUUCAUAAAUUUUACCAUAAAUUUAUCACCUUUUUCAAUUUAGCCUCUAUUUGAUAAUUUUACCAAAAAUCUCUUUACGAAAAUUAUUUAUCUAACAACAACCAUUCAUUUUCUAUCAUCAAACUUCAAAAUUCAAGCAUAUACAUCAAUGGAAAAACCCUAAUACUUUAACAUUUUUGCAAAUUAAUCUCCUGAGCUAGCUAGAUUAAGCUACUACGAUCCUGGAAACAUAGAAAUCAUAAAAAAUGGGACAAAAAAUUUAUACUUAAUUGAGCAAAAUAAGCUUGCUGAAAUUUUCAAGCUUCCAUGGCUAGGUUUUUGUUUUUUUUUUUUUUUGUGGAAGAUAAUGAUAAUGAAUGAUAAUAUUUUAUUUUAUUUUAUUUUAUUUAUCAUUUAAUACCUAUUUACUAAUUUAACCUUAAAUAUAAAUCAAAAUUUCAAUAAUAACAACCCAUACUUAUCCACUAACAACCUUAAUGGCUAAUUAUUAUAUAAGGACCUCCACUUUAAAAUUCUAUAGCUAUUUAAUACUUUUAGCUAUUAAAACGCAACUUUUGCACUUUACACAAUUUAGUCCUUUUUAUCAAAUUAAGCAUGUAAACAGUAAAAUUUCUUAACUAUAUAUGGUAUUUCUAUCAUACUGUAGACCAUAAAAUAAUAAUAAAAUAAAUUUUCCGACUUCGAAUUUGUGGUCUUAAAACCAUUGUUCUAAUUUCACUGAAAACAAACUGCUAUAAUAUUAGUUAGUAUUAGGAUAAUGGUACCUAAUUUCAUACUUAGUUAUUAAUUAUAAUAGGUAAAAUGGUUAAUAAAUCAUGGUUCAAUCAUGACAAGUGUGUAAUAGAUUGAGUGAGUUUUAUGCAGGUUAUACGUGUACCUAUUUGUAUCCAUGAACUGAGUUAUAGGUUUUGGCAUGAAAUGAACUUUCAAACUUGUGAUUUUUGACCAUCUGGAUAAAAGUAUCAAUAUCAAGGACCAAGGUAUCGAUACUUGACCAAAUGAACAGUGUUUUCAAAUUACAGAAUGCCAAAAUGGUAUCGAUAUCGACUUUGGUGUCGAUACCUAUCACAAAAAAAUCGAUACUUAUUUCCUUGGUAGUUCACGUUUUGAAAAUUUUACAGUUUGGUCCUUUUUCAUGCCCGAAUCUAAUCUAUUUUAUUUUAAAGCUCGAAUUAAUCUUAUUUUUAUUUUUUUAAUAAUUAAUAUGUGUUUUUAUAUGAUCAUUUUUUUAAUGAUUAAUAUGUGUUUUAUAUGAUCAUUCAAUGUUUUAAAUUGCAUGUGAUUGUUCUGGAUUUAUUCGUAGCAUCUCAUUGCUCAGGUCCGGCAAUUGGACCAGGUUUGGGAUGUUACAAAAAGGGUUUUUCUUUGCACUUUAACGAUUCAUAUGUCCAAGAAUGAGGGCACAAUCAGCUGCACAUAGUUGUACUCUUUCUUCACACGUGGCAAAAUGUACAUUGCAAAUUAAAAUAUAAAAUGUACUCAAUAAGUUUUUAUUUAUGUUAUUUCUUGCUUCAUAGAACCGUGUUUCAACAAAAGUCACUGUAUAACUCUUCUUCGAACCAGGUGGGGGACAAAUUGUUAUGAUACUUACUAUUUUUUACCCAUAACUCGAAUAUCGAGCUCGCAUGACAAUAAGUGUUCGCAGGAGGGGAACUUACACCCUUCCAUGAGAUCACAUGUGAGAUCAUACAUGGGAUUGUGCGAUGUGGGUUCACACGUCACUACAUAGGCGAACCCCUAUCGUAUAAAAACGUGCUAAGUCUAGAGUAGAUUACAUGUUAGCAUGCAUGGAACCUAUUUUGGAUAUCACAUCAAUGAAUAGUAAUCAUAACAUAUAAAUAUAUAACUUUACCAUCUGAAGAAGACAGAGAAAAACACUUAACAGAAAUAAAACCUAUUAAAUUAAAAUUAAAUAAAUUAGAGUUAUUGGUCGCACACAAAGCAUAUUUACAUAUAAAUAAAAUAUAAAAACUAACCCGGCCUAGAUGUUACAGUUGAAUUUUGGUGCCUACAUUAUCCACUGAAAUGGUCUAGUAAAAUUAUUGGAGUUUUAAAAUAGUCCCUUUUAAGAUAUUUUCUUACCUUAGAAGAAUAAAAGACUUAGUAUGUUGUCUCUUUUUCACUAAAUGGUACAAAUUUUCAAAAAAACGAUUUGGUUUUCAUGUUAAUUUCGCAAAAGUUGUUUUCCAAUUUAUUUACUACUCAAAAACUCAUCCAUAAUGUUGCAGCGAAAAAGUGAUAAUAGACAGGGUUUUGUUUUAAAAACCAAAUUUUAUGUAUCUUUAAUUAAAUUCCCAAAUUCAAAUAACCUAACCAACUUAAAUGUCAUGCAUGCCAAAAUUAACCCAAAAUUUAAGUCUCAUGUCACAGUUCAGAUAAAGCAAUACAAUUCCUAGAUAACAUAAAUUAUAAUAUGUCUAAAAUAUUUUUUUGGAAAAAAAACUAUUCGAGACAAGUUCUCCGAAUGCCAAGCCCGUGUCCUAACCUUAUGGGUUAUCUGUAAAGACGAAAAUUAA